AAUCAAACAACAUUUGUACCAUUUCAAGUACCUCCAAGGAUUAUAUUUGGUUGGCUUUGAUGACUAUCUAGACAACAAAACAAUAUCCGCUAUUAAGGCCUACCAACAAUUUUUCAAUCUUCAAGUUACGGGUCACCUAGACACCGAGACUUUACAACAAAUCAUGUUACCACGAUGUGGUGUUCCCGAUAUAAAUCCCGAUAUAAAUCCCGAUUUCGGCUUUGCUCGUGCACAAGGAAACAAGUGGUUCCCUAAGGGUACGAAAGAACUUACCUAUGGUUUUCUUCCGGAGAGCAAAAUCUCAAUCGACAAGGUCAAUGUAUUUAGAAAUGCCUUCACACGAUGGUCGCAGACCACUAGGGUCCUAAAAUUUAGCGAGGCGACUUCAUACGAUGAUGCUGACAUUAAGAUUGGAUUCUACAAUAUUAGUUACAAUUCCAAAGAAGUUAUUGAUGUUGUGGUGAGUGACUUUUUCAUCAACUUGAGAAGUUUUACGAUACGUCUGGAAGCUUCAAAGGUCUGGGACUUGGAGACUGUGGCCAUGCAUCAAAUAGGUCAUCUACUAGGACUUGAUCACUCUUCUGAUGUGGAGUCUAUUAUGUACCCAACAAUAGUGCCAUUGCAUCAAAAGAAGGUGCAGAUAACAGUUUCAGAUAACCAAGCCAUACAACAACUCUACACCAAACAAACCAAUCAAGACCGUGAUGAACUUGGCUUCUUUGAUUAUAGUGGAGACUUCUUUGAGUCAAGUUCUGGUCUUCUGAACUCUUUGUCCCUUGGUUUUGCUUUCGUGGCUCUGAUGAAUUUGGCUUUCUAAUUAAUACAUCAUUUGAUUAGGGACUCACUUUUACGUAAGUUAAAUAAUUAAUUUGUGUACUUUACUGCAUGUAUCAUUUUCGGUUGAUGUUAAAUAGUUUGUUAUGCGGUAUCAUGAUAUAUGAUUAUUGUAAUUGAUUACAUAUCCAUUGGAGUGCAAAAGUCACUACAGUAUUGUUAGGAUAUUUAGCAACAUUUGAAAAAUGAUACUAAACCGUACUAAAAUGUAAUGAAUUUGAUGUAGUAACAUCUUAGCCACCGUAAGAUAAAACCUACGUUACUAAAAGGUUCUAUUGGAAUGUUAAAUUGUGUUUUUAACCGUAUACUACACCAGGUCUACGUUUCUAGGUAUGGUUUUUGUGUUAAAUCGGAACUAAAAUUGUUUUUAGUGAAAUCACAACUAAAAUUGCUUAAACUUGCAAGUUUUCACAAACAAAUUUACUUUCAGAAUCCCAAAAUAAAAUUGGGUUAUCCCUCUCGUUUCUAUGGAAGGGGGCUCUAUAACUCCAGAAUUUGAUCAGGAGGUACAUAAAGUCUGAUAAAAAAUUAUUUCAUAAAAAAAUCGAACUUGGAUUCUCCCUAAGAAUUCUUCCUUAAGUGGUCGUAUUAACUUAUUUGAGCUCAAUCAUUUCACUAAAGAAGCCCAAUUUUAGUUUUGCUACAUUUAGAAAAACUUCAUCAAGAAACACGACAAUAAAAAGAAACAUUUCAAUUCCAUGAGAAGAAAGAGCGGGGUUCUUUUAAAUUCAAACGUGACCAAAACACCACGCCAUUCCAGUUUCCACAUCGAUGUAACGUGAAUUCGAGUCUAGCACAAUUGGAAUACGAAGUUGAUUCAAUCUCAAAUGAGAUUGAAUCUACUUUUUUUGCGGAUAGGGAUGGCAAUUGGACCUAGAUUCAAUGGAUACCCGCAAAAAAUACCCACAAUGGGUAGGGUAAAACCCCACUUUUAUGGGUCCGGGUACGGGUAAUACCCACAAAAUUAAAUGGGUAUGGACACGGGUAAGGGUACUAUACUGCCCAGACCCGCAGACCCGCAUAUACAUAUUUAUAUAAUAUCAUAAAUUAUUUAUUUAUUUUUUAUGUAUAAUUAAUUAAUUAAUUUAGCUAUUUAAGCCUAAACCUAAACUUAAACCAAACAACUACUUAAUACAAUAACAACUUCAUCAUGCCGGUGUAUAAUUUUUUAGGAAUAUUUCGGAUGUUUUCUAUUUGACUAAAUACCACGAUUCAUAUUAUUUUAUGAGUUAAUUUUAAAAAAUAAUUGGGAUCGUAGUUUUAUUUCAUUUGUGAUGUUUUUUUUGGUUUUUCAUAGUUAAAGUGCGGGUAUGGGCACUUAAGUACCCAUAGGGUAUGAGGAAGGGGACUAAAGUUGUUGCCCACGAGGGUACGGGCACGGGUACGGGUAUUUUUUAUAAAUGCGGUUAUGGGGACGGGCAUUGUAGUACCCUACCCAUUGGGUACCCAUUGCCAUCCCUAUUUGCAGAUGAACUUUGUAUAAUUUUCUAAAUAUGUACGUAAAUACUCUUUUAAAAAUUUAAAAGUUUAAGUGUAAUUAAACAAAUUUUGAUUUUACAAUAACUAAAAGUAUGCGUUGGUCCUUGUUAAAUUAAAAUUUGUUCAAUUAUUGUUAAACUUUUAUAUUUUUAAAUGAAUUUUUACAGAUAUUUUAAGAACAUAACAAUAAUUAUAAUUUAACGUGUAUCGAAUUAAAUAUGAAAUAUUUUAAAAGCCAAUAUUUCAAGAUAAAGCUAUUGUAAAUUCACACCUAAAAAUGAAAUUUUGAGCUAACUUGCGGAGAAACUUUCUUAUAAUAUUUUAAACAAGUAUGUAGAAAAUCAAUAAAAAAACUAAUCAUAAUUAAACAAAUUUUAAUUCCUCGCAACAUAUAUUCAUGAUAUUAUUUCAUAGAAUAUAAUUGAUUGAGUUUUGUUUAUAAUCAAACUUCUUUAUUUAAAAAGAAAAGAGAAGUUUUCUAUUCUAAACCCUAUUAACAAAAAUGCUAUGUUUGUCCGAGUUCGGUCUGUAAUCAGGCCAACAAUUGCUUCCACCAAUUAUCGAAAUAGAUUUUUAGCUAUAGUGAACUUUGUAGGAUUAGGAGGCCAACAUUAAUUAAUUAGUCUUGUUAACGAGUGUUUCCGAAGCACUCUUCAAGCAUACCAAAUUUAUCAAUUAUUCUUUUAAAAAGUCAACUAUUACAAUUUCCAAUGAACUUAAUACACAACUUUUCAUAAAGAACUUACUAAUUAAAGUGUUUAAAGAGUGUACUGGGACGCUCGUUAACAUUAUAUCUUAUCUCUCAAAUAUAAAAGUAAAACGAUAGUAUUUUUUAGGGGUAAAAGCAAAACAAUAUUUUCUGAAACAGAAAAACAAUAUUGUUUACAAUCAAAUUAUCCAUUUUUAGAAGUAGUUAUUGGUUGAUUCAGUUUAACCUUUGGAUUUGCUUCUGUCGUCUUAACGGCACAAGAGGCAAACGUUCAUAUUGUCUGUUCGUUACUACAUAGUACUUCUGCUUUUCUUUGGACCAAACUUGGUAGACUUCUUGUAUGUAUGUUUCAAGGAUCACUUGUUCUUUAACAUAUUUGAAAUCAUAUACUAAUGUAGAACAAUGUCAAAAAAUAUCAGAAUUGUUAACCACUAAUUAUUGCAUAUGAAAUAACAAUUACAAAUUAAACCGUCAUCAUCAAAAUAUAAAAUUGAAUUAUAAAGACUUUUGAUGUCUAAACUACCAAUUUCAAAGUUUUUAUAAACCCUCCAAUUCUUGCCCUUUUUUCAUUUCAUAAGCAUAUACACUCACAAUUUUGUCUAUGCAUUAAUGAACAUGAUGAAGUUAUAUCAAUUUGAAUUUCUCUUAUCCCUCUUCCUUAUCAUUGUCAAUACAACCUUUUCGGGUUAUGUCCCUCAAUUGUCUCCUUCUCUUGGCAAACAAAUAGGGAAGACAUUAGACAAGAUCAAACAAUCUCCUCCAUCAGAUGAACAACCAACAAAAGAGAUUGAAGGCCUAUCUCAAAUCAAACAACAUUUGGACACUUUCGGCUACUUCCAACGAUCUCCGCUGGACUUUGAUGACGUUCUAGACAAGGAAACAAUAUCCGCUAUUAAGGCUUACCAACAAUUUUUCAAUCUCCAGGUUACUGGUCACCUAGACUCCGAGACUUUACAACUACUCUUGUUACCAAGAUGUGGUGUUCCUGAUAUGAAUUUUGAGUACAGCUUCACUGACGCAAUUAAUAUAUCAUUACCGAAAGGAAACAAGUGGUUUCCCAAGGGCACGAAAAAGCUUACGUAUGGUUUUCAUCCGGAGAGCCAAAUCUCAACUGACAUGAUCAAAGUGUUUAGAAAUGCCUUCACACGAUGGUCGCAGACCACUAGGGUCCUAAAUUUUAGCGAGACAACAUCAUACGAUGAUGCUGACAUUAAGAUUGGAUUCUACAAUAUUACCUACAAUGAUGCAGUUGAUGAUGUUGUUGUGGGUGACUCUUUCAUCAGCUUGAAACUUGAUUCGAAGGCGAAGUCAGGUUUGAUACGUCUAGACGCUUCAAAGUACUGGGUGUUGCCAACUACCUACUUUUGGUACUGGGAAUUUCACCAAUUCGACUUGGAGACUGUUGCCAUGCAUCAAAUAGGUCAUCUACUAGGACUUGAUCACUCGUCUGAUGAGGAGUCUAUUAUGUACCCAACAAUAGUGCCAUUGCAACAAAGGAAGGUGCAGAUAACAGUUUCAGAUAACUUAGCUAUUCAACAACUCUACACCAACUCUGUCAAAGCCAAUCCAGACUCUGAUCAUAGUGGGUGCUUCAAACUUUUUGAGUCUACUUUUGAUACCUCUUUGUCCCUUGGUUUUGCUUUCGUGGCUCUGAUGAACUUGGCUUUCUAAUUAAUACAUCAUUUGAUUAGGGACUCACUUUUACGUAAGUUAAAUAAUUAAUUUGUGUACUUUACUUCAUGUGUCAUUUUCGGUUAAUGUUAAAUAGUUUGUUAUGGGGUAUCAUGAUACGUGAUUAUUGUAAUUGAUUAGAUAUCCAUUGGAGUGCAAAAUUCACUACAAUAUUGUUGGGAUAUUUAGCAACAUUUGAAAAAUGAUACAAAGCCAUACAAAAAUGUAAUGAAUUUGAUUUAGUAACAUCUUAGCCUCCGAGAUAAAACCAACGUUGCUAAAAGGUUCUAUUGGAAUGAUAAAACCUUGGAGUGUGCUCAUUUCAAAGUUUUAGGUUAUAACAUAAGCCAGAUGAAGGAACAUAAAGACCUAUAUUAUAUACCCACUCAUGAAUUUUCUCGAACUAACCGAACUCCUUCAUAUACGUCAGGAGUCCAUUGAUGAGAGGGCGUUGGAGAAAGCUUGAACCCAAUUCCUACGGUGAUGAAUAUAAGAUCAAUUGAAAUAUCUCUUUGAUAAAGGAUUUCUCCAUAAUGGCCAUGAAUGGUUGCUCCUUGAGUCGCCAAUAUAGAUUAGCUGACUCUCUCAAGUGUCAAUUUCAGUAGGCUAAUUUAUCUUCUUUAAAAAUGAAUUAAAAAUGGUACAUGCAUUAAUGAAUUAAAAAUGGUACAAUGCAUUAAAAAUAAAUCUGCCAAAUAAAAGUUUUAAAAAUGUAUAAAACAUGUGGUGCAAACAUAAAAUUAUUUUACGCCGCUAUGGUGAUUUGCAAUAGUUAUAAGGACACUCCGCAUCGGUGGCUAAUAACAAUUCUAAAAUAACUUGAAUAACAAUGUCACAUAGUUGAUCUAUCUAAGAUCGAUGAAGAUGAAGAUGAAGAUGAUGAUGAGUUGAGUAGGUGCGGUGUAGCGGAGUAGCUGGAUAUCUAGAAAAAUACUUCGACGCUCGGUAAGAGCUAAAGGUGUUUCGAGGUUUUUUUGGAUUGAGAAUGUGUACUAUUUUUUUUAGAAUGGGUGACUCCUUUUAGAGGCGGUGAUUCGGGUUGUGAUAGUGAUCAAAGGGGCCAUAUUGUCUCUGCCUGCCAUUCUCUAUUUUGUGGUUUUAUGUUGACGUUAGUGUACUGCGUUUGAAUCAGGUAGCUUAUUGAGCAGUCAUGUCUUAGAAUUGGACCUUGACUGGUGAAAAACAAUACCUUAAAAAGAAAAACAACGUGCUAGUUAUUGGUUGAUUCAAUUACUACUUAUUAUAACUUCAGUUUUUCAAGGAUCACUUGUUCUUUUACAUAUUUGAAAUCAUACACUAAUGUAUAUUAAUGUUAAAAAAUGUUUGAAUUGUUAACCUCUAAUUGUUGCAUAUGAAACAACAAUUACAAACUGUCACCAUCAAAAUAUAAAAUUGAAUUAUAAACACUUUUGAUGUCUAAACUACCAAUUUAAAAGUUUUUCUCUAUAUUUUAUUUCAUUUACUUUUAUUUUAUAAACCCUCUAAUUCUUGCCCUAUUUUCAGUUCAUAUUUUAUCUAUGCAUUGAUCAUUAAUGAACAUGAUGAAGUUAUAUCAAUUUCAAUUGUUCUUAUCCCUCCUCCUCAUCAUUGUCAAUACAACCGUUUUAGGUUAUUAUAUAGCUCAAUUGUCUCAUUCUCAAAUCAAAAAACAUUUGAACACUUUCGGCUACUUCCGACGAUCUCCGCUGGACUUUGAUGACGUUCUAGACAAGGAAACAAUAUCCGCUAUUAAGACCUACCAACAAUUUUUCAAUCUCCAAGUUACUGGUCACCUAAACACCGAGACUUUACAACAAUUCUCGUUUCCAAGAUGUGGUAUUCCUGAUAUGAAAUACGAGUACGGCUUUCAUGAUGGAAGUAAUGUAUCAUUUCCGAAAGGAAACAAGUGGUUUCCCAAGGGCACGAAAAAGCUUACGUAUGGUUUUCUUCCGGACAACCGAAUCCCAAUCGACAUUAUCAAGGUGUUUAGAAAUGCCUUCACACGAUGGUCGCAGACUACUAGGGUCCUAAAUUUUAGCGAGACGACAUCAUAUGAGGAUGCUGAGAUUAAGAUUGGAUUCUACAAUAUUAAUUACAAUGAUGCGGUUGAUGAUGUUGUGGUGAGUGACUCUUUCAUCAGCUUGAAACUAGAUUCAAAUGUGAAAUCAGGUAUGUUACGUCUAAACGGUUCAAAGUCUUGGGUGUUGCCAACUUACACCAAAUUUUGGGACUGGCAAUUUCAGCAAUUCGAUUUGUUGACUGCGGUGAUGCAUCAAAUAGGUCAUCUACUAGGACUUGAUCACUCUUCUGAUAAGGAGUCUAUUAUGUACCCAACAAUAUUGCCAUGGCAACAAAGGAAGGUGCAGAUAACAGAAUCAGAUAACUUAGCCAUACAACAACUCUAUUCCAGCUCUACAAAAGCCAAUGCAAACUCUCAUUAUAGUGGCCUCUUUGCCUCUUUGUCCAUUGGAUUUGCUUUUGUGGCUCUGUUGAACUAGCAUUUAAAUUAUAUCCCUUCAUUAGAGACUCUUUUUUACAUAAGUUAAAUGAUUAAUUUGUGUAAUACUUUACUUCGUGUGCCAUUUUCCGGUAAUGCUUAAUAAUAUAUGUUUAGGAUUUAGCAACAUUUGAAAUAAGGUGCUAAAACAUGCUAAAAGUUAUAAACUUUAUAUAUUAACAUUUUAACUUCCUAUAUACACAUUUUGAUCACAUAUAUGGAAAAUUCUAUGGUGAAGUUAUGAGAAUGACUUUUUUGGUGAAGUUAACACUAUAACAUCAAAAGUUUUGUGAGUAACACCCCACUGUUUAUACAAUGACAUCAAAGUUCAGUCCCAUAAUAUCAUCAAUUCAUCAAAUUAACAAGAAUACACUUAAUUUAAUUUUAUUCUACCUUAUUUUAAGUAUAACACGCCCCAAAGUGUAUCAAUUAAGACUAUCAUAUGAUAUCAACAACUUUGUUUACAUGUUAAAGAUGUCAACUAUAAAAUAGUACUUGUAAGUCCAAAAUAUUGUAAGCAUUACUAGAUGAAUUACUAUUAAUCAUUAAUCAAUAAUCAACAAUUUAAAAAUGAAUCAAACAUUAAAGUUAAAAUUAACUUUUUCAAAAAAAUUAGUUUCAUGACUUCACCUUAAAAGCUCCCAUAGUAUAUAUCCAAUUGCAAAAUGAAGUAUUAUCAAUCAAUUCAAACCACAAAAAAGUUGGUACACAUUGGCACACCAAUGUGUUCGAAGAAAUGCUGAAUAAAUUUAUAUACCUUCUUGAUGACCAAAGAAUCCAUUUGACAUACUAUUCCAUUGAAACUGUUUCUUACGUACCCAAUCCUUAGUUUCAUGUUUCUUACGUACCCAAUUUUUAUUCCUUUUAUUAUUCUUUGUAGUAAAGGUAGUUUGUGAUUAGAGAAGCAUGAACAUGAUUAAAUCACAUUGAUUCAACCGUAUGAUAUCAUAUUUGGAUAAAUCAUGUUUCGCUAUUACUCAUCAGUUUACGAUGAGCAAAGAAGUAACUAAAUAACAAGAGUUUUUUUUUCUUUUGUUAUGGUCGGAAUUCGAACCCGGACCUUGUAUAUAUUAUACAUUGUUCAUACUAACUGAGUUAAGCUCACGAAGACAAAUAACAAAAGUUAGUUACAUAUGUUAAUAUAUGGGUUUCCCUCAAAAAAUAAAAAAAUGUCAAUAUAUGGGAUUAAAUUAUUAGUAUCAUGUAAUCGUCCUUGCGCCGAAUAGGGAGUUUAAGAAAAAAAUUGUGUAAUCGUAAGAGAGAAAUAAUUUUGGAAUAUAUUUGGGAACUUCUACGGUACACCUCACAAAUAAUUUGUUAAUACUUUAAUUUUAAGAAACAUCAUUUCAUAAAAAAAACAAAACAUCAAUUCAUUGUUUAUAAGAAUCAUAUUAAAUUUUUAACAUUUUUUCAUAAAAAAUAAUCAAUAAUCUUUGUCAUGAGUAGUAGAAAAUAAAAAAUAAAAAAUAUUUUGUUGACGCUUUUGGAAAAUAAGAUUUAAUUAUUAUAAUUGUCAAUGAUAAAAAAUAAUUCUUUUUCUUAAAAAAAAAAAAAAAACAACCCAUUUAAUUAUUAAUUUAAAGAUUUGGUGUACCGGAACACUCAAAUUGUUGAAUUUACCAUAAAAUUUGCCUAUGUAUUAUUUCGUUCAUGCAUGUGAAUGCUUUUGUUGCGGGCAAAUUUUAUGGUACACCCAAUAAAUUUGGGUGUAUCGAUACACCAAGUCGUAAAAUUAAUAAUAAAUGAGUUGUUUUUUUGAAGAAAAAUAAUUAUUUUCUAUCAUUGACAACUAAGAUAAUUAAAUUUUAUAUACCAAAAGAUUCGACGAAAUAAAAUUUAAUUUUUAAGAAUUUUUAUUACUCAUAACAAUGAAUAUUGAUUAUUUUUUAUGACAAAAUGUAAACUUUGUAAUAUGAUCCUUAUAAACAAUGAAAUGAUGUUUUCUAAAAUAUAAAUAUUGACAAAUACCUUUUUAUUUCAUUAAAGUGAUCUUUAAUUUAUAUAUUUUGUGAAACAAGAGUACCGGUACACUCAAAAAUGUGAAUGUACCAUAAAAGUUCCCUUUGUUGCGGCCGACACAAGUAUUACUGCAUCUCGACAGUGGACGCCAAAUGUUCUUGCUGGUACACGUGGAGACGAGCCAUGAGAUAUUUGUGCCAUUUGGAUAAAAGUUAAUUAUUUAAUAUAUAUAUAUAUAUACACUCUUUUUUAAAAUUUUAGUCCCUAUUAAAAUUUAUUGAAAAAUUUAGUUCUCCAUAAUAUUGUAGCUUAAAAUAACGGUUCCUAUUUUAAAAAUAUUUUACUGAAAAUGAAUACUCUUAGUCCUUAAAAUAAUCGAUAUAAAAGGAAAAUAAGGUUUAAAAGUGAAUAGAUUUUUUUGAAUAACUAAAUUUGAAAGCUCCUGUUUUUGUACUAGGAUAUUUAUAACCAUUAAUAAAAUAAAUUUGUAAGCCAAAUCUUGAGAAAACAAUUGUUAAAACUUAAAUGUAAUGUUGUAAACUCUUUUUGAAAUCUUCUUUUACGUAUCUUAUUCUUAUGCUUGAAUGCAGCGACGGAUUCAGAAUUUUUUAAUAGUGGGGCACCAUAUAAAAAAAUUUGUAGCAUUAAUAAUUGUCCUCUAUAAUUUUUCAUAUUAUGGAAACUUUGAAUGGUUUUCUUAUUUUGAAAAUCAAUAAAAAUAUAUUUCUUUAUAUAAAUAACUAAACAAUCAUUUAACCGAUCAUCUCUCAUUCAAUUUUGCAUCAGAUUCUUGAUAAUAUUCAUACUAUCAAGAAAUAAUUUGAGAUAUAUGAUUAUAUAUGUGGGCCAAAAUACAAAUAAUUUGUGAUAAAUGUGGAUCGUAUGAUCAAAAUGUCAACUAUUGAUACAUUAUACUACUAAAAAUAAUAGUUUCUUAAAAAUUUAGUGUAGGCACAAGCCCACAUAUGGAUGAACAUACAUCCGUCCCUGCUUGAAGGACUUGUGAGCUUUGAUUUUUUUAUUUUAUUUUGGCUUUUUAAACAAAAAAAAAAAAACAGAGAAAACAAUUGUAAAAAAAAAUUAAAAAAAAAAAUCCUGCAAAAGAGUCAACAAAACACUUAUUGAGUAUUUGGCUUUCAUGUCUUUGCAAAAUCUUGCCUUAGCAAGCCUUAACUCAUAACAACCAUGUCGUUCUUUCCCUCUCGUACUCACAUGAAGAAAAAUAAAUUGACUAUUAUUUUUCUCACCCUAUGUACUUUUCACGUGCCUUAUUUUUUCCCAAAAUAUCAUUGGUUCGGAUUUUAUAAUUUGAACAUGAUUUCAAGAAAUAUUCAUAUUACAUAAUCCGAAAAUGUCUUUUACCAAAAUUUUAAUUUGAGUUUGGUUUAUUUUAUAUUAUUUAGAUGCAAAAAUCAUAAAAUAAAUGAAAAAAAUAAAAGAACAAAAGAUAUACAUAAAAAUUUCAUUUUAUUAUUAUAUCAAUACAUUUACAAUAAAGCUGAAUCUUAAAGCUUAUUACAUAUAACAUUCAAACACCUAAAACUAAUUUAUUAGCGGGGUAUAACUAAAUCUGCAGCACAAGAAGAUGUUGGGGGAGCUAAACUAGUGGCGCAAGCUGAUGGGGAGGAAAGGUGAACGGGUGGGCGAAGGGGAAAGAGAUGUUGGGGGGGGGGGCAUAGGUAUGGUUUGUUUCCUUUUAAGGGCGAAAGAGACCUUGAUGGUAAACUUUGCACCCAAACAAACCGUGCUUCUUUGCAGUGCAUUGCCUUCCCCGUUAACCGUUCAUACAAUCCUUGAGUCCAAAGUAGCAUCUUUUUAUGAAAUGCCAACGAUGGGAACACAUUGUUGUAUAAGGAAGAUGAGGAAGAGGAUGAGAGUGUGAGAUGAUGGUGUGAGAAAUGGUGAAGGUUUAUACGUUAUUUAUAGGGGGGAAUGGUUGCAUAUAGUGUAUCUACACUUAAUGUUGAGUCAAAAAAACGUGGUUCAAAGGGGUUUUACCACCCAUUAAUGCUGGUAAAAACCUUUGAAAAUGUGUUUUAUGUGGUUCAGACCACCGGCCAAGAAACUCACUUGGUUCAAAUUAUAUAAUCUGAAAUCAUACCCAUGGUUUUCGGAUUAUAUAAUCUUAAUUAAUUCAAUGCUAGGUGGAAAUGAAGGAAACUUCAUACCUUAUGCAGGGUGAGAGACUUUUCGGAUUAUAUAAUAAGAAAAUGUUUAGGACAUGAUUUUUUUCUGUGGUCCGCAUUGCACCGACAGUUUAUGUGCUAUAGGACACCCAAGUACCUCUAUAAAUAGGUGUCCUUGUUUUCAUAACCAAAAAACCACACACAAAAAACAUGGAAAACUCUCAUUGAUCCGAACACCAAGCUAGCUACAGUUUACUACAACGGGGAGAAACCAAUCCAUUUGUUCAGGAUUCACACUUAUGUCGCCCUCUCCGUGUUGAAGGGUCAGCUGGAUCGAAUCAACCGCCAACUCAACUAAAGAGACACACAGAGGGUGGAUGGUGUUGAGUAUCGACAUCCAUCGAUCGACUCAGCCGGGAGUGUGCGGUUCACCCGGAUGAUGCCUAUGAACGACGAUGUGAGAACCAUAUUCUUGAUCUUUGGUCAGUACAGUACUAGAGGGCCGAUCGAGUUAGACGCUUCGUUGGUCAUAUAUGUUGAACAAAUUCAUAAAAGUUUGAUCCGACCGAAGAACUACGAAGAGAUUAGGGCACUCCUGGACGCACCAUAUGAAGACAUUAAUUUAGCUCAUAUGUGGUAUGAUUCUCAUCAAAGGGUCCAUAUUUUCUUUGGUUCCCAUUCUCUAUUUUGUGGUUUUAUGUUGACGUUAGUGUACUGCGUUUGAAUCAGGUACCUUAUUGAGAACUCAUGUCUUACAAUUGGACCUUGACCCAGUGAAAAAACAAUACCUGAAAAAAGAAAAACAAUGUGCUAGUUAUUGGCUUAUGCAGUUACUACUUAGUAAUUGUUUUUCAAGGAUCACUUGUUCUUUAACAUAUUUGAAAUCAUAUACUAUGUAGAACGAUGUUAAAAAAUGAUAGAAUUGUUAACCUCUAAUUGUUGCAUAUGAAACAACAGUUACAAACCGUCACCAUCAAAAUAUAAAAUUGAAUUAUAAACACUUUUGAUGUCUAAACUACCAAUUUAAAAGUUUUUCCUCUAUAUUUUAUUUCAAUUACUUUUAUUUUAUAAACCCUCUAAUUAUUGUCCUUUUAUUUUUUCUAUGCAUUAAUCAUUAAUGAACAUGAUGAAGUUAUAUCAAUUUGAAUUGUUCUUAUCCCUCCUCUUUAUCAUUGUCAAUACAACACUUUCGGGUUAUAUCCCUCAAUUGCCUCAUUCUCUUGGCAAACAAAUAGACAAGAUUAAACAAUCUUCUCCAUCAGAUGAACAACCAACAGAAGAGAUUCAAGGCCUAUCUCAAAUUAAAAAACAUUUCGACACUUUCGGCUACUUCCCACAAUUUCUAUUGAACUUUGAUGACGUUCUAGACGAGGAAACAAUAUCCGCUAUUAAGACGUACCAACAAUUUUUCAAUCUCCAAGUUACUGGUCACCUAAACACCGAGACUUUACAAAAAAAUCUCGUUACCGCGAUGUGGUAUUCCUGAUAUGGGAUACGAGUAUGGCAUCGAUGUUGGAAGUAAUGUAUCAUUUCCGAAAGGAAACAAGUUGUUCCCUAAGGGCACAAAAAAGCUUACAUAUGGUUUUCUUCCAGGGAAAAAAAAUCUCAUUAGACAUGAUCGAAGGGUUUAGAAAUGCCUUCACAUGUUGGUCGCAGACUACUAGGGUCCUAAAUUUUAGCGAGACAACAUCAUACGAUGAUGCUGACAUUAAGAUUGGAUUCUACCAUAUUUACAACAAUGAUGUUGUUGAUGAUGUUGUGGUGGGUGACUCUUUCAUCAGCAGGAACCUUGAUUCGAAUGAGAAAUCAGGUAUGGUACGUCUGGAAUGUUCUAAGUUCUGGGUGUUGCCAACUACCACCUACUUUAAGAAGUGGGAAUUGCAAGAAUUCGAUUUGGAGACUGUUGUCAUGCAUCAAAUAUCUACUAGGACUUGAUCACUCUUCUGAUAAGGAGUCUAUUAUGUACCCAUUAAUAGAUCCAUUGCAUGAAAAGAAGGUGCAAAUAACAGAUUCAGAUAACCAAGCUAUACAACAACUCUACACGGUUUUCCUUCCAAAAAAAAAAAAAAAAAAAAAAAACAACAACUCUACACCAACACUACCAAAGCCAAUCCAAACUCUGAUCAUAGUGGGUGCUUUAAGCUUUUUGAGUCAAGUUUUGUUCUUCUUACCUCUUUGUCCUUUGGUUUUGCUUUUGUAGCUCUCAUGAACUUGGCUUCCUAAUAAUUGUGUACCUUACUUCAUGUGCUAUUUUCCGUUCAUGUUGAAUAGUUUGUUAUAGGGGGUAUCAUGAUAUAUGGUUGUUGUAAUUGAUUACAUAUCUAUUGGAGUGCAAAAAUCACUUCAAGUAGACUUUCGACUUAUCGACUAUAAUAAAGAUCAAUAAAUUAUAUUAUCUAUUUUCAUUGAUGAUAAAUAAGUUGUAGGGUUUAUUACCAUAAAAUAUGGUAUGAUAAACAUUCAUAUAUUUUGAGGCCAGUGGCGGAGCCAGGAUUUUUAAAGAAUCUGAGCAAAAUUUUGAAUGCAAAUUCACAUGUGACAUAAUAUAUAAAUAGUGUUAUACAUCGAAAUCAAAUAGGCUCGUCAUUUUGACAAUAAAAGUACAAUUUGAAAUAAGAGAGAUGAAACAUAACCUGCUAAUAUUCAUAUUUUGUUACCAUAAAGUAAAUGAGCAAUAUUCAAAUUUUAUUACCAUAAAGUAAAUGAGCAAUGAAGUAUAUAUAGAUUUUGAUUUAUGAGAGUAUUAAGUAUUGGUUUGGGUGAAUAGUAUAAUAGUUCAUAGUUAGGAGAAUUAUUCAAGUUAAGUCACUUUAAGAAUUUAUUCAAAAAAUUGAUUAUAGUAAUCAAUUUCAAAUUCCAAUGAUAUUGAUUAUAAUAUAAUAUUUUAUUAUAUUGAUUAUACUAAUUUUAGUGGUAAUUUUAUGAAUUAUUCAUUUUUAAAAUUUAUAGUAGAAUAGAAAAUAUAAAAAAUAAAAUAAAACAAUGAAUAAGUUUUAGUGACAGCCGCAACCGUAGGUAGAGGUCCAUAAUAUUUUUAAAAUGGCCUCUUAGAAUUACCAAUGGUUUCGUCCGUAGUUAAAGGUGGAAAACAUGCAGUGACAACCACUUGACAACGAUAGAUGGAUUUAGCUACGGAAAUUUUUCCUACAGUGACGAAUUUUGGCUGUCACUGAUGAGUCAUUUAUAUACUAUUUUAAUAUGCUUUUUAGUUUAGUUUUAUUUAGAUUUUAUAUAAUUUUAUAUUAGUAUUAUUUCCUUUUUAGGAUAGUUUACUUUAAAUUGCAAUUUAUUAUAUUUCAGGGAAGAAUAUUGGAUGGAUUGAGUCUUGGAGCAAAAGAAAGGGAUUUGGAGCAGAUUGGACACGAAAAUAUGAAGAUUGGGAGACAAAAUAUGUCUCCCACAAGUCAGAAGCCUGGCACGGCCCGUGCUAGCCUUGGCACGGCCGUGCCACCCUCCAGAAGACCUUUUGCUGCUUUUGCUUGGGCUCUAAGCUAUUCUAUUUUGGCGCACAAUCUACCGUGGAAUAUUCUUGGAAUAUACUUGCUUAGAUUUUAAGUCAAUUGUGUACUAUAAAUAGAGUAGCUAGCCAUCACAAAUAUUCAUCUUUUCUUGGAAUGCAAUAUGUGACAAUUGUUUUCUAAUAAAAGUUCAUUUACUUUAUUGUUAUUUACUUUUAUGCUUUCUCUCUUCUUCUCCUUGUCUACGAUGAACGUCAGUGAGUAGACUUCUCUUGUCUUGGGAUUGUUGGAUAAGUCUAAUGACAUAAUCCUAAUCAAACCAAGCUUUAAACCUUAAUCUUAUGUAACCCUAAUUCCUUAUCUAAAUUCACCGCUUUAACAUGGAUCAACCAUUAUCAAACUGUGGAAACGAAAGUGGAGGGUUUGAUAAUUGUUUAUCCAUCAUCUCAAAUAUCAAUUCAUAAAACGAAAGUGGAGCUUUGAUAUUCGAACAAGUGAAUUUAGACAAGGAUUGCAAAGUCAGCGAAAUAGGCUUUGCAAUCUUUGAGACAUAUAGUUUCGAUCUUCAAGGGAACUAAUAACAAUCAAGUCAGCGAAAUAGGCUUGGUUGUUAGAGGAACCAAAAUCUAAUAGUAAUCAAGUCAGCGAAAUAGGCUUGGUUGCUAGAGGAACAAAAGAGAAACUGUCUUGAGAAAUUAGGUCUAACAUAAAGUUAUAAGUUUAAUAGUUUGGUUUGAGAAGGACUUGUCGUUAGGAUGAACCAAUAACCCCAAGGCUUUUAUCUUUUAUUUUAUUAUUUGCUCUUAAUUAAAAUCCCAAACUUUUCUACCUUAUAAACCUUUAGUCCAAUCAUUAUCUAAAGUUAAUUGAAUUCGUAACUCCCUGUCGGAACGAUACUCAUAUUUUACUACUUCGGUAAGACCGUGCACUUGCGGUUUUAUCCCAUCAAGUUUUUGGCGCCGCUGCGGGGGAUUGUCCGAAGGUGAUUCAAGAAAACGAGAAAAUUUUGAGGCCCCAUGUCCAGAACCUUGGCACGGCCCGUGCUAACACUGGCACGGCCGUGCCAGACCUUGCUACCCAAAAACUGACCCACAAUCCAGAAAGUUGGCACGGCCCGUGCUAAGUUUGGCACGGCCGUGCCCGAUCCCAGGUUCAGUUUUAUCUAACUUUUCAUCUUCUUCAUCCCCCAUUCUCAACCACUCACAUCCCUCAUCCUCCCAUUUUUAUCUAAAACCUCCAUAACCAAAAAACCUUACAAACUCCAUACCUCCCUCAAAACCUCACCAAUUCUCAAAAUUUCUUCACCCCAUCAACCACAAUCCACAUUUCAAUCAUAACCCUUCCAUCAAAAACAACUUUCUUCCAUCCCUACCAAAAAAAAAAAAACAUCAAAUUCGUAGCCCCCAUUCAACCAACUACAAAACCCACAAAUUCUUCACCAAUUCACCCAACCCAACUCCUAACACUUACUCAAACCCCAACCCCAUCACCCAACCUUCACCCAAAACACAAAAGGUCCACCAAGGUUAAGGAUAAUGGCAUCUAGGAAAGGUGGAGCAAGCUCUUCCGGAGGACCACAAUCAAAGAAGAAAACGCAAGCCAAGAAUCAUGGCAUAAUCUUCAAGGACACCAAGCAAAGGGACAGGUAUAAAAUUCUUCUCUCUAAACCUUUGCAUCCUUGUCGAUAUCCAGAUCCUUAUACUUUGAGUGUGCUAGGACUAAGGGAUAAUGUGUUUAAAUUACUAGGAAAUUUAGGAUGGGUUGAUAUGCUUAGACCUAUGAAAGGUUUCGAAAAUUUCACUUAUGAAUUCUUAAGUUCUAUUGAAUUUACGAAGGAUAAGGUGAAUUUUGACAACCCCGAUCAUAGAGUCUCUUUCCGACUUUUGAAUAUGGAUUAUGAGAUGUCUCUUGAAAAUUUCUGUUUAGAGAUGGACUUUGCAAAUGCGGGGUUCAUCCAUGACUCUUGGAAUCCAAAUUUAAAGUCGGAAAACUAUGACCCCGCUCUCUUUUGGAAACGCAUUACCGGGUUAAGGCAAUAUAAUCCCCGCAACAAUAAGGCUAGUAACAUUCACAACCCAGUACUUAGAUACCUCCAGAGAGUCAUGGCUUGUACCAUUUGGGGUAGAAAAGAGGUAGGAACAACUAGGACGGAUGAACUUUUUAUGCUUUGGGCAAUGCUUAGUAACAAUCCCGUUAAUACUUGUUUCUACCUACUUGAUUACCUUUCCUCCAUAGGAGCUAGACCUGAUAAUAGAGCUGAGAUAGUAGUCGGUGGUAUCAUUACCUUCAUCGCUAGGAAGUUUGGAGCGGGUGAGGAAGAUGGGAUAAAUCCAAUUGAGGGCAACAAUAGACUUAAUAUUGAAACCCUUGUUGCUAUGAACUUCAUUAAGAUUCACCCACCCAUGACUUAUGCACUUCAACUUCGCAUACCACUUUUAUUUCUACUUCCUAACCCAUCUCGGACUAACCCCGAGGUGGAGGAAAAUUUGUUGUAUGUUGGUGAUGGAUUACAGGUACAUGAAGAGCAUAAUCAAGGUGACGAAGAAGGUGCACACAUGCACCAUGAAGAGGAGCCCCAUGACCAUAACGACAACAAUGAAAGAUGGGCAUGGAUGCAAACCGAGGUACAAAGGAUAAGCACCGAGCAACAAAGGCAAGGUGUUGAAUUAUCCGGGCUAAGAAAUGAUGUCCUACGGGGCAACCGCAUAUCCGAAGAAAAUAACCAAAUGCUUCGGAACAUGAUGCAACACUUCAACCUCCAAGGCCCUCCCUAUGGACCUCAAUAAAAAUGUGAGCUUUCCUCUUCCUCUUUUUUCACCUCAUCUCUUUAAUCUCUAUCUCACUCUUCUACCUCUCCUUCUCUUCUACUUUUCUUUUAUCUUGAAUCAUUGAGGACAAUGCUUCUCCUAAGUGUGGGGGGAGCCUAAUAAAGUGUCUUUAGUCGUAGUGUUUCCAAACUCCCUUGAACUUUAUUCUUUUGUUUUGUUUUAUUGUAAAAGGCAUGGUUAAGUAGCUAAUUUUUAUUGAAAAUAUCAUGACACAAAAAUUUUCAUUGUCUCCUCUUAUUUUGUUGAUUAUUGUACAUGAAAGCAAACUCUUGUGUUUUAAGUCUUCUUGAUAUACCCACAUCUUGUUUUAAAGUGAAUAAAAUUCUCCAAUGAGAAAAACACAAAGUUGCUUCCCUUGAGUAAAUGUAUGAAUAGGUAUUUUAAGGAAACGCGUUUUAAUCUUAGUGGUGCAUUAACCUUUAAAGAUUCUCAAAAUGCCAGUAGUAUAAGUCAGUAUAAGGGAGUUCAUGAAAAGCCAAAAAGCCAAAUAAAUUCCAAGAUCUCAUCAUUGAAUCUAGAUUGGGGAAGGAGGUAGGCCCUCCGACUUCCUACGUGAAGAUGAUUGUUAUCUUGAGGAAAAACUUUAAAACGCAUCAUUGAAUCUAGAUUGGGGAAGGGGGUAGGCCCUCCGACUUCCUACGUGAAGAUGAUGUUUUAAGGGAUACCAUUGAAUCUAGAUUGGGGAAGGGGGUAGGCCCUCCGACCUCCUACGUGAAGAUGUUGUUCCUUAAAUAAAGAACUUAAAAUGUGCAAAUGGCAAAGAACAAAGAUUCUCAAAUACUCCCAUCUCUCUUAUAUGAAUUAUAGAAGGAAUCUUUCUUGGUUGGUUUAGUGCUAGGAUUAGACCAUGUUUCCUCAUAAUGCCUAUCUUAUACAGGAGCAAGAAAAGGGUUGGACUUCACACACACACUCACUUGAAACUUGAUCGUUGGGUUGAAUAAAAAUUACAAGAAACACUUGAGUUUGUGAUUAGUGUACACUUGGGAUUUAAGCCCUUGAGGAGACAUGUGCUUUAAUUGAAUUGUCAUUUGAUAUAACUGUUGGUGCUACUAUGUUUAUGCCUUUUGCUUGAGGACAAGCAAAGAUUCAAGUGUGGGGGAGUUUGAUGAGUCAUUUAUAUACUAUUUUAAUAUGCUUUUUAGUUUAGUUUUAUUUAGAUUUUAUAUAAUUUUAUAUUAGUAUUAUUUCCUUUUUAGGAUAGUUUACUUUAAAUUGCAAUUUAUUAUAUUUCAGGGAAGAAUAUUGGAUGGAUUGAGUCUUGGAGCAAAAGAAAGGGAUUUGGAGCAGAUUGGACACGAAAAUAUGAAGAUUGGGAGACAAAAUAUGUCUCCCACAAGUCAGAAGCCUGGCACGGCCCGUGCUAGCCUUGGCACGGCCGGGCCACCCUCCAGAAGACCUUUUGCUGCUUUUGCUUGGGCUCUAAGCUAUUCUAUUUUGGCGCACAAUCUACCGUGGAAUAUUCUUGGAAUAUACUUGCUUAGAUUUUAAGUCAAUUGUGUACUAUAAAUAGAGUAGCUAGCCAUCACAAAUAUUCAUCUUUUCUUGGAAUGCAAUAUGUGACAAUUGUUUUCUAAUAAAAGUUCAUUUACUUUAUUGUUAUUUACUUUUAUGCUUUCUCUCUUCUUCUCCUUGUCUACGAUGAACGUCAGUGAGUAGACUUCUCUUGUCUUGGGAUUGUUGGAUAAGUCUAAUGACAUAAUCCUAAUCAAACCAAGCUUUAAACCUUAAUCUUAUGUAACCCUAAUUCCUUAUCUAAAUUCACCGCUUUAACAUGGAUCAACCAUUAUCAAACUGUGGAAACGAAAGUGGAGGGUUUGAUAAUUGUUUAUCCAUCAUCUCAAAUAUCAAUUCAUAAAACGAAAGUGGAGCUUUGAUAUUCGAACAAGUGAAUUUAGACAAGGAUUGCAAAGUCAGCGAAAUAGGCUUUGCAAUCUUUGAGACAUAUAGUUUCGAUCUUCAAGGGAACUAAUAACAAUCAAGUCAGCGAAAUAGGCUUGGUUGUUAGAGGAACCAAAAUCUAAUAGUAAUCAAGUCAGCGAAAUAGGCUUGGUUGCUAGAGGAACAAAAGAGAAACUGUCUUGAGAAAUUAGGUCUAACAUAAAGUUAUAAGUUUAAUAGUUUGGUUUGAGAAGGACUUGUCGUUAGGAUGAACCAAUAACCCCAAGGCUUUUAUCUUUUAUUUUAUUAUUUGCUCUUAAUUAAAAUCCCAAACUUUUCUACCUUAUAAACCUUUAGUCCAAUCAUUAUCUAAAGUUAAUUGAAUUCGUAACUCCCUGUCGGAACGAUACUCAUAUUUUACUACUUCGGUAAGACCGUGCACUUGCGGUUUUAUCCCAUCAGUCACUAAAAGUCAAAUUUCUUGUAAAUUUCUUGUAGUGAUACAAAGAAAAUAUAGGUUGAACCCGGGUAUGUGCCCAUACUCGCGAGGUGGUAAAACCGCCCCUGCCACUAGCCGCAAAAAUUCUAAAGAAAUAGAUUCAAAGUUGCCUCUUAUUCAACGUUAUAGAAUUGACUUGUAAGAAACUUUUAGUUGCGACAAUUUAAUUUAUUUCAAAUGUUUCAUAAGACUAAUUAGUGGCUUCUCCUUGUGAUCUGAUUAAGGCAUAUAAACAAAAAGCCAUGUUGAUUUUCAUAAAGUAUUUUGUCGAAAGAAAAGUUAAACUUAUCACCAGCUUCCAACCACUUUACUUUGCAAACUGAUCUAUAUCCAUAGUAGACAUUUGUGUCUUUAUUUCAGUCCUUAAUAACAUGCACUCAUAGAAUGCUAUGAAGAAUUUUGAGUUAGCAUCACCUUUCUGAAGCCAGUCAUCCUCGCCUUCUACCAAUUAAUACUUGUUUGAACCCGUGACAAAGAAUGCAAACUAACUGACAACUCAUGAAGCUCCUGCACCUCAUCUUCAAGAAGCGUAGAUUCCUCCCCUUUGUGUUCAGGGAAGAGUUAAUUGUUUUUUUUUUUUUUUUUUUUACAAAAGGGAAGAAUUAAUUGUUAAUGACCAAACUAAUUGUAAAUUGUUAAAAUAUAUGGGAUUAAUUGAUAUAUAGUAAGUUGCUAAAUAUAAGGACCAACUCGACAGUUGAAUCGUGUCAAGAACCUUUUUAAAAUACUCAUAAUCUCAAGGAUGUAUUUGAGAAUACUCAUAAUCUCAAGGACGUAUUUGAUAGGGCACAACAUAGUUAGGGACUAAUUUGAUAGUUAACUCGUUAAUAAUCCUUCUGAAUGGUGCGUUGGAUAGGUCAACUGGUUUUAGUUAAUCUGAUUAAAAUUAGUUAUCUUCACUGUCAAUCAUUUUUUUUGCGCAUUCUCGGGCGAUUUCACAGAGAAUUCAUUCUCUCACGUUUGCAUUUUAUUUGUUUCAUAUUUUCUUUCUAUGCUAUUUAAAAAUCACUUUAGUCUUUUCAUACUUAUCAUUCUUAUAUUCUUAAUUUUUUUUUGGCUUAAUUGCACUUUUUGACCCCUAUCUUUUCAAAAGUUGCGGUUAUGGAUCCCUAACUAAUUUAAAUACAAAACAGCCCCCUAUGUUUUGAUUUUUUGGCAGUUUUGGACCCCCAAGGCAAAAAAAAAAAAAAAAACCACACGUGGCACCUCACUUAGGAUGCCACGUCAGCGUUGACCGAGUCAACAAUGGACUGGGGGUCCAAAACUGCCAAAGAAUCAAAACAUAGGGGGUUGUUUUGUAUUUAAAUUAAUUAGGGGUCCAUAACCGCAACUUUUGAAAAGAUAUGGGUCCAAAAGUGCAAUUAAGCCUUUUUUUUUGAUAAUUUUUAGUAUACUUUUACUUUGAACAUAUAUUAUAAUUUCUAAUUUUUUUUUUGAAAGAUUAUAAUUUCUAAUUAAAUUGCUUGUCUGUGCAUUCAAAAAUUUAUUUUUUUCAUUAGUAAAGUAUACUUUGAAUAUGGUCCCUUAAGCGUAAUUGUUGACUCAGUCCCGGCUAGUACAACUAUAUGACGGUGAUAGAAUGUAUUUAUUUUUGCUUAUAAUUAUAAUUAUAACGUGGACAGCAUAACAAUCGUUGAUUUAAGAACGAAGCGAGUAUUGAAAGAGAAAGAAUGAUUGAAGCUAACGCGUCCUAUUUUGUUUGUGUAUUUUAAAAUAGUUGAGGGAUGAAUAAAAAAAGGAGUGGUUAUACUCAAAUAGAAGGUAGAUGAGUUGUAUAAUUAUUGUUUUGUAUUUUUUGUACUUUGUGUUUUGUCUUGUAAUAAUAGUUGACUUGACUCUUGAGUAACGAUGUCUUCCUCUGAUCAUCCAUGGAUCUACCACAUGUUCAUCAACUUCAGGGGGAAGGAAUAUUUUUUGAACUUAGAUAGAUUCUUUAAAUUUUGUUGGAAACAUUGUAAAUAAAAUAUAUUUAUUGAAUGUGGAUUGACUUUUAAAAUUGGGAAAAAUGACCAAAUUUCUUUAAAAAUGUAAUUUUAGAAAAGAAAAUACUAAAAUAGAUUAAAAAUAGUUAUUUUUUCUAUGUUAAAAUUAAUUAAUUCCUUUAUGUAUAUAUUGGUGAUUGAAAGAAAUAAUUAAAGAGAAAAAGAAGAAUUAAAUACAUAAAAUUAAAUUUCUAUUAUUCAAAAUUGUUUUUUUUUAUUGGUAAAGAAAGAUAAAUAUUGGUAAAAAAAAAAAUAAUUAAGUGAUUGGUAAAUUUGGAAAGAAAAAAUGUAACACCAAAAGCAAUUAUUUUAUAAGUUUUUUUAUAAUAUCCAAUAUUAUCCUUAUUGUUAUGAAGUGUUCUUUCUAUUUUAUAAUUUUAAUUGAUGAGUGUAUUCCCUUAGGUUUUGUUUGAGAGUUUGAAGGGGAGUGGAGAUGAGGGUUUUGAAGGAAAUGAAUGUGCAAGUGGGAAAAAUAGAAGACAUUGGAAGAAGAGGGUUUUGAGAGGUUAAUUUUUUAUUCAUAAUACAAAAUCUUUCUCAUUUUGGUUAACUCAAAUUGUGUUGGUGGAUGAUUUUGUUGGAACAAAAUGUGUUUCACAAUGAACCUUAUUAAGUUUUGAUGAUAACAAGGUAUUAAAAAUUGUCAAUUGGUUAUUACUAAUAAUUGUUCAAGUGUACAGGACCAAAGGCUACUCAAGUUAUUUCAAUAGGUCUUGGAAGAACAAUGGAAAGAAAAAGAAAUUCUGAGCAUCUGAAGAAAACUGCUCCUGAAGCUAAACUGCUCCUGAAGAGAUGACGUCAUCAGAAGCAGAAAGCUGCUCCUGAAGCUAAACUGCUCCUGAAGAGAUGACGUCAUCAGAAGCAGAAAGUCAUCAGAAGCAGAAAGUCAUCAGAAGCAAAAGUUUUCAUCAGAAGCAAUAUUUUCACCAGAAGCUACAUUUGAUCCUUUAAUCAAACUGAAGAUUCAAAGUUGCUGAUUCUCAAUUCAGUCUUAUCAAAGAAGAACGAAGAAUUGAAAGGGAGGUAUCAACGGAUAUAUGGAUAGCACUGAGCACUUGUCUCUCAUUAAUAGAGUUGACAAAGUACAAGUGUACAACCACUACCUCCACUACUCUGUUUUCUGUCUACGCUACAAGACAAAACAACAGCCAUGCCUGCAGAAUUUGUACAACUCAAGAUGGGAAUGAAUUUGAAGUUUAUCCUUCAAAGGACUACACCCAAAUCAGGCAAAAGAUCACUGGUGGAUAAUCAAAGGAUUUCAAACGACUCUUUAGACGUGCUGAUUAUCUCAACGUCUCUUUCACGCCUCUAUAUAAAGGAGUGAAGACUUGAAGAUUCAAGAUAGAGAUACAUAAGUUCAAAAGCGCCAAAACUCUGUCAAUUUGAUUCUACAAAGCACACUGAAUUUCUGCACUGAUUUGAUACAUCUUAGAAAUUCAAAGUCUAGAGUCUUUUCUGUAUUGUAUUGUGAACACCACUGAUUGUAUAUCAAGUGUUCAAUUCAAACUCAAUUCUCUGUAUUUUUGUUUGAUUAGAAGUCUCUUGCCUGCGUGCUUGAGCAUUAGAAGUCUCUUGCUUAGUGCUUGAGCAUUGGAAGACUCUUGCGUGUGUGCUUGAGCAUUGUUUUGUGAAGUCUCAUACUUUGAAAGUAUUGAGCAGUUGUAAUCUUGUGAUUAUAGUGAAAUCUCCUUGGAAGUGCAAGGGGGACUGGACUACUUCCGUGUUGUGGAAGGAACCAGGAUAACUGCCUGUGUCUUUGUCUUUCUUUUCUCUGCUCUGUUCUUUUCCGCUGCAAUCUGACUCUGAUCAUUUCAUCAGAAGCAAUCAAACUGCUUCUGAAGUUUUAUCAGAAGAAGAAUCCUUUUUAUUAAGAGAAAAAGAAAACACAAUUCAACCCCCCCCUUCUUGUGUUUUUCACCUUCAAUUGGUAUCAGAGCUUGCUCUGUUAUCACAGCACUUAACCGUGUUACAGUUCAAGAUCUAUUAGAAAAACAUGUCUGGAGAUGAGGAAUCAGUUACUCCAAAAUACACAAGUGUCAAGCAUGACUAUGAUACUGCUGACAAGAAAACAGACUCUGGAAAAGCUCCAAAGUUUAAUGGAGAUCCAGAAGAGUUUUCAUGGUGGAAAACUAAUAUGUACAGCUUUAUCAUGGGAUUGGAUGAAGAGCUAUGGGAUAUACUGGAAGAUGGAGUUGAUGAUCUGGAUUUGGAUGAAGAAGGAGCUGCUAUAGACAGAAGAAUACAUACUCCUGCUCAGAAGAAGCUUUAUAAGAAACACCACAAGAUAAGAGGAAUCAUUGUGGCUUCUAUACCUCGCACCGAAUACAUGAAAAUGAGUGACAAAUCUACUGCGAAAGCUAUGUUUGCUUCUCUUUGUGCAAACUUUGAAGGCAGCAAGAAAGUAAAAGAGGCUAAAGCUUUGAUGCUAGUUCAUCAGUAUGAACUUUUCAGAAUGAAGGAUGAUGAGAGUAUAGAAGAAAUGUACUCAAGAUUUCAAACUUUAGUUUCUGGAUUGCAGAUACUGAAGAAAAGCUAUGUUGCUUCUGAUCAUGUUAGUAAGAUUUUGAGAAGCUUACCUUCAAGAUGGAGACCCAAAGUAACUGCUAUUGAGGAAGCUAAGGAUCUAAAUACUUUAAGUGUUGAAGAUCUUGUUAGCUCACUCAAAGUGCAUGAAAUGAGUUUAAAUGAGCAUGAAACCUCUAAGAAGAGUAAAUCCAUUGCUUUACCAUCUAAAGGAAAGACCUCAAAGUCUUCCAAAGCCUACAAAGCCAGUGAAUCUGAAGAAGAAUCACCUGAUGGAGAUUCUGAUGAAGAUCAAUCUGUAAAGAUGGCUAUGCUGUCCAACAAGCUUGAGUAUCUGGCAAGGAAGCAGAAGAAAUUUUUGAGCAAGAGAGGUAGCUACAAGAACUUCAAGAAAGAAGAUCAGAAGGGAUGCUUCAAUUGUAAGAAGCCUGGUCAUUUCAUUGCUGAUUGCCCUGAUCUUCAGAAGGAGAAGUUUAAAGGCAAAUCCAAGAAAUCAAGCUUCAACUCCAGUAAAUUCAGAAAGCAAAUCAAAAAGAGCUUGAUGGCGACCUGGGAAGAUUUGGAUAGUGAAUCUGGUUCUGAUAAAGAAGAAGCUGAUGAUGAUGCUAAGGCAGCCGUUGGGUUAGUGGCAACAGUAUCAUCAGAAGCAGUAUCAGAAGCUGAAUCAGAUUCAGAAGAUGAAAAUGAGGUAUAUUCCAAAAUCCCUAGACAAGAACUUGUUGAUUCUCUAAAAGAACUUUUAUCACUGUUUGAACACAGAACCAAUGAGUUGACAGAUUUAAAAGAAAAAUAUGUUGAUUUGAUGAAACAACAAAAAUCAACUCUAUUGGAACUGAAAGCUUCUGAAGAAGAACUCAAAGGGUUUAACCUCAUAUCAACAACAUAUGAAGAUAGACUCAAGAGUCUUUGUCAGAAGCUACAAGAAAAAUGUGAUAAAGGUUCAGGCAAUAAACAUGAGAUUGCCUUGGAUGAUUUUAUUAUGGCUGGAAUAGACAGAAGCAAAGUUGCUUCUAUGAUCUACAGCACAUACAAGAACAAAGGCAAAGGGAUUGGAUAUUCUGAGGAGAAAUCCAAAGAAUACAGUCUCAAGAGCUACUGUGAUUGUAUCAAGGAUGGAUUGAAAUCCACCUUUGUGCCUGAAGGUACAAAUGCUAUAACUGCUGUUCAGUCAAAACCUGAAGCUUCAGGUUCACAGGCUAAGAUCACAUCAAAGCCAGAGAAUCUUAAGAUCAAGGUAAUGACAAAAUCUGAUCCUAAGAGUCAAAAGAUUAAAAUUCUGAAAAGAUCAGAACCUGUUCAUCAGAAUCUGAUUAAACCAGAAUCUAAAAUUCCAAAACAAAAGGAUCAGAAGAACAAAGCAGCUACUGCUUCUGAGAAAACAAUACCAAAAGGUGUCAAACCUAAAGUAUUGAAUGAUCAGAAGCCACUCAGCAUUCACCCUAAGGUACAAGGGAGGAAAAGUAAAACCUCCAAAACUAACCCAAAAGGACCCAUGAAGAUAUGGGUACCUAAAUCUGAAUUGGCCAAAAAUGCAGGUGUGCUUAAGGGCAAGAGAGAAACAAAGGUCAUGGUACCUAGACAGCGGAUGUUCAAGGCACAUGACUGGAGAGAAAGCUUUGUUCCUUACCCUUACAAUGAAAGAUGGAGGAGAAGUGAAGUUUGGUGGCAACCAAACUGGAAAGAUCAUUGGUACAGGUACUAUUGGUAAUUCCUCCAUCUCAAUUAAUAAUGUGUGGCUAGUAGAUGGUCUGAAGCAUAACCUAUUGAGCAUUAGUCAAUUUUGUGACAAUGGGUAUGAUGUAACGUUCAGUAAGACCAACUGCACACUAGUCAACAAGGAUGACAAAUCCAUUACAUUCAAGGGAAAGAGAGUUGAGAAUGUUUAUAAAAUAAAUUUCUCUGAUCUGGCUGAUCAGAAGGUAGUUUGCCUUCUGUCAGUGAAUGAUAAAAAAUGGGUAUGGCAUAAAAGGUUGGGACAUGCUAAUUGGAGAUUAAUUUCUAAAAUUAGCAAGUUACAACUGGUCAAAGGAUUGCCUAACAUUGAUUAUCAUUCAGAUGCACUUUGUGGUGCAUGUCAGAAAGGGAAAAUUGUGAAAAGUUCUUUCAAAUCUAAAGACAUUGUAUCAACCUCCAGACCCUUAGAAUUACUCCAUAUUGAUCUUUUUGGUCCAGUUAACACUGCAUCUUUAUAUGGAAGUAAAUACGGAUUAGUCAUUGUUGAUGAUUACAGCAGAUGGACUUGGGUAAAAUUCAUUAAAAGUAAAGACUAUGCAUGUGAAGUGUUUAGCAGCUUCUGCACUCAAAUACAAUCUGAAAAAGAAUUGAAAAUUUUGAAAGUCAGAAGUGAUCAUGGUGGAGAAUUUGAAAAUGAGCCAUUUGAACUUUUUUGUGAAAAACAUGGGAUUCUCCAUGAGUUUUCUUCUCCUAGAACUCCACAACAAAAUGGGGUUGUAGAAAGAAAGAACAGAACCUUACAAGAAAUGGCCAGAACCAUGAUCCAUGAAAACAACUUAGCUAAACAUUUUUGGGCAGAAGCAGUCAAUACUUCAUGUUAUAUUCAAAAUAGGAUCUAUAUCAGACCUAUGUUGGAGAAAACAGCAUAUGAACUCUUUAAAGGAAGAAGACCAAAUAUCUCUUACUUUCAUCAGUUUGGAUGUACUUGUUACAUCUUAAACACUAAAGACUAUCUGAAGAAAUUUGAUGCCAAGGCUCAAAGAGGAAUCUUUUUAGGUUACUCUGAAAGGUCAAAGCCAUACAGAGUGUAUAAUUCAGAAACACAAUGUGUUGAAGAAUCUAUGCAUGUAAAAUUUGAUGAUAGAGAGCCUGGAAGUAAAACUUCAGAGCAAAGUGAAAGUAAUGCAGGUACAACUGAUUCUGAAGAUGCAUCAGAAUCUGAUCAACCUUCUGAUUCUGAAAAGUAUACAGAAGUUGAAUCUUGUCCAGAAGCUGAAAUCACUCCAGAAGCUGAGUCUAAUUCAGAAGCAGAACCUAGCCCAAAAGCACAGAAUGAAAUUGCUUCUGAGGACUUUCAAGAUAACACUCAGCAGGUUAUUCAACCUAAAUUCAAGCACAAAUCUUCACAUCCUGAGGAGUUAAUCAUUGGAAGCAAAGAUAGUCCUAGAAGAACAAGAUCACAUUUUAGACAAGAAGAGUCUUUAAUAGGACUGCUUUCAAUAAUUGAGCCUAAAACUGUUGAAGAAGCUCUCUCAGAUGAUGGAUGGAUAUUAGCUAUGCAAGAAGAGCUAAAUCAAUUCCAAAGGAAUGACGUGUGGGAUCUGGUACCCAAACCUUUUCAGAAGAACAUUAUUGGAACAAAAUGGGUAUUCAGAAACAAGCUGAAUGAACAAGGAGAAGUAACCAGAAACAAAGCCAGACUUGUUGCUCAAGGCUACAGUCAACAAGAAGGCAUUGAUUACACUGAAACAUUUGCUCCAGUUGCAAAAUUGGAAGCAAUCAGGUUACUUCUAUCCUACGCAAUUAAUCAUGGCAUAAUAUUAUAUCAAAUGGAUGUCAAAAGUGCCUUUCUUAAUGGAGUCAUUGAAGAAGAAGUGUAUGUUAAACAACCUCCUGGGUUUGAGGAUCUUAAGCAUCCUGACCAUGUUUAUAAACUUAAGAAAUCACUAUAUGGCUUGAAACAAGCUCCCAGAGCUUGGUAUGAUAGACUAAGUAAUUUCUUAAUUAAAAAUGAUUUUGAAAGAGGACAAGUUGACACAACACUCUUCAGAAGGACUCUUAAGAAAGAUAUUUUGAUUGUGCAAAUAUAUGUUGAUGAUAUAAUAUUUGGUUCUACUAAUGCAUCUCUUUGCAAAGAAUUUUCUAAGUUAAUGCAGGAUGAAUUUGAAAUGAGUAUGAUGGGAGAAUUGAAAUUCUUUCUGGGAAUUCAAAUCAACCAAAGUAAAGAAGGAGUAUAUGUUCAUCAAACAAAAUAUACAAAGGAGCUUCUGAAGAAGUUCAAGCUAGAAGAUUGUAAAGUGAUGAACACUCCAAUGCAUCCAACCUGCACCUUAAGCAAAGAAGAUACUGGAACAGUAGUAGACCAGAAGCUUUACAGAGGUAUGAUUGGUUCUCUGUUAUACCUCACUGCAUCUAGACCUGAUAUUUUAUUCAGUGUAUGCUUGUGUGCAAGAUUUCAAUCAGAUCCUAGAGAAUCUCAUUUAACUGCAGUUAAGAGAAUCUUCAGGUAUCUGAAAGGAACAACUAAUCUUGGACUCCUGUAUAGGAAAUCCCUAGAUUAUAAGUUGAUUGGAUUCUGUGAUGCUGAUUAUGCUGGUGAUAGGAUUGAAAGAAAAUCAACCAGUGGAAAUUGUCAAUUCCUGGGAGAGAAUCUGAUAUCCUGGGCAAGCAAAAGACAAGCAACUAUUGCUAUGUCUACAGCAGAAGCAGAGUACAUUUCAGCUGCAAGUUGUUGCACACAACUGCUUUGGAUGAAACAUCAGUUGGAAGACUAUCAGAUCAAUGCUAACAGUAUUCCCAUUUAUUGUGAUAAUACUGCUGCUAUUUGUUUGUCAAAGAAUCCAAUUCUACAUUCAAGAGCCAAGCAUAUUGAAAUCAAACACCAUUUUAUCAGAGACUAUGUUCAAAAAGGAAUUUUAGAUAUACAAUUCAUUGAUACUGAACAUCAAUGGGCUGACAUAUUUACAAAACCUUUGUCUGUUGAAAGAUUUGAUUUUAUUAAGAAAAAUUUGAACAUGCAUUUUGGGUCUGAUUGAAAAAUUGCUUGCCUCUGAAUAAGAAGUUUGGUUCUGAAGUUUAUUCAGAAGCAUUUUGGUUCAUCAGAAGCUCUUAAUUGAGGUUCUGAGGAAAAUGUGCUUCUGAAGAUGACGUCAGCGCUAAAACUUCAGAAGUGUUAUUCUUUGCUUCUGAAUAGCUUGGUUAGUGGGAACGUUGGAAGUUACUUUAUGUAACAGCUGUCUCAUUACCCAAAAGGUAGUUUUCUGAAGAGUCUCUGACGUGGUUUAUUUGUAUUGGAGUAUAACAAAAAGGGCAAUGAUGUUUUUAUUCGCUUUUUAACGUACUUACACGCGCCCCCAAUUUGUCAUUAAUGCUGUGUUUGUCUGUCCCCUCUGAAUUACAAACGUUUUAAUAAAAACACUAAGUCAUUUCACACACUUCUCACUUCACAACAAACACUUUCUAUUUUCUUCUCAACCCUCUGCGAAAGUAAGCGCAUUCUCUCAUCCUCUCAAAAACUCCUUAGAACCCUAAAACCACUUCAUAUCAAUGGCUUCUUCAAGUUCUGCAUCUGGUUCAUCAUCAAACGAACAACAAGGAGAAGCUCCUGCUUAUGAGAUAAAGGGAAGAACCAUGUCCUUGGAGGAAUGGGAAUUAAACAUUCAAUCAGAAAGUCCGGUGGAUUUUGAUUCUUUGGCCGCUCACGACUGUGACAUUGGCAAGUACUACGAGAAACAAGGUCUGGGAAGGUACUUCAAUCUUCUAAAUGGACCAACUUAUCAAACACUGGUUCGUCAUUUCUGGGUUAGAGCCAGCAUCUACGACAGGGAAGCCGCCAAGAUUGAAGAAGAUGAAAAAGUUCUUCUCAAUCCUGAACUCAAAGGGAAGUCUAGAGCGGAAAUGGGCUUGGAAACUUUCUCCAAAACCCAGAUAAGAUCAAGCAUCAUGGGAAUCCGUGUCUGGAUCACUGAGGACACUAUUGCCUUUGUCAUCAGAAGACCAGCAGAAGGAGAACAUGAGGCUGGGAUUUCAAAGCCAAAGGACAGCCCCUGGAAUGCUAUUGUUAACAAAACUCUCUACAACAAGGUAAAGGACUUUGCCUAUUCUGACAUGAACACCAAGACAAAGGUUAUGUUGAAGAUUCAGAACGAAAACCUACUACCAAAAGGUGGUGGUGGUGAUCAGCCCUCUCUGGAACAUAAAAUCCUCUUACACUUUGUCAUAAAGGGUGUAGAGGCAAAUAUUCCCAGAUACAUAUUCAGACAUAUGGUUCAUCAACUCAGAGAGAGUCAACUGAAUAAAAGGUCUUGGGUACCCUAUGGAAGACUACUCUCUGAGAUUUUCCAUCAGGGAGUGUUAUCAUGGUUUUUGGGUGCCAAGCCAUUAAUUGGACUUGAACCUUUCGACCGUUGAUAUCUCUCUUUUUUCUUGGGAAGGGAAAAAUUGAGAAAAAAACCCUUAGAUUCUAAGUUCGGGGGUCGGUUUUACUACGGGAAGGUGUUAGGCACCCGGAGUAACUAUAGUCCUCUAUAGGAGCCGUUUUCCUAAGUCUAUAUUCACGCUUAUUUUUACUUACUUUUGAAAAUGGGAGGUUUAUUUAGUUAAGAAUGGGGGUGAGAAGAAGUAGAAUUUUGAUUUUAUUUUGGCUUGGAUGAGUUUUGACUCAUUGCCUACGUACCCUUUUAAGGGAUCAAAACCGUUCGUAGUUCUUGCUAAAAAACUUGUUUUUGUUCUAAUUGUUUGAUUUUAAGUUUUGAAAAUGGUUUUGAAGAAGGAGAUUGGGAGGCUUCAUGAGCAUUAGAUUUAGCAAAAAAGUGAGGUUUGAUUAGUGAUUAGAAAGAAAGUCUAAAUGGUUAAGAUGAAUUGAAUUUUCCUUAAGAAAAAGAAAAGAAAAAAAAUGAAGUGUUGACUUCAUAUUUAUUAUGAAAUUUUUUGAAGUGAAGUUCAAUUGUUUUUUUGGAAAAAGAUGGAUUUUCUCUAAGUGUUUAAAACCUAAACGCUUAUUUAACCAUACAAUCCUAUGCAUACAUCUAAGGUGAGUGUGUGCGUGUCGGUGCGCCAUAGUGUCCAUAGUCCAUAUUACAACAUUUCCUAAAUACAUUCUAUGGCCUCUUUGCCAAGCUACAAACCAAUGAUAACAAAUUACAUCACUAAAUGAAUCAAAACUUGCAAAAAAAAAUAAAUGCUAGACUAAAGAGGGUGGAGAGUGGAGAGGGUGGUGGAAUGCUUAUGAAAUGUAUGGCACAUGAGAUGAAAUGGUUAGUAAUCAUAAAGCACAAAAUAGUAGGAAAUAAUCAAAAGGAAAUGUAUAAGAAUGGCAAAGGAAAGGUAAUAAAGUGGCAAUAAACCUAAAACUUUUGAUGUGAUACCUAAAGGUGCUUGUAACCCAUAAUCAUCACAUCAUGGCAAUUUUGAAAGAAAUUUUGUUUCAAGCCAUGACAUGAAAUUAGUGGAAGUACAUGCAAGCAAAGUAUCACACCAAACAUAAAGAAAUUUACCACUUUAUUCCUAAAAAUAAACGCUUAUUACUUGUAAAACAAGAAAUCCAUAAAAUCACAUCCAAACACAGCAAAAAUAAACACAAUUCCAGAGGCAUAUUCAUCACCAUAUUAGGCAUCAUUUAUCCAUGUCAUACUAUCAAAAUGUCAAGAACAAAACAUAGCAAAAUGCAUACAAAAAACAUAAAAACACAUGGAAUUAGUUCACACCAUUUUAACAUCUUUUUUACAUGCAAAGAUACCCUAAAAAUACCAAGAAUAUAUCAAGAAACCACUAGGAUUUUUUUAGAAAUUUUGUAAACAAAAAUGAGCAGGCCACAGGUGCAGAUAGCAAAGAAAAUGGUGUAAAUAGCAUACAAAAGCAAGCAAAAAAAACGUAAAACCUUAAGCCCAAACCAAAACCCAAUACAGACUGGGCCUGGAUCAUCCAAAGGCCUUAGAGGCGUUGGAUUGAUCCAAACCUAGAUCUGACGGUUCAAAACACGCAGCGCAUGGUAACACAGAUCAAACACGUGGGAGCAAACGCAUCACAGCCAUUCAAAAGAGAAACCCUAGAUCCUACGGUCCAAAAAGGAAACCAAAGUGAACCGGACCGGUCCAGGUGUCUAUAUAAACGUAAGGACACCGGUCCAGCUCACUUUGCUCACCUCUUUCUCUCUCUAAGCUCUUCUCUCCUCUCAGUCCUCUCUCUUCUCUCCAGAAAACCACCACCGGAGGUGAUGAAGCUACGGCGGAGACCUUGAAGGUCCGCCGGAAACUUCAUCUUCUCCGGCGAGACUUAUGAACUUCCGGUGACCUAAAUUUCCAGAUUUCAAAGAUUCUUACUCCUUUUGAUUCGUCCUUUAACCCUAAACACGAAUCCAGCAACUAUUUUUUCAAAUACGGUUCGAAACGACGUAGAUCUUGAAGGAACUUUGUACGGUUUUGAAAUGAUUUUUGAUUUUUGAACAAAAACGUUUAGAUUCUUACAUCGUUUCGUUGUUUGAUUGAUUUUCUGGUAUGCGUUCUUGCUUUCAAAACUUAGAUCCUUAUGGAUCUAGGUUUUGUGUUUACGGUUACGGCUUUGGCUUUGAAUUCUGGAAAUCUUUGGAUUCGGUUUGUUUUUUACUUCACUGAUUCAUGCUUUUUUUUUAAAGAAAAUGAUGUUGAAGUUAUGCUUUUACCUGUGAUUUCAAUUGGAGGUGCUGAUGAAGAUUUCUUCGGAAAACUUCAGAUGCGUUUCUAUUGAUUCUUGCUGCUUUGAACCGAAAAUAAAUCGGUGUUCUUCUUUCUCACUGAUUCUUCGUGAUUUUGGCUGGAAACUUCAUCUUCUUUCUCUGCUUCUUUCUCACUGAUUCUUCUUUGUGAUCGGUGCUGGAGUUUGCUGCUGCUGCAGCGAGCUCGUGCCUUGAAUUGCAAAGAAGAUGAUUCGAUGAUGAUGAUUCCUUAGGAAUCUCUGAGAAUCAAUGGAAAAUCCAAUGAAUUUUGAUGAUUUUUUGGUCUUCUGGAAAUCUAGGGUUUGGAUUUUGUUCUUGCUUGUUCUUGGAGAAUUUCUGUUUUUGAUCUGUAACUGAAUGGAGAGAGAAAAGAAAUCUGUUUGUGAUGAAUUUCUGACUUUUUGACUGUGCAUUGAAUGCGCCUUUUAUAGGCUGCCAUGUGUGCAUUGGGACCAAUAGGAAAUCGACAUGUGGCAUUGGACUUAAAAUGGACUUUGGACCUUUCUGCAAUUUUGUAAAAUAUGGGACUGGACUGCAAUUUUAAAAACAGAACUAAAAAAAAUAAAAAAAUAAAAAUUGGACAGUUUGGACUUAAAUGCAAUUUUAAAAAGUUGAAGGAUUAAAAUGCAAAGUAAAAAUAAAAAAUGAAUUAAAAUAUGUAAUUUGACUAAACGUAAAGCGAAAUAGAAAUAAAAAUAAAAUCGACAAAACGGACUAAAACGAACCAAUGGCCUAAAUGAGGUACUUCAAAGUAACCUCCCUAUGUCAAAAUUUUGUGUGAAAUGACCAAAAUGCCCCUAGGGCUAAAACGACCUAAACAGAUUCAAAUUGAUCUGACACUGACUCAGACGCAAAUUUAAAAUGAACUUAAUCAAGAUUUACUAAUGAAAAUGCAAAAACAAUCUGAAAAGACUCAGAGACAGUCACAAGGAUGAAAAUGGGUCCCACUGCAGGAAAUGACCAAAAUACCCUUCUGUAUGACUUUUUGCAAAUUUUGAAAUAAACUGUAGAAAAAGCAAUGCAAUGAUUCAGAGACACUUCUGAAUGACUUACAAGACAAGUAAAGACACUUCAAAAGGUUUUAUGCAAGAAAAACAUAAGUAAAAUUGUGAUUGGAAAUACUGCGAGGCAGAGACAAUUUGAACUUUGCAGUUGAAAUCUGAUAAUUGACAAAGUUUGAAAUGAAAUUGGGCCCAGUAUUUUUAGGUCCAAAAACAGGGUAUAACAGCUGCCCCUAUUUAAGUUUCUUUGUCUGGAGAGUCAAGAGACGGAGUCUUUGGCUUGACAGGACGAAGAUACUUAAAUAUUAGCAUUUGCACUGUGUUUGGACGUAAAAAUACGCCUACCCAUUUUCAAAUAAUAUGCAUGCCAUGCAUCAUUUGGAUUAUGAAUGCAAGACCUCAUGGGGAUUGGAAUUAACAAAAUAUGUCGUAUCCAUUGCAGGAUUGGUAGACAUUGACAAAGAUAGUGAAUAGCAGAGUAACGGGAAACUAGAAACAAAUUGGACAGGUACAAGCUGUUCUUGGAUUCAAACUAGCCACUUGACCGGGGAUGAAACAAACAGACAACUGCGAGUUGUUCUUAUGGAUUCGAACUGGUCACUUCACAGGGGAUAGAGGUUACUGGACAAACAUGAGUUGUUCUUAUGAAUUCGAACUGGUGACUCACUUGGGGAUAUUGGAAAGUGCGAGUUGUUCUUACGGAUUCGAACUGGUGACUCGACUGAAAGCAAGGCAAAUAGACAGGUGCGAGCUUGUUCUUGGAUGCGAACUGGUUACUCCACCGGACAGAAACAGAUAGACAGGUACAAGCUGCUCUUGGAUUGAGCUAGUCACUUGACCAAACGGAAACAUAUAGACAGGUACAAGCUGCUCUUGGAUUGAGCUGGGCACUCGACCGAUAACAUUGAAAAGUAAAAGGGUACAAGUCGUUCUUGGAUGCGAACUAGUAACUUGACCAAACAGAAACACAUUCACUGGGGAUUGGUUUGUUGACAAAAUAUAGAUUGAGGUUGACUUGACGUCGAUUUGAAUUGAAAGGCAGAAAUUGACCGAUAUUAUUGGCUCACAAGGUUUUGACAGAGAACCUGACAUGAGUAUUGAAUUGAGACUGAUGUUGACAUUGGAAAUGCAAUAUGCAUGGAUGAUAUAACAAUUUCAUUAAAUGCAUGGGCACGUAAUAUGCAUGAUUAUGCAUGUAUGAAUGCUUGUAAUGCAUGACCGUUGGCAUUUUGUAGGCACGACUUCACGGGGAAGACAAGACAUUAGAGUAUUGGGCACGUAGUGGCUCGUGCUAUAUUACACAUUCUUGGAAAUCCUCUUUGGGGAUGACGUCGUUGGGAGACGUAUCGGAACCAUGGCUGAGGGCAGGUAGCUAUGCAUCUUGCUGGGGAUAGAAUCUUGGAAGACCCGACUGGGGAAAACGCCGUUGUGCUGGGCAUUUCAGCGCUGGGUAUGUUGUAGACAUUGCAUCUGUGGUCAAUGCUUUUGCAUGUUAUAUUCUCAUUUUCAUUCAUCAUUUUUUGCAUCCCAUUUUUGCCUGGAUCGCCCUUUCGGGUUUUCGGUCCACCGGGGAAAUAAAUUCUUUUCAAUGCCCCAUUUUUGCCUGAACUGCCCUUUCGGGUUGUCAAUCCAGCGGGGUGCUCAUUUUUGCCUAAGCCGCCCUUUCGGGUUUUCAACUUAGCGAGCUCAUUUAUUUUCAUGCAUUUUCAUUCUGUUUUUUCAUUCUUGCCAUUGACCACAGAUUAUCUUGGAGGAGAACCUGCUGGUAACAUAUAUUGAAAUAGACACCAACAUACUCUCGCUCAUGCAUGUUUCAUUUGAAUGUACCCUGUUGCUCAGGUUUGCUUUUCAAAAUAGACAAAAGGUUUUCAAUUUUCAAAAUGUUUGUUUCAAGUAUUGUCAUUAUCAAGAAAGAAAAUGUUUUGUAUAUAGCUUUGAAAGUAGAAGAAAAUAGAAUUUCAAACAAAAGCACAAGCUCAAAUUGAUGUAUAAGAGUGGUGGUCAGCCAAAGGCGUGACUCCACGGAUUCACAAAGCUUGGAAAAUGGUAAUUUUAUUGGUUGGUGAUACAUUGAACACAGUAAUCAUGACAUUUCCUAGAAACUUUGAAUUCGCAAGCAUAGGAGCUUUUGAUGAAGAUGGUCAUUAACAGCUGCAGAUGCCCCAAGGGGACGGUGGUUAGCCAGAUAUAGUUACUUGCCUUUUGCUUCAAUCUCAUUUUUGCAUGAACCGCCCUUCCGGGUUUUCGGCUCAUCGAGACGCUCAUUCUUGCCUGAUUUGCGUACAAUCUCAGCGAGCUUUUCAUGUUUGUUUUUUUUGUCCCUUAUUUUUGCCUGGACCGCCCUUUCGGGUUUUCGAUCCACCGGGAAGCGCAUUUUUGCCUAGGCCGCCCUUUCGGGUUUUCGACCUACCACGCUGUUCUUUUCAUAUUUCUAGGCAAAGUAUUUCUUGACUAUAUCGGCAUUCACUGGAUUUGGAAGUUCUACACCAUCCAUGUGUGUAAGGAUUAAAGCACCACCGGAGAAGGCCUUCUUGACAACAUAAGGACCUUCAUAGUUAGGCGUCCACUUGCCCCUUGGGUCGAGUUGCUGGCUUAUCCUCCUUUUCAAUACAAGUUCCCCUACCUUGAAUUCUCGAGGAUGGACUUUCUUGUCAAAGGCAGUCUUCAUUCUUGCUUGAUAUGACUGUCCACGAGCCAUGGCAUCCAUACGUUUUUCCUCAAUCAAAUUCAACUGAUCAUACCGGCUUUGGCACCAUUCAGCCUCGGAUAACUUUGCUUCCAUGAUCACACGGAGAGAUGGGAUCUCCACUUCCAAAGGAAGAACUGCUUCCAUACCAUAUACAAGAGAGAAAGGAGUUGCCCCGGUUGAACUGCGCACGGUAGUGCGGUAGCCAUGCAGAGCAUAGGGUAACAUCUCAUGCCAGUCCUUGUAAGUAGUUACCAUCUUCUGGACGAUUCUCUUGAUAUUCUUGUUGGCGGCCUCAACUGCACCAUUCAUCUGAGGUCUAUAAGGAGAAGAGUUAUGAUGCUCAAUUUUGAAUUCUUCACAAAGAGCUUGCACCACAUUGUUGUUCAGGUUGGUACCGUUGUCGGUAAUAAUCUUGCUAGGAACACCAUAUCGACAGAUGAUGUUGUUCUUGAUGAACUUAGCUACCACUUGCUUGGUCACAUUGGUAUAAGAUGCUGCUUCAACCCAUUUGGUAAAGUAGUCAAUUGCCACUAAGAUGAAACGGUGACCAUUUGAAGCUUUCGGUUCAAUUCUUCCAAUCAUGUCGAUGCCCCACAUUGAGAACGGCCACGGGGAUGACAUAACAUUGAGAGCGUGCGGAGGCACAUGAAUCUUAUCAGCAUAGAUUUGACAUUUGUGGCAUUUUCUGGCGUACUGGUAGCAAUCAUGCUCCAUGGCCAUCCAGUAGUAACCUGCUCGUAGCAACUUUCUUGACAUAGUAUGUCCUGUAGCAUGGGUCCCGAAGGUACCGUCAUGUACAUCAUGCAUUAACUGCUCUGCUUCAUGUUCAUCAACACAUCUUAAUAAUACCAUGUCAUAGUUCCUCUUGUACAGAAUAUCUCCGUCUAACAGGAAUCUACUGGCCAAUCUUCUCAGGGUCUUCUUAUCUUGUUUGGAAGCACCCGACGGAUACUCACGGCUCAGCAAGAACUGUUUGAUGUCGUAGUACCAGGGUCUAUAGUCAACCACAUUCUCACCAGCCUGAUCGAUCACAUCCCCAAUAGCAAACACAUGCGAAGGUCUUUCAAGGCGUUGCACUUUGAUUAAUGGCACAUCAUUCCAAUGGUUUACUCGAAACAUGGAGGAUAGAGUAGCAAGAGCAUCAGCCAUUUGGUUCUCAUCACGAGGAAUAUGGUGCAGCUCAACCUUUGUAAAAUAUGUCAGCAAACGUCUCGCAUAAUCACGAUAAGGAAUCAAAUUAGCAUGGUGGGUCUCCCAUUCACCCUUUAUCUGAUUGAUGACGAGCGCAGAAUCUCCAUAGAUGUCGAGGUGUUUGAUUCUCAUGUCAAUUGCUUCCUCGAUCCCAAAGAUACAUGCUUCAUACUCCGCCAUAUUGUUGGUACAUUCGAACAAGAUUCUGGCGGUAAAAGGAAUGUGAUGCCCCUGCGGGGAUACAAUGACUGCCCCAAUUCCCUUGCCAUAAGCAUUGACAGCACCGUCAAAGACUAAACCCCACUUGCUAUUGGGAUCUGGACCUUCAUUAAUCAACGGUUCUUCGCAGUCUUUGGAUUUCAAAUACAUGAUCUCUUCAUCAGGGAAGUCGAAUUCAAUUGGUUGGUAAUCGUCAAGAGGUUGAUAAGCAAGGUGAUCGGCAAGAAUGCUGCCUUUGAUUGCCUUUUGAGUUUUGAACACAAUAUCAUAUUCAGACAAAAGCAUCUGCCAGCGUGCGAUCUUCCCAGUAACGGCCGCUUUCUCAAAGAUAUACUUUAUCGGGUCCAUUCUGGAUAUCAGCCAAGUCGUAUGAUUCACCAAAUAAUGACGCAGGCGUUUGGCAGCCCAAGCUAGAGCACAACAAGUCUUUUCAAGCAUUGUAUACCGAGUUUCACAAUCGGUGAACUUCUUGCUUAAAUAGUAGAUAGCAUGCUCUUUCUUUCCGGUUUCAUCUUGUUGACCAAGCACGCAUCCCAUGGAUUCAUCAAAUACUGCUAAAUACAUGAUCAAAGGCCUUCCUUCCACGGGUGGGACAAGGAUAGGUGGUUCCAGCAGGUAAUUCUUGAUGCUAUCAAAAGCUUCUUGGCAUUCAUCAUUCCAUACAACAGGCUGGUUCUUUCUAAGUAGCUUGAAGAUCGGCCCGCAGGUUGCAGUCAUAUGAGAUAUGAAUCGGGAGAUGUAAUUCAAACGUCCCAAGAAACCUCUGACUUGCUUCUCUGUCCGUGGAGCUGGCAUUUCUCGGAUGGCCCGGACUUUAUCAGGGUCGACUUCAAUGCCCUUUUGGCUGACAAUGAAGCCUAAUAACUUUCCGGACCUGACACCGAAUGUACAUUUGUUGGGAUUCAAUCGCAGCUGGUAUUUUCUCAACCUUUCAAACAUCUUUGUUAAAUAUUCAACAUGCUGCUCCUCAUCUGCUGACUUCACAAUCAUGUCAUCCACAUAUACCUCAACUUCUUUGUGAAUCAUGUCAUGAAACAGAGUGGUCAUUCCCCUUUGGUAGGUAGCACCAGCAUUGAUUAGGCCGAACGGCAUCACCUUGUAGCAGAAAGUACCCCAUGGAGUGAUAAAAGAUGUCUUUUCUCUAUCUUCAGGAGACAUCUUGAUUUGAUUAUAACCGGAAAAACCGUCCAUGAAGGAGAACACCUUAGAUUGAGCAGUAUUAUCAACAAGCACAUCAAUAUGAGGUAAUGGAAAGUUGUCUUUUGGACUGGCCUUGUUCAGGUCUCUGAAGUCAACACACAUCCGGACUUUACCAUCCUUCUUUGGCACGGGCACAAUAUUGGCAACCCAUUCGGGAUACUCAACUGUCAUGAGGAAACCCGCAUCAAUCUGCUUUUGAACUUCAUUCUUGAUCUUGAGAGCCAUAUCAGGAUGAGUCCUUCUCAAUUUCUGCCUGACGGGAGGACAUUCAGGCUUGGUAGGGAUCCGAUGCUCCACGAUCAUAGGGUCUAGACCUGGCAUAUCUUCAUAGGACCAUGCAAAAAUAUCCGGAUAUUCCCGGAGGAGUUGGAUAAUCUUCUGCUUAACCCCUUCCUCUAGAGUAGCACCAAUCUUGAUUUCUUGCUUAUUUUCCUCGGUACCUAUGUUGAUAAGCUCAAUUUCUUCCUGGUGAGGCUGAAUGGCUUUCUUUUCUUGCUCAAGUAACCGAGUAAUCUCAUAUGGUAUACCAUCACCUUCCUCAUCUUCGGCUUCAUACACAGGGAAUUCAAAAUUUGGAGGAACCGUAGGAUUACUGUGUUCAACGGGUUUAUUAUGGUUCAACCUGCAUAUAAUGAUUGGAUGAUUUUAGAAAGAGUUUUUUUUUUUUCAUGCAGAUUUUUGAAAUUAAUAAGAAAAUACAGACAUUUUGGUUUUUUCUGGCAUUACCAUUGUUUCCAAGGGAAAAAGCACUAAAAAAAAAAAAUAGUCGUGGAAGAAACGACAAAAUUUUAUUAAUCAACGGCAAUGCCGAAACAAACAUGCCCUUACAGAAAAUAUCACUCUCGCUUUGGGCAGAGCGAGAGGAUUGUUAUUUUUGAAAACAAAGCAUUAAAGCAACAAGACACAUUACUCAGAAACAUGCAUUAUUGAAGGAAUGUCAAUGGCAUCCCAAUCUCUCGCAAUGCCUCCUGGUGUAACAAAUACAGGCCUGAGACCAGAUCCAGUGGCUUCUUCAGAGAUAGCAUUAACAAACCCAGCACUGUGGAAGACUCCCGAGGAAACUCUUGAUGACGGGGAGAACCCGAGACCUUCUUUACGCUUGUUCUCACAGAGCUGUAUCACCUUGCCCCAGCCGGCAGUCUGACCUUCUUGAAUGGCUCUCUGAGCAUCCUUCAAUGAAGCCAUAGCAGCCCCAGCUUCCUUAGACUCUGCACCUUCAAUGGUCAAACCUUGGAAAGCAGUUCCUUCAGCAGACCCUGCUUCAAUACAAGAAAAAGAAGACAAUUGGCUGACUAAGUAUGCUUCUUCACCAUGGAUUGUAACGAGUUUUCCAUUCUUCACAAAUUUCAACUUCUGAUGUAAGGUGGAAGUAACUGCACCUGCAUCGUGUAUCCACGGUCUUCCCAGCAGGCAACUGUAGGAUGCAUUAAUGUCCAUCACUUGGAAGGUAACCAAGAAAUUCUCAGGGCCAAUGGUUAUCGGCAAGUCUAUCUCUCCCAGCACAUUCUUUCGAGAUCCAUCAAAAGCUUUGACCAAGAAAGUACUUCUUCUCAACGGGGUCCCACGGUAGCUCAACUGAUCUAGAGUUGUCUUGGGCAUUACAUUGAGAGAGGAACCGGUAUCUACCAACACAUUUGAUAUCAUGUCUGAUUUACAGUUCACCGAGAUGUGCAAAGCCAGAUUGUGACUCUUUCCCACUUCCGGCAGCUCUUCUUCACUAAACCAGAGAUUGUUACAAGCAGUAAUAUUUCCCACUAUGCCACCGAAACGAUCUACCGUAACUUCGUGGUCAACAUAUGCCUGCUCCAGCACUUUCAACAAGGUAUUCCUGUGAGCCUCGGAGCUCAAGAGCAAUGACAAUACAGAUAUCUUCGAAGGAGUCUGCAGCAACUGAUCAACGAUCUUGUAGUCGCUCCUCUUUAUUAUCCUCAAAAUCUCAUCUAAAUUUGAAUCCUCUAUAGAUUUGCCUGACUGGUUCACAUCUGUAGCAAUGGGUGAAACAACGGUUGGAGUUGCUUCUUCAACUGGCGGAAUGGUCGGUGUAGCCACUUUCUUCUGAAAUAAUGGCGGACGAACCUUCCCGCUUCUCAGCGCUGCAGAAGUCCCUUCGGCAAUAUUGCUUACUGUGGCAAAGGAGGCUAGAGGCACCUCUACUCCAUUUUCUAUCAUAGUAGCAUUGUACUUGUAUGGAACAGCCUUAUCCGAAACAUAAGGAAUUGGUCCUGGCAACCUUAUCACCAAAGGCUCAGCAUUCUUCUUCAAAGGUGUACUCUUGACAGGCGGAUCGUGAAAAACUGGCACGACCACGCAAACAUCACUGACAGUCAGAAGAUUAUCAUCCAUCAAGCUUUGGAUGUCGUCUCGAACAGCAUGGCAACCUAAAGGAUCACGGAGGCAUCCUAGACACUUGGCAUGCUCAUGGCUGAACAGGGAAGCUUUGCACAGCUUGAUGUGCAGAGGCACCAGAGGAGUUGCGACGUUGCGGACAUCAAGUCUAGGAGCUUCCUCACACACUUCGAUCAUAUUCACAGCGGCAUGAUUUGGUAGCGGAUUGUCAAGGACAUGUGGAACAUUAUUCUCAAAAGUCAGCUUCCCUUGAUCGAUGAGCUUCUUCACGAUAUACUUCAAAGCAUAACACCCCUCGACAUCAUGACCUAGGGCACCUUGAUGAAAGUCACAUUUGAGAUCAGACCUGAACCUUGGAGGCAACGGAUCAGGUGGAGGCUUGCCCUGUCUAGUUGUACAAUGCCCUCUCUGGAGUAAAGUUGGAAGCAACUCAGCAUAUAACAUCGGUAUCGGAGGGAAAGUAGGCCUAGCUUGCUGAUUUUGUUGUUGUUGUUGAACCGGCAUCUGUUGUUUCAUCUGUUGGGCAAUCGCAUUGACGGGCACUUGAGGCUGGCCCGGCGGCAAAGGGUACUGAUGAUAAAACGGUGGGAAGAACGGAUGCUGAGAAUACGGCAUAUAUGGGUAUGACGGAGGCAUUUGAGCUGCAUUGAUAGGAGCAACAGUAGCCAUUGAUUGACCUGCUCCAGCUGACACCAUCCCCACUUCAGUUUCUUUCUUCUUGUGGUGUCCAUUACCAUACCUCUUCGACGCACUUGCAGAAGAUUCAGCUUUCUCAAACACAAUAAUUCCAUCCCUGACGGCUUCCUCAAGACGGGUUCCCAUAGUGACCAUCUCCGAAAAGUUGUUCGGGGCAGCGAUGAUCAUCCUCUCAACAUAAUCUUUCUUCAACGUCUUUAAGAACGUCUGGGUCAUUUCUUCUUCAUCUAAAGCAGGGGUGAUACGGGCAGCCGCCCCUCUCCACCUUUGCGCAUAUUCACGGAAGCUUUCCUCCUUCUUCUGAGAUAGGGACCUGAGAAACUCCCUAUUUGGCUUCAGUCGAGUGUUAAACCCGUAGUGGCUCUUGAAAGCGGUGGCUAACUCAUCAAAGGUAUGGAUGUCAUUCUUACUCAAACUAGUAUACCACUCUGCGGCAUCCUCCAUCAGACUAUCCUGAAAACAGUGGAUCAUAAGGGAAUCAUUGUCUUUGUAAUUGCCCAUCUUCCGGACGUAUUUGAUGAUGUGAUUUUGAGGACAAGUUAGCCCGUUGUACCGGUCGAAGUCCGGAAUCUUGAACUUUUUAGGAACAUCCACUUUUGACACUAAGCAAAGGUCUUGAGUUUUGACAGAGUCUGCAUUCCCUCGAUUGGCCUGGAUCUCGUGACGGAGUUCUUUAGCAAGUUCCUCCAUCAUCUCUUCCAUAGUCUUGGUUACGGGGAUGCUUCUGUGCUGUGUGUUGAUGUUAAUACUUUGAGGCAGAGUAUGUAUCAGUGACUCAGUGACAGCAGCUGUUGUUUGUGGCAAAGUAGCAUUGAUAGAGGCAGCAUUUGUUGCAGGGAUCAGAACAUUGUUAGCAGUGCCCGAGGUGCUUGCUGUAGCAACGGGAGUGAAGAACGGUGGAAGCCCAUACGGAAACCCUACUGGCAUAGUAAAGCGGUUGUCCGCAGAAGUGGUAGGGAGCACGCUUGUAGUCACCUGUGCAGCUGUGGUUGUAGGGAUAGCUGUAGCUGAUUGCUCUUGAGCAGCUAGUAGAGCAGUCAUGACGUCAUUAGCUUUAGCCAAUUCCUCCUUUAGAGAGGCUAACUCGGUGCGAAGCUGAGCGUUCUCUUCUUCCAUAGCCCUUUUCUUUCUUCUGUAUUCUCUGGUUCGAUCAAUUCUAUCUGGUUCGUAAACUCUCUGAGCACGAGCCACUUUUCACACUGCGGCAGAGGAACCAGGAGAUAGUGAGCACUUGGAAGCCUUUGUGACCAAUGCAUGAUGCAUAUGAUGCAUGAUAUGCAAAUGCGAAUGCAAAAGACUUAUUUUUUCAUCGAAGGAUUUUAAAACAAAUUAGAAAUCUUGCAAAUAAUCAAAACUACAUAGUAUCUUUAACAGGAAGACUUUGAAAUUUCAACAAGAUGAACACAUGAAGCUCUCAAGCAUAGGAAGUAGUCGGAGGAUCAUCGGACUCGGAAUCUGAAUCACAGUAUCUGUCAAAGAAAUCUCGUCGUCCUCGAGCUCUCUUGGAAUCCCUCAUAAGCAGCUCGUCUUUCUCUUCCAAUUCCCUCCGGGCCUUAGCUAGCUCUUUCUUCAACAUUAGAUUCUCAUGAGUCUUCUGCUCAUCUCUACCAUCCAAAGUCAUGAUUAGAUUUUCGGCUUGAUUGUACCGAGCUUUCCACACUUGCUUCUCACGACUCUCCAUGGCUAGAUGCUCCUGAUACAUAUCCUGAGUCGCAGGGAGCAAAGGUAGAGGCAUAGAUGGAGUGGAUGAAGAUACGUAUCUCAUAGCUGGAUAAGGCAUACCAAUCUCCUCAGCUCGAUCUAUCACCCACUGAGUAUAGGCCUCAUGAGCGACACCGGAUCUCACACCUAGAUGCUUCACACUCUUCCUUCGAACCUUGGACCAAGCAUCCAUGAAAGCUUUCCUUUGUCCGGUAGGAGCAUUCGCAUAGAAGAAGAACUCUGGAGAUGUAGCAAGAUUGAUGGGCUUCGACUUCAUAGGAAAACCAAACUGUCUCAUAGCAAGCUCGGGAUUGUAGUUGAUUCCUCCACGAGUACCAAGAAGAGGUACAUUGAGAAAGUCUCCACAACCCAUGAUAAUCUCCUUCACCUGAGCGGCCGGAGCGAGCCAGACGACCUCGUCAGGAGUGAGGGCCAUAAUCCGCUGCGAGUAGGACCAAUUCUCCGAGUUGUCAUGGAAGGAACUCGGAAGGUGCGAAAUAAACCACCUAUACAAAAGAGAUGUGCAGCAAAGAAUAUACCCACGGCCCUUGAGAGUCCUGUCAUGAAUGGCGUGGUAGGUAUCUGCUAGCAAAGUAGGGACCGGGUUCUUGGAAUGAAAGAUCUCGAUAGCAUUCAUGUCCACGAAGUUGUCGAGGUUCGGGAAGAGAAUGAGCCCGUAGAUAAGCAAAGCAAGAAUAGCCUCGAGUGUGUCCUGACGAGUAGUACCGAGAUUGGCCUGAUCAAGAAGAUACUUCGAAGUGAACCCCCGGAUGUGAGACUUGGUGAUAAGAUGGUUGGAGACGUCGGAAGUCUUGAGGUAGAGAUCCUUAGCAAUAACCAGAGGAGUAAGAGGAGUUCCGGGACCGGUGAAAGGUGUCUUCUCGGCUAUAGGUAAACCCACUAGAUUGGAGUAAGCCUCGAGAGUAGGAACCAACUGGAAGUCCGGGAAAGUGAAGCAACGAAAGCUCGGAUCAUAAAAUUGCACUAGAGUGUGCACUAGCUUCUCGUCCACAUCGGUUCGGAGCAAAGUAAGCAAUCCCCCAUACCGGAGUCGGAACCCUGUUUGACUCUUGACCUUGAGUGCCAACUCUCUCAAACUAACCAAAUCCACUUCCUUGAACUUGUAGCACUUAGUCUUCUUCAUACCUGUGAUUAUUUACAAAAAUUUCCAUUUGUUUAAACCCUUCGAUGAAUGCAUGAAAAAUGUUUAUGCAUGAAUGCAUGUAUGCAUGAUUGUGUUGUUUAGUUAUAAUGUGGGUUGAGAUUCAAAGUAACGGAUGGACAUGGCGUCCGGUGAACUAAGGCUUUGGAUAGUAGUAACCAAGGUUCUAACACAGUUCCCAAACUGCAACCUCUCUCACAUAUAUCAUGGUAGUACAGGACGACACCCGUUCCAUGAUUAUUUGUGAGAAGGUCUAGCUUGAGUGUAGUAUCGCGUGACGACUAAAGUUUGAGACAACACUCAAUUUAGCCACCGCACUACGUCCUAAAAAGGCUAGGAUGGGUUUGGUAACUACGGUUCAUAGCUUCGUCGAACAAUUGAAAGUGAAGUGCCUAAGCAUGACAACACACGCCGACAAUAUCACCUUCAAAAUGCCUCAGCUAUGUGAGAUUGAUCGCAUAAUCCAAUACACGAGGCAACCCCCGGAUCGAAUUGUCGAUUAUAUCUCUACCUAAACAUAAGUUCACUCAGCCCGGGUAUAGGACUUUUGAUAUCCUCACCCCACACGUCAAAUGAAAGUAAACAAGUAUUCACAUAUAUAAGCAAUAAAACAAAGCGUAAAUAUAAACUAAGGAAAACUAGGCGUGACCCGCUAAAAGAAAUCCCCAGUGAAGUCGCCAUUUCUGUUAUCAUGGUUUUUGGGUGCCAAGCCAUUAAUUGGACUUGAACCUUUCGACCGUUGAUAUCUCUCUUUUUUCUUGGGAAGGGAAAAAUUGAGAAAAAAACCCUUAGAUUCUAAGUUCGGGGGUCGGUUUUACUACGGGAAGGUGUUAGGCACCCGGAGUAACUAUAGUCCUCUAUAGAGUCGUUUUCCUAAGUCUAUAUUCACGCUUAUUUUUACUUACUUUUGAAAAUGGGAGGUUUAUUUAGUUAAGAAUGGGGGUGAGAAGAAGUAGAAUUUUGAUUUUAUUUCGGCUUGGAUGAGUUUUGACUCAUUGCCUACGUACCCUUUUAAGGGAUCAAAACCGUUCGUAGUUCUUGCUAAAAAACUUGUUUUUGUUCUAAUUGUUUGAUUUUAAGUUUUGAAAAUGGUUUUGAAGAAGGAGAUUGGGAGGCUUCAUGAGCAUUAGAUUUAGCAAAAAAGUGAGGUUUGAUUAGUGAUUAGAAAGAAAGUCUAAAUGGUUAAGAUGAAUUGAAUUUUCCUUAAGAAAAAGAAAAGAAAAAAAAUGAAGUGUUGACUUCAUAUUUAUUAUGAAAUUUUUUGAAGUGAAGUUCAAUUGUUUUUUUGGAAAAAGAUGGAUUUUCUCUAAGUGUUUAAAACCUAAACGCUUAUUUAACCAUACAAUCCUAUGCAUACAUCUAAGGUGAGUGUGUGCGUGUCGGUGCGCCAUAGUGUCCAUAGUCCAUAUUACAACAUUUCCUAAAUACAUUCUAUGGCCUCUUUGCCAAGCUACAAACCAAUGAUAACAAAUUACAUCACUAAAUGAAUCAAAACUUGCAAAAAAAAAUAAAUGCUAGACUAAAGAGGGUGGAGAGUGGAGAGGGUGGUGGAAUGCUUAUGAAAUGUAUGGCACAUGAGAUGAAAUGGUUAGUAAUCAUAAAGCACAAAAUAGUAGGAAAUAAUCAAAAGGAAAUGUAUAAGAAUGGCAAAGGAAAGGUAAUAAAGUGGCAAUAAACCUAAAACUUUUGAUGUGAUACCUAAAGGUGCUUGUAACCCAUAAUCAUCACAUCAUGGCAAUUUUGAAAGAAAUUUUGUUUCAAGCCAUGACAUGAAAUUAGUGGAAGUACAUGCAAGCAAAGUAUCACACCAAACAUAAAGAAAUUUACCACUUUAUUCCUAAAAAUAAACGCUUAUUACUUGUAAAACAAGAAAUCCAUAAAAUCACAUCCAAACACAGCAAAAAUAAACACAAUUCCAGAGGCAUAUUCAUCACCAUAUUAGGCAUCAUUUAUCCAUGUCAUACUAUCAAAAUGUCAAGAACAAAACAUAGCAAAAUGCAUACAAAAAACAUAAAAACACAUGGAAUUAGUUCACACCAUUUUAACAUCUUUUUUACAUGCAAAGAUACCCUAAAAAUACCAAGAAUAUAUCAAGAAACCACUAGGAUUUUUUUAGAAAUUUUGUAAACAAAAAUGAGCAGGCCACAGGUGCAGAUAGCAAAGAAAAUGGUGUAAAUAGCAUACAAAAGCAAGCAAAAAAAACGUAAAACCUUAAGCCCAAACCAAAACCCAAUACAGACUGGGCCUGGAUCAUCCAAAGGCCUUAGAGGCGUUGGAUUGAUCCAAACCUAGAUCUGACGGUUCAAAACACGCAGCGCAUGGUAACACAGAUCAAACACGUGGGAGCAAACGCAUCACAGCCAUUCAAAAGAGAAACCCUAGAUCCUACGGUCCAAAAAGGAAACCAAAGUGAACCGGACCGGUCCAGGUGUCUAUAUAAACGUAAGGACACCGGUCCAGCUCACUUUGCUCACCUCUUUCUCUCUCUAAGCUCUUCUCUCCUCUCAGUCCUCUCUCUUCUCUCCAGAAAACCACCACCGGAGGUGAUGAAGCUACGGCGGAGACCUUGAAGGUCCGCCGGAAACUUCAUCUUCUCCGGCGAGACUUAUGAACUUCCGGUGACCUAAAUUUCCAGAUUUCAAAGAUUCUUACUCCUUUUGAUUCGUCCUUUAACCCUAAACACGAAUCCAGCAACUAUUUUUUCAAAUACGGUUCGAAACGACGUAGAUCUUGAAGGAACUUUGUACGGUUUUGAAAUGAUUUUUGAUUUUUGAACAAAAACGUUUAGAUUCUUACAUCGUUUCGUUGUUUGAUUGAUUUUCUGGUAUGCGUUCUUGCUUUCAAAACUUAGAUCCUUAUGGAUCUAGGUUUUGUGUUUACGGUUACGGCUUUGGCUUUGAAUUCUGGAAAUCUUUGGAUUCGGUUUGUUUUUUACUUCACUGAUUCAUGCUUUUUUUUUAAAGAAAAUGAUGUUGAAGUUAUGCUUUUACCUGUGAUUUCAAUUGGAGGUGCUGAUGAAGAUUUCUUCGGAAAACUUCAGAUGCGUUUCUAUUGAUUCUUGCUGCUUUGAACCGAAAAUAAAUCGGUGUUCUUCUUUCUCACUGAUUCUUCGUGAUUUUGGCUGGAAACUUCAUCUUCUUUCUCUGCUUCUUUCUCACUGAUUCUUCUUUGUGAUCGGUGCUGGAGUUUGCUGCUGCUGCAGCGAGCUCGUGCCUUGAAUUGCAAAGAAGAUGAUUCGAUGAUGAUGAUUCCUUAGGAAUCUCUGAGAAUCAAUGGAAAAUCCAAUGAAUUUUGAUGAUUUUUUGGUCUUCUGGAAAUCUAGGGUUUGGAUUUUGUUCUUGCUUGUUCUUGGAGAAUUUCUGUUUUUGAUCUGUAACUGAAUGGAGAGAGAAAAGAAAUCUGUUUGUGAUGAAUUUCUGACUUUUUGACUGUGCAUUGAAUGCGCCUUUUAUAGGCUGCCAUGUGUGCAUUGGGACCAAUAGGAAAUCGACAUGUGGCAUUGGACUUAAAAUGGACUUUGGACCUUUCUGCAAUUUUGUAAAAUAUGGGACUGGACUGCAAUUUUAAAAACAGAACUAAAAAAAAUAAAAAAAUAAAAAUUGGACAGUUUGGACUUAAAUGCAAUUUUAAAAAGUUGAAGGAUUAAAAUGCAAAGUAAAAAUAAAAAAUGAAUUAAAAUAUGUAAUUUGACUAAACGUAAAGCGAAAUAGAAAUAAAAAUAAAAUCGACAAAACGGACUAAAACGAACCAAUGGCCUAAAUGAGGUACUUCAAAGUAACCUCCCUAUGUCAAAAUUUUGUGUGAAAUGACCAAAAUGCCCCUAGGGCUAAAACGACCUAAACAGAUUCAAAUUGAUCUGACACUGACUCAGACGCAAAUUUAAAAUGAACUUAAUCAAGAUUUACUAAUGAAAAUGCAAAAACAAUCUGAAAAGACUCAGAGACAGUCACAAGGAUGAAAAUGGGUCCCACUGCAGGAAAUGACCAAAAUACCCUUCUGUAUGACUUUUUGCAAAUUUUGAAAUAAACUGUAGAAAAAGCAAUGCAAUGAUUCAGAGACACUUCUGAAUGACUUACAAGACAAGUAAAGACACUUCAAAAGGUUUUAUGCAAGAAAAACAUAAGUAAAAUUGUGAUUGGAAAUACUGCGAGGCAGAGACAAUUUGAACUUUGCAGUUGAAAUCUGAUAAUUGACAAAGUUUGAAAUGAAAUUGGGCCCAGUAUUUUUAGGUCCAAAAACAGGGUAUAACAGGGAGGAAUUAUUGAGAUGCUGAAAGAAGCUCAGAUCUUCACAGAUGAACAGUUGGGAACUGUUAGAGGGAAGAUUAUCAAUGGUGAGACUCUAAGGGCUAUGCAUCUGAUUAAAGCAAAAGAUGUGAAGAAGAGUCCUACUGACUUGAAACCUUCUGAUGCCAAAUCAGAUCUUAUCCCAGACUUUCCUCCCAUCUGUAAACAAGAUCCCUUGGAGGUUCAAAGGGCAUAUAUCAUGGAUCACUACAAAUCCUUUAACCAGAAAAUCAGCUUGAAGGAUGUUCCUGACCAAAUGUAUGGUGGUGAGCUGCCUGUGGCCAAAAGUAGAAAAUCUAAGAAGAAGCAGAUCACCAAGGAAGAAUACCUUGCUGAAAAUGCUACUGAGGUGGGUGCUCAGAAGCAUAAGAAAGCUAAGAAGGUAAAAUCUGCUAUGUCCACCAUUCUUGAGGAAGUGGAGGAUUUGGAAGAUGUCCCUCUUAUCAGAAAAAGGACAAGGAGUACUCAAGAAACAGCAGAACAGCCUGCUUCUGAACAAGCUGGUUCAGAACAAGCUGCUUCUGAAAAGCCUCCAAGUCCCAAAAAUAAAAGAGAAGCUGCUCUUCAGACCAUCAAAAGGAAAAGGUCUAAUUUAACAAGAAAUCUGAAGACAGGUGAAGGAAGAAGGGCACAAAUGUUGGAAGAACUGGAAGAGAACUGGGAUGAAGACUCAAGCCCUAAGAAAGCAAAAAGGACUGCAACUUCUGAGCCCAUAGUCAUGCCCAGUUUCGAAAUGACUGAAGAAAUGGAGCAGUAUACUAGGGAGGUUGCUGCAUCCAAGAUAGCAGAAAAGAAAAGGAUGAAGAUUUUGUAUGAAAAAGAAAGGGAUGAACGUCUCAAGGCUGCAGGGUAUGUGCCUACUCCUGACAUUGCUGCUUUAGCAUCGGAGUUAGAAACUGUUAAGUAUGGAGCAACUCUGCUUUCUCAAGCCUUGAAGAAUAAGCAAGCUUCAGGAGCAACUUCAUCAGAACCAGCUUCAGAAGCUCCAGAAGCAGUUCAUCCAGAAGCUCAGUCUUCAGGUAAUCCAUCUAACGCUCCAACUAAUACUCAGAUUCCAUCUCUACCCUCUUCACCCUCUUCAUCAUCAACAGAAUCAGAUGACCAACCUCUUAGCCAACACAUAGACAAGCUUCUAAAAACCAAACCUACCAAACUAACAGAUUUAGGAACACUUGACUGGGAGCAAACUCAAAUAGAAUUUUCUAAGAAUAGAAUUAAACUUUGUGAGAAAUUCAAUUUGCCUCCUACUCAUCCACUCUAUCCAGAUAAUCCUGAACCUGUUAGUGUACAACAACCUCAACCCAACCCAGAACCUACAACAAACUCACCACAUAACUCAACCACACAAAAAGCCUCUGAAGUAGCUUCAGAUGCAACUACUUCAGAAACUCCCCAACACCAAGAAUACUCAACCCUUCACAACUUAGAAAAACAUCUAGGUGGUGAAAUGCAACCAACACCCACUAAGGCCUCUAAGACAGUUCCUGAAAAGACUGUCUUGGAAACCCAAACAGAAACCCAAACCAUCCCUGAGCAAACUGUUCAGGAGCAAACUGCCUCUGAACAAGUUGCUCCUGACCAAACAACUUCUGACCAACAUAUACCUUCUGACCAAACAACAGAACAACAACAACAACCAGAUUCACCCACUAUAAUAGACUUAACCUCUGACCAACCUUCCAUAUCAAAUACAACUCAAACCGAACCUUCACCCAUCCCUGACCAUAUCCUAGAGUCUGAGUAUAUAGAGGAACAACUGAUCAGACUCAGUGAUGAGAUUCAGGCACUGAUUCUUCGCAGAACAGUUCCUGUACCUCCUAUUCACUAUUAUGAUCAGUGGAUGGAUCUACAGAAAAGCUUUGAUGAGCUGCUGGAUCAACUUAGAACUAAAUGUGUGUCAUCUCACUCUGCUAUGCUGAAGAAGCUUUUGGAUGAUAUGCAUGAAGCAGCUAAGGAGAAAGAGCUGAAUUUUGUGCCUCUGCUGGACAUCACUCCUUUCUAUCCAGAAGAAGAGUACAUCACUAGGGCUGCUAGAAUUCAGGCUGGAUAUAAAAGAAGAAUGAGAGAAAAGGAUGAGCUACUUCAGAAGAAGGAUGAUCAGAUCAAGUAUCUCUUAGAACAGUUGUAUAAGCAAGCCCAACCUUAGUUGCACACCCAACUCUAGCUUGUUUUUUACUUUUGUUCUUAGUAGCUGUGUCUUUGUAUCUUAAUCUUUCUUUCUAUAUAUAUUAUCAUUGUUUCUGAAUCUUGUGCUUUUUCACCUUCAAUAUGUUUUACAAGCUUUAAUUCUGAUGAUAUUUACUGUUUUCAAUGCUGCUUGCUCUGAAAUACUAUCUUUAAAAGUUAUAUGUUUAUAUCUUGGAACAAAAUGUGUUUCACAAUGAACCUUAUUAAGUUUUGAUGAUAACAAGGUAUUAAAAAUUGUCAAUUGGUUAUUACUAAUAAUUGUUCAAGUGUACAGGACCAAAGGCUACUCAAGUUAUUUCAAUAGGUCUUGGAAGAACAAUGGAAAGAAAAAGAAAUUCUGAGCAUCUGAAGAAAACUGCUCCUGAAGCUAAACUGCUCCUGAAGAGAUGACGUCAUCAGAAGCAGAAAGCUGCUCCUGAAGCUAAACUGCUCCUGAAGAGAUGACGUCAUCAGAAGCAGAAAGUCAUCAGAAGCAGAAAGUCAUCAGAAGCAAAAGUUUUCAUCAGAAGCAAUAUUUUCACCAGAAGCUACAUUUGAUCCUUUAAUCAAACUGAAGAUUCAAAGUUGCUGAUUCUCAAUUCAGUCUUAUCAAAGAAGAACGAAGAAUUGAAAGGGAGGUAUCAACGGAUAUAUGGAUAGCACUGAGCACUUGUCUCUCAUUAAUAGAGUUGACAAAGUACAAGUGUACAACCACUACCUCCACUACUCUGUUUUCUGUCUACGCUACAAGACAAAACAACAGCCAUGCCUGCAGAAUUUGUACAACUCAAGAUGGGAAUGAAUUUGAAGUUUAUCCUUCAAAGGACUACACCCAAAUCAGGCAAAAGAUCACUGGUGGAUAAUCAAAGGAUUUCAAACGACUCUUUAGACGUGCUGAUUAUCUCAACGUCUCUUUCACGCCUCUAUAUAAAGGAGUGAAGACUUGAAGAUUCAAGAUAGAGAUACAUAAGUUCAAAAGCGCCAAAACUCUGUCAAUUUGAUUCUACAAAGCACACUGAAUUUCUGCACUGAUUUGAUACAUCUUAGAAAUUCAAAGUCUAGAGUCUUUUCUGUAUUGUAUUGUGAACACCACUGAUUGUAUAUCAAGUGUUCAAUUCAAACUCAAUUCUCUGUAUUUUUGUUUGAUUAGAAGUCUCUUGCCUGCGUGCUUGAGCAUUAGAAGUCUCUUGCUUAGUGCUUGAGCAUUGGAAGACUCUUGCGUGUGUGCUUGAGCAUUGUUUUGUGAAGUCUCAUACUUUGAAAGUAUUGAGCAGUUGUAAUCUUGUGAUUAUAGUGAAAUCUCCUUGGAAGUGCAAGGGGGACUGGACUACUUCCGUGUUGUGGAAGGAACCAGGAUAACUGCCUGUGUCUUUGUCUUUCUUUUCUCUGCUCUGUUCUUUUCCGCUGCAAUCUGACUCUGAUCAUUUCAUCAGAAGCAAUCAAACUGCUUCUGAAGUUUUAUCAGAAGAAGAAUCCUUUUUAUUAAGAGAAAAAGAAAACACAAUUCAACCCCCCCCUUCUUGUGUUUUUCACCUUCAGAUUUUGGAGGAUUUUUGGGGUUUAUAUGAAUUUUUUAAAUUCAAUCUAUGUUGUUAUAAUAUUCUUAAAAUUAAAGAUAUAAUAAACAUAAGCAUUAAUUUAUCAUUAUCUAAAAAAUUACUCUUUCUCAUUCAAUAGAAACUUUUUCAUAAAAUGUGAAAGAUUUCUGCAUUUCUCUAUAUAUUUCUUACCUCCAAAACUCUCACCUUCAAACUCUCAAACAAACCCUUAGUAUAUUGUUACAAAAUAUAAAAUAUACGGUAUAUAGUAAUAUGUGCUAAACACUUGAUGAUUUUUUUCUUUUUUGACUCAGUAAGAUCGUACAAAGUGUAAUCUCAUAACCCUUCAUGGGAAAUACAACAAUGUCAAGCUACACUUUUUAAGCACAACCCUAAAGGGUAAAUAACAAAAUAAACAAAAACUCAGCCACCACGUGUACAAUCUAGCGAACACAACUCGGAGUGCGAAACCAAAUUGCAAAAGAAAGUGGUUUUUGAGCGUUCCUCUCCGUAACAAUGGAAUGAGUGUUUCUUCGUGUCAAAAUUGAUAAUUGAAAUUGUCAGCCAGCACAAAAGCAAUUACACUUACCCACCACUCACUGAUGAAACCAACAACAAAUUUACGGCUAUGAAUCAACCUCAAAAAGCACUACAAGAAAGAAAAAAAAAGCUCUUUGCAACAGUUAAAUUGAGAUUCGCGACUAUUCAAACCGUCGCAAUUUUCCAUUUGCGACACUUUCCCAAUUGUUGAGGAAAAGGGGUCGCAAGAGCAUUUUGAUACAGCUCAAAAACCCGUCGUUACAACUGCCGCAGAGCGUAUUGCAAAGCACUCGUUUUAAUUUUGAAAAAGGGUGUUGCGAUCGUUUAGAACCGUCACAAUUCAUGAAAAAUAAACUUACAAAAAUAUUGCAGCUGUUUUGAACCGUCGUUAUUUGGUGAAUUUAAUUUGAAAAAAAAAACAGAUAUUUUAGAAUUAAUAAUAGAACAUCCGAGUUAUCAUAUUUUAAUGACAACUAAAUUAAUUCAUAGUAAAAAAAUAUGAGCUAAUCCAUAAACUAAAAUAUGAAUUACAUUCAAAUAAAAUGAUUCAAUAAAACAUAAACAAGUGAUAAUACAAUAAGGUUUCUUGAGCUAACAUAAAAAUUUAAUCAAUUAUGUAGAUGCUCCGUGGCAAGAAAAUUGUUUUGAUAAACUCAAUGUGAAUAGACUCCAAAAUUGUUAAAUAGUAGUUAUUAUUAAUAAGGUUUCAAUUUUCUAGAAAUUAAAACAAAAAUAUUGAAAGAAAAAUCAAGAAACAAGAAGGAUAAAGAAGAAAAUACUUAAGAUUUUCAUUUUGUUUGGAUUAUCUCUUUUUCCUUAUGAAAGAUGAAGUGACGAAGCAGAUCUGACCUGAGACUAGGGUUUAACGAAAUUGGGAACGGAUUUGAGAAAAGGAGAAAGGGGCAACACACAAUGAAGGAGGUUAGGUUCGAUCUAAGGGUUACAUCUUUUUCUUCGGUUGGAGGUUUGAAUUGGACAUGAGAGAAGAAAGAAGGGACGAUCGAUUCAAGGUUUAGAACAAAUGUGAGAGAAGAGAGAAGGCUUUUUGGGAUGGCCGAUUGGGGGUUUCUCUUUUGGGAUUUUUUCGAUGCUGGACGGAGGUUUUUUUUUUCUUUCAUAGAUCUAUAUGCUAAAAGUUUUUUAGCGGUGAGAUUUUUGGAUUUUGAAAAUUCAAGAGAGAAAAAAGGUUAGCGAGCUUUAUGCUAAAAGACCACCUUUAAUUUCACUCUAAAAUUUGCGACGGUUGGGAUUACCAGUCGCAAGACCCGCCUCAAAUAUACAAUUGUGACCCUUAUUAUUGAACUGUUGCAGUUCAUGUGUCGCAAAAUAACAAAUUUCUUGUAGGGAAGAUUGCAAAGUCGUCGCCCUUUUGAGCAUUACAGAACCAAAUCAACAAAUUUGGUCCUCUAUGAAUAGAUCAACGACGAAGCUAGAAAGUGCAAGAAGGAAUUGUUGCUUUUUAAGGUGGAUUUCGAGAAAGCCCAUGAUUAUAUUGAUUAGGGUUAUUUAGAUGAGGUGAUGAGAAGAUGAUGUUUUCGACGCUUUGGCGAAAGUGGAUUAGAGAAUGUAUUGGUACAACAACAACUUCGGUCUUGGUCAAUGGGUGUCCUACGAAUGAGUUUCUUAUGGAGAAGGGCUUGAGGCAAGGCAAUCCUCCCUAUCUCUCUCCUUUCUUGUUCCUCUUGGCAGCAGAGGGGUUCCAUGUUUUGAUGGAGUCUUUGACUGAGAAUGAUCCUUUUGUUGUUUCUCACUUUCAAUUUGUGGGUGAUACGCUGAUUUGUCUGGUUUGAAGGUGAGCUUUCAUAAGAGCCAAUUGGUUGGGGUAAAUGUGUUUGAUUCUUGAUUAACAGAGGCAGCUAUGGUUUUGAAUUUCCAAGUUGGUAGGUUAUCCUUUGUGUAUUUUGGGAUGCCAAUAGGUGGUGACGCGAUACAUUUGUCUUUUUGGCAACCGUUGAUUCUAAGAAUUAAUUCUAGAAGGUCGGGUUGAAAACCUAAGAACUUAUCUUUGGGUAGUCGUCUGGUUCUUUUAAAGUCUGUCAUGUCAUCUCUGCAUGUUUAUGUUCUUUCUUCCUUCAAGGCUCCCUCAGAUAUUGUCUCCUCUAUUGAAUCUAUUUUAAUUUUUUUUUUGGGGUGGGGGGUGCGGACCAUAGGAAAAUCUUUUGGGUUGAUUGGAACUAUGUUUGUUUGAGAAAAGAGGUUGGAGGUUUGGGGGUCAGCAGAAUUAGGGAGUUUUAACAUUGCUUGGUUGGGGGAAAUAGUGUUGGAAGUUGCUGAUGGAUAAAGAGAGUCUUUGGUUUAGGGUGUUGUUGGUGAGGUAUCGUGUUGAGGGAGGUAUUUUGAAGGAAGGGACGGUUCUAUCUGGUGGCGCGAGCUUGAUGUUGUGCAUAAUGGCUUAGUGAUCAUGUUAGCCGAAAUGUGGGGAAUGGCGGAGGUUCUAAGGUGCGGCAAUCUAUUGUGCACUUGAUUUGGUUUGUUAGUAUGUGAGAAAUUUGGAAAGAAAGAAAUAACAUGAUCUUUAAUGGUAAAGAAUGCUCAAUGUUGCAGCUUGUGGAAAGAUUAAGUCGAUUUCCUUUUUGUGGUUGAAGGCGGAGUUUAGUUCUUUCCUUUUCAAUUAUCAUAUUCGGUGGAUUAGUCCUCUCACAAAUGUUGGGCAUUAACUAGUUGUUAUUUCUUCUCUUAAUCUCUUGUUUUUUUAUCUUCUAACUUUUGUUGCGACUCUUUUGUUCUCUUUUGACACACCUCAUACUAGAAAGGACAUUUUUAGUUAGUAAUAUAUUUUAUUUUGGCUUCUUAAAAAAAAAAAAAAAAACACUCCUCCAUUGAGAUAAAGAGUUGUCUCUUCUACUUAAUACGAAAGUUCUAAUAUUAUUUAGUCAUCAUAUAUAUCAUCCUUAACAUGUGUGUAAGGUCACUUUCUUGAAAAGUAUGAGUAACUGAUAAGACAGAACACCAAUGACAACAAUUUUUUAGAGAGAUUGUCAUAAUAUUCUAACCAAUUUAUUGAAAAUUUUAUUAAAAAAAAUAUGAAGGUUAAACAUGAGUUGACUAAAAAGUAAGGAUUAAUUCUUUCAAAAAAAAAAAAAUUAUGGAUUAAUUUCAUGGAUGAAAUUUUUUGGAGGGACCAAAAGCCUAAGGGAUAUUUUAGGAAGACUAAAAUCAAUUGUUAGUAUAUUUAGAAGGACCACCAUUUACUUAUUUUUUUUUUUUUUUGGGUAGAAGACCACCAUUUACUUAUUUAAACCUUUUUUCAAUUUAUAUGUGAUAUAUGAAUUCAAUUUAUAUAUUUUGUUUAACUAAACUUCAUUAUUAUUGUAUCUUUUUAUUUUCUAAUUUUUGAUGGAAACUUAAACCUUUUUUUGUUUUUGGUGGUAUCCAAAAUUUGCCUUGAACCUUACAUAUAUUAUGCAUUAUCUAUACCAACUGAACUAAGUUUACGGAGAUAAACUUUUUUAUUUAAACUCAUACUAAUAAAUAUGAUAUAUGAGUUCAAUAUAAAGAACAACAUACUUUAUUUUAGUCUGUAAGAAAAAAUGGUUUAUAAAUUGAACCGAAAGAUGCACAGUAAAAGAAAAUAUAUAAGAAGAGGCAUUGGCAAAUGUGGGCUGUUUUUUCUUGCUUAGCGGGUAGUUUUUUCUAUUAUGAAAAAUAAUAAAAUAAAAGUAAAGAUUAAAAAUGGUAAAAUGCAUAAAAAGUUAUAAGUUAUACGCUCAAAGUUAGUCUUUUUAGCUUCUAAAAAAAGACUAUAAGCUAACGAAAAAAGUUAGUUAUCAAACAUUUAAUUUUGUCAAACAAACUUAUAACCUAGUACAACAAACUAUAAUCUAGCUUAUUUUAUCAUACAGGCUUUAUUAUCCUAUUAAAAUUUUCAUUCAUAGAUAGAAGAACAUCAAUAUGAUUUAUUUAUCGAAUUGAUGUAUUCUAGAUAUUUUACUAAUAAAACUAUAUCUAUUUAUAAAUCGAUUUUGUAAAAAUAAUCAGUUAUAUAUCCGCAAAUAAAUUUAUAAUAAAAUAAGUCAUGAUUAUUAAUACAUUUUUUUGAAGCAAUGAUUAUUAAUACAUAUCCAUACAAAUAUUUUAUAAGUGGGUAUAAUUUGGUUGGUUAAAAUAUAUAUUUUCUUUGAAAUAACAAGAUAUUAUAUUAAUGGAUUAGAUCAUGAAAAUAUACAUCAUUAGUUUCAUACUACAUCCAUCCCUAAUUAUAAUGUCCUUUUAAAAAAAUAACGGGAAUUAAGAUAGUGGAUAUUUGUAUUAAAUAUGUUUGUAAUUACUAUUGUUUUUACAAUUUUAUCCUUUAAGAAAGAGGGUUGACUUAUGUUUUCAACAUUCUAUUUAUUGUUGAUUAAAGAAAAAGAUGUACAAUAAAUAGGGGCAUAUAUGUAAAAAAAUAAUUAAUGUAGUCGGAAAUAAAAAAUGAAUUUUAUAAAAAAGAACAAAAAAAAAAUCUCAAAAGCGUCUUAUAAUUAGGGACGGAUUUAGAAUGGGAAAUUUGAGCUAAAUUAUGGGCUAUCUUUAUACAAAUUCUAGGGAUAGAUUGCACUGCCAUUUGUCAAAAUGCCAUUGGAGGGAUUGGACUUCCUGGUGGGACCUUUUUCAACUAUGAUGAGUUUUGACUUUUGACUAUAAAUGCUUGAUCGAUAUCCAUAUAGUCUCCCGUGAUCACCCAUUUUCCUGUUUCUUAAGAAAUCAUUAUCCAUGUCGUCUUCAACCUCCAAAACCAAAUGGAUCUACGAAGUGUUCAUAAAUUUUAGGGGGGAAGAUACUCGUAGCAAUUUCGUUUCUCAUCUUUAUGCAACCCUUUCAAAUGCUGGAAUUAACACUUUUCUUGACGAUGAGAAUCUUGAAAAGGGAAAGGAGCUGGGACCAGAAUUAUUGCGAGCAAUACAAGGUUCUCAAAUAAUCAUUGUUGUUUUCUCCAAAAAUUAUGUUCAAUCUAGUUGGUGUCUUGAUGAACUCGAACAAAUCAUGGAGUGCCACAAAAGUACGGGUCAAGUUGUUAUGCCCGUAUUUUAUGGUGUUACUCCUUCAUUUAUACGUGAAUAUGCUAGCCAAACUUUUGGGGAAGCUAUCGUUAGCAAAACAAAUCAUUUCGUCCUCCAUAAUUCGGAUCCGAGGAAAAAUCCACGAAAUAAGGCACAAGGCGAUGAUCAUUAUAGGUAUUUUUUUUACUAAGAUAUUUUUUACUAUGAUAAUUAUAGGUAAAUGUCUAUUUUUGUUAGAGGUAUGGUAAAUGUCAUCGUGAGUUUAACGGUAUGAACUCUGAACAAUGUAUAAUAUAUGUAAGGUCUGAGGUUCAGACUAUGGCCACCACAAAAAAAAAAAAAACGGUAUGGUAAAAAAAAAAUUUGUCAAGUACUCGUAGCUGGAGCUCACAUAUUUUAAAUGUGGAGAUGUAUGAUAAAUAAAUGUUUAAUAAUAAAAAUAUGUGUUAUUUCCGUAGUAGCACAAUGGAUAUUUCAAAUCUAAAAAAAAUAUGUGUUAUUAGAUUUCUUACUUACAGGUAAAUGCCUCUUUUUUUAGGGGUGUGGUAAAUGUCUAAACGUAAAAAUACGUGUUAUUAGGUUUCUUACAAAUUUACUAAAUUUUAUUUUUGAUUAUAAAAUAUUUCUGGUAAUAGAAAAAGUUUCCAAAGAAAAGGGUGUAAAAUUAAAGUUUCUCGGAGAUGGAAAUAAUAUCUGUAUAUUUUCAUAAAAGUUAUUUUUAAGAAUAAAUAUAGUAAACUUGAAUGUCUAUUACCAAUUUGUAAAUUAUUAUUUGACAAAUAAUCCGUCCAUUUUAAAAUGGAUGUCUCUUAAGAUUUUUACACACAUAUUAAAAAAUAUAAAUUAUAAUGAUUAAAAGGAAGAUAAUAUCUAUUUUUAUCAAAUUAUCCUUAUCAACUAUUGAUUUCAUUUUUAUUAUCAUAAAUGCAAAGUAAAAGUAAUGUUUUGGGAGUAGUGUGUAUAAGGGUACGAUUGAAAAUAUGUAAUUAAUAUUGCAUUGGAAAUCAAAAGUGACAUUCAUUUUAAAACAAUUUUUUUUACUAAAAUGACACUCAUUUUAAAACGGAGAGAGUAGUAAAUUAAUAUGUGUUCUAAAAUGUCUGAUCAAUUUUCAAUAAAUCAAUAAUUAUUUUAUUCACCUAUACUCUACUCCCUUUAGACUCAUAAAUAAUUGUUUUUUUUUUUUUUUACCAAAAAAUAAAAAAUAAUAAUUGUUUUUAAGUUCAUUGAAAUAAACCUAAAAAAAAUCUUUUCUUAUAUAUGAGACUAGAUUGAGUAAUUAACGGUACUUCUUUCACUUUCGAUUUCAUGUAUUUCACAUCCCAUUUAUUAUAAAUAUGAAUACACCAGCGCAAAAUAAAUUUGUUAAUCUAGAUAAAUUAGUCAACUAAAUCUUUUAUUUCUAGAUAAAUUUGUCUUUUGAAAAAUAUUUAUUGUUGCUGCAAUUAUGUAAAGCCGUGACAGGCUGAAAAUUUCAGAAAAGAAAGAUUCACUUGAGCAAGCACUCGGGGAUGCUUCGAUCUUGGCUGGUUGGGAUAUGGAUAAUUACAGGUAAAUGUUUAUAGUAUUAUGUUUUGUUUAGUAUACUUGUAGCAAUGAUAAGAAUUCCGCUCUUCUUCCAACAAAAAUCACUUGUUCCCAAUUGAAAUAUCCACUAAUAAACUCACGCACCUUAUGCCUACAAUGUGAGUUAACUCACGCACCUUUGAACAGUGGCAACGAGACUUAACUCAAGCACCUUUGGUUGGUGGCGUGAGUUAGAUCACGCAAUUUUGGUCGAUGGUCUAUGCACAAAGAACACAUUUUUUUGGACGUGGUCACUUAUUCAAACUUGGUUUUACUCGAUUUUUACAAGUUUUUACACGUUUUUUUAUUGUAUUUAGUGUAGUUAAAACCUAUCUAAGACAUUCCCCCUAUAAAUACCCUUCCAACCUUCACCAUUUCUCACACCAUCAUCUCACACUCUCUCCUCCUCUUCCUUCUACAACAACAAUGUUUUUCCAUUCUUUGCCUUUCUUAGAAAGAUUCAUCUUUGAAAAUUUCAGGGAUUGUAUGAACGGUCAAUGAAAAUGGCAACACACUGUGUCGCGUCAUUUUUGGAGAUCAAGGCUAUUUGAUUAGCUUUUGACUCACUAAUUAUUUCACGACUGAACAUUUAAUUUUUAAGGAAAAGGGGAAAAAAGUUCAAAACACCCCAUAUUGAAAAGAUUUAGGGUUCGGGGGUUAGUUACAUAAAGGGAAGGUAUUAGCACCCUUUACGUCCGUAGUACUCUACGGGAACCUCUUGGUUUUAUUUAAUUUAAUGUGCUAUAACUUGCUUGCUUUUGAAAAAGAAGUUAAUGUGAUGAUUAAAAGAAAAAGAAAGUGAGACCUAAUUUAUCUACAUUUUUUAUUGUUUGGAAGGACGAGUGUCCUCUGCCUACGUACCCGUGAAGGAUCAAAACCUCGUAGUUCGGGGUAGAAAAUGACGCUUGAUUGGUUUUGUGUUUUUUUAUUAGUUUUUGAAAAAGGUUUUAAAGAUAAAAGCCAAGUGGCAAAUAAGAAUUUGUUUGUGUUUUUUAAUUUAAAUGAAAAUAAACUCAAGGUAGAAUUAAAUUGAUUGAUGUUUGAUUAAGAAAAGAAAAUAAAGAUGCGGUCACUUGAUUUGGAUCAAGGUUUAUUAUAAAAAAUAUUUUUUGUGAUUUUUUUUUUGGUUAUUUGCAUGUUUUGUGAUUUUUUUGAAAAUAUUUAAACUAACGGAGCAUAAAGAAUAAAAGCGUGGCUACCCUAAGUUAGAAAUAUAAAAUCUAUGACUAUUACAUAAAAACCUAUUUACAUUCUAAGGUCUGCAAUAAAAUUAAAAUGCUAAGAAAAAUAAAUAAAUACGAAAAAGAAUAAAAAAAGGUCCAAACACAUGGUGGGGUGCAGUGGUAAACAGGGGUGUGCAGAAAGCAGAAAAAAAAAGGAUUGGGCUCAAGGAAAAUGAACCGGGUUGCGGGUCAUGGGUCAUGGGUCGUGGGUUGACCCGUUUGGGGGGUAUAUAAGGGCUGUUGGGCCCUUUUUCUUUCAUUUUUCUUUUUCCUUUCUCUCUCUUCCUCACCGGUUCUCUCUCUUCUUCUCUGUUCUCUCUCUAACUCUCUUCUUCUCCGGCGGAGUGGGGUGGGGGUUCCGGCGGGAUUCCGGCGCGGUGGCCGGCGAGCCAUCGCGGCUGCGCCGCCGCGCCGGAGCUAAAAAAACUCCCCCUUUUUUAUUUUUUCGCUCUUUCUCUUCCUCUUUUCCCCCCUUACGUGAUACUAAACCCAAAAAUCCCAAAACCUUUACUCAAACGUCUAGAUCUAAAAAGAAAGAAAUUUAUACCUUUUUGUUUUUUUGUUGAUCCGGUUUCGUGAUGUGAUUGUCGCUGUUGUGACGGUUUGUGCGCCUCUGUGUGUGCGUGUAUGUGCUGUGUUGUGUUGCCCGCGGCCGUAUUCCCGUUUCUGUGCACGUGCGUGUGUUGUGGCGUGGACUGGUGCGUGUGUGUUGUGCGCGGACUGGUACGGUUUGGACUAGUGCGUGGCGUGAGUUGUUGGCUUGUGCGACUGUGUUGUUGCUUGUGCGACUGUGUGUUUGGCUCUUCUUGCUGCUUCUGUUGUUUGUGGCCUCUUUUUUUCGUUCUGCUGCGUUUUUUGUUGUGUUUUUAAUUGUUGUGCAGGUCUCUAUUUAUAGAGUGGGUUUGAAGCUUGAAUUUGUUACUGAUGAGCACAAAAUCAGUGGCUUGUGGAGGAGAAAAAAGGAAAUGUGUCUGUUUGUUACUGGAUUUGUUUCAGAGGAAGCGUGAAUCCGGAUUUGGAUUAGAAUGGAAAAGGAACAGAACGUGUAUAAGGAUUGAGAUGAAUUUGGACUAUUUUGUUGGACUUAUUUUUGGACAAUUUUGGGAUUUUAAUUAAAAAGAAAAAAUUAAAAAUAAAAAAAGGAUAAUGUCUAUAUUUUUGGUUUUUAAAAAGGAAAAUUUAAAAUGGGAAUAAAAGGAAUUUAAUCUAAAUUGGACUAAAAUUAAAAUUAGAGUUCUAAAUUAAAAAUUUAAAAGAUGGAAAUAAAUAAUUAAAGACUGAGAGAAGAGGGCCCGAUUCGGAACUUUAUGAGGUAUUUCAAAAUACCUCCCUGCCGAAUUUUUCACUGAAAUGCGAGUCUGGUCCGAGUUCGGAGACGUGUGUCAGUGGGACCUUAGGUCAAAAUUUGGGGUAUGACAGAUGCCCCUAUUUAAGUUUCUUCGCUCAGAGAUUCGAAGGUAAAAUCCUUGACUCGACGAGCCGAAGAGACUUAAAUACAAAAGUGCACCAAUUUUGACCUAAGAGGUUUAUGAAUGCUCAUGAUUUAAUUAUGAAUGCAUGAUGAUAAUGACGGCUCGACUGGAAUGAAAAGACACUAGGAUACCCAAAUUCUUUGAAGAAAGGGAUCCGACUUUACUGGGGAAUCUGGUUUCACUGGGGAAAAUGGUUGUUCCUCAUUGUUUCGACAUCUCGAAACAAAGUGCAAUGGUUCAGACCUCCAUGUCUAUUUGUGGACUUGGUUUUGAAAAUGGAAAAAAGAAAGAUACAAGCUUUUUGUUGGUUGAAAUUGGCCACUUGUCACAGAUUGUUCGUUGGUUGGAACUGGUUGCUGAGCAUAAAGAUAAAAGAUUGGCUCGAGUUGUUCGUUUGUUGGAACUAGUUGCUCGGAAGGUAAAAGACAUUGGCAUAGGCUAUUCGUUUGUUGGAAUCGGUCGCUGGGCAUAAAGAUAAAAUAUUGUCAUGAGUUGUUCGUUCGUUGGAACUGGUUGCUCGAAAGGGAAAGAACUGACAUAGGCUAUUCGUUUGUUGGAAUCGGUCGCUUGAAACAUAAGUUGUUCGUUGGUUGGAACUGGUUACUUAAAAUAAAGACACAAGCUGUUCGUUGGUUGGAACUUGGUCGCUUGAAAAGUUUGGAUUGGUGACAUCUCUAGAACAGCUAUGCUGGGGAUGAUACCUGGAGUUUGAAGUUGACAUCGAGAUCAACUAGCGCCAUGACUAGUACGGCCUUCUGCCGGGGAUGUCACUUCGAAACUAAAAUUGAAAUUGACUUUGAUUAGUGGCAUGACUUAGCACGGUUUUUCGCCGGGCAUGACACCUUUGAAUUUUGAAAUUGAGAUUGACAUUGAUUAGUGACAUAACUAGCACGGCUUUACGCCGGGGAUGACACUUUUGAAUUUGAAAUUGAAAUUGACAUUGAUUAGUGACAUAACUAGCACGGCUUUACGCCGGGGAUGACACUUUUGAAUUUGAAAUUUGAAAUGGAAGACGCUCAUUUGUAGAAACUUGCGGCUUGACACAAUGGUAAGCUUUGACUGAUGCGAUUAUGUGUGAAUUGAUGUUAUGCAUAUGUCGUGUACGCGUAAACGUAUGAUCAUGUGAAAAUUUUGGUGAAUGCAUGAUUGUAUGAAUGUAUGGAUAUGUGAAUGUACAUGACACGUGAAUCGAUGAACCGAGACAAGACAGGUAAGAUGGGAGUCGGACCGACAUUGUAUUCCAAACACUCGGCAACCUUCCUUGGAGAUGAUAUUAUUGUGAGCAAAUCGAGCCGUUGAUGGCGUAAGAACCUGGCACUUAGGUAGCCACCGAUGCCUCCUGGGGGGUGAGCCCAUUGUCGAUGAAAGAAGUCUGAAGAAGUCGCUAUUUGUAAAUCGGCACAGAGUGUCCUUCCAUUGGUAUGCUUCAGCAGUCAUACCUUUUGUUUUUUAAACGAAAAUCCCUAAUUUUUGCCUGGACCGCCCUUUCGGGUUUUCAGUCCACCGGGAAUAUUUUUGUUUUGCCCCUAAUUUUUGCCUGGACCGCCCUUUCGGGUUUUCAGUCCACCGGGACGCCCUCUGUUGCCUAAGUCGCCUUUUCAGGUUUUCAACUUAGCGAGCUUUUUUUGUAUUAUUUUUGUAUUUGUUUAUUCAGAGACUUUCCUUAGUGUCGAGCCACACUUUUAGCGGGAUCUAACCUCUCUUGAGUUGAUAUAUGCCUUUCUUACUCCCGAGUGCCAAGUUGUAUCUAUUUGUUUAUGCUUUUUAUUAUAUAAACCCUUUUUAGAAAUCUAUUUCAAAGUAUUAUCAUCAGUAAAAGAGAAAAAAAAAAAAAAAAAAAAAAAAAAAAAAAAAAACGAGAAACAAAACAAGUAGGAGUCAAAAGAGAGGUAAAGGCUCAAAGUUUAUUAAUCGAGUGACGCUAUGCCAAUGGCAUGACUUCAUGGAGUUAUUUACAAAGUUUGAAAAGAAAUGGUAAUUUAAAAUGGAAAGGUACGUUGAACUUCAUAACCCUAUCGUUCUCUAGCAACUUUGAAAUCCGUUAUCUUGUGGCUCGAAUGUUUUUGAUAUCAGGUAUGCCCCAAGUGUAUCUGUGUUCGACUGGAUGCAGUUACUUUGUCUCUAUUUUCCCUUUUUUUUUUUUUUUUUUUUUUUUUUUUUUUUUUUAAAAAUCCUUAAUUUUUGCAUAGACUGCCCUUUCGGGUUUUCACUCUAUCAGGAUAAUGAUCUCUGUUUAUUGUCUCUAAUUUUUGCCUGGACCGCCCUUUUCGGGUUUUCAGUCCACCGAGACGCUCAUUUUUGCCUAAGUCGCCCUUUUCGGGUUUUCGACUUACCGAGCUGUUCUUUUAAAAUUUUUAGACAAAGUAUUUCUUGACUGCAUCUGUGUUCACAGGUCGUGGAAGUUCUUCACCGUCCAUGGUUUGUAGAGUCAUGGCACCACCUGAGAAGGCUCUUUUAACAACAUACGGACCUUCAUAAUUAGGAGCCCACUUGCCUCGGGAGUCUGGUUGGAAAGAGAAAAUCUUUUUGAGCACGAGAUCACCUUCUUUAAACUCACGGGGACGAACUUUCUUGUCAAAGGCCUGCUUCAUCCUUUUUUGAUAUAAUUGUCCGUGACAUAGGGCUGUCAUGCGCUUUUCUUCAAUUAGAUUCAACUGGUCGUAUCUAUUCUGAACCCAUUCAGCUUCCGAUAAGUCAGCCUCCAUUAAGACUCUCAAUGAUGGAACUUCGACUUCUACAGGGAGUACUGCCUCCAUGCCAUAUACCAGGGAAAAAGGAGUUGCCCCUGUUGAUGUGCGUACAGAAGUACGAUAUCCAUGUAAUGCAAAGGGAAGCAUUUCAUGCCAAUCUUUAUAAGUCACCACCAUCUUCUGGACAAUCCUCUUUAUAUUCUUGUUCGCAGCUUCGACAGCACCAUUCAUUUGAGGUCUGUAAGGUGAAGAGUUAUGGUGCUCGAUCUUGAAAUCAUCACACAAUUCUUUCAUCAUCUUGUUGUUUAGAUUUGUUCCGUUGUCGGUGAUGAUCCGGUUGGGGAUGCCAUAGCGACAAAUGAUAUGAUUCUUGAUAAAUUUGACCACUACUUGUUUGGUCACGUUGGCAUACGAUGCGGCCUCAACCCACUUAGUGAAGUAGUCAAUAGCCACUAGGAUAAAACGGUGUCCAUUUGAAGCUUUGGGCUCAAUCCUUCCGAUCAUGUCAAUGCCCCACAUAGAGAAAGGCCACGGAGAGGAAAGCAAAUUGAGUGUAGUUGGCGGCAUAUGAAUCUUGUCGGCGUAUAUCUGGCACUUGUGACACUUUCUGGUAUGCUUGUAGCAAUCUGAUUCCAUUGUCAUCCAGUAGUAGCCUGCUCGCAAUAUCUUUUUAGCCAUUGUGUGCCCAUUAGGAUGAAUUCCGAAGGAUCCUUCGUGUAUUUCAUGUAUCAAUAAAUCAGCUUCAUAUUUGUCUACACAUCUGAGCAAGACCGUGUCAAAGUUUCUUUUGUACAAGAUAUCCCCAUUCAGGAAGAAAUUACUAGAUAAUCUUCUGAGAGUCUUCUUAUCUUUGUUGGAUGCUCCAGGAGGAUACUCUCGAGUUUGGAGAAACACCUUAAUAUCAUGAAACCAAGGUUUAUCGUCGAAAACUGCUUCAGCGGCAAACACAUAAGCGGGUCUAUCAAGGAAUUUGACACUGAUUAGUGGCACGUCAUUGUGAUGAUUCACCUUGAUCAUUGAAGACAAAGUAGCCAAGGCAUCCGCCAUCUGAUUCUCAUCCCGAGGAAUAUGAUGUAAUUCCACUUUGUUGAAGAAGGUCAAUAAGCGUCUUGCAUAGUCUCGAUAAGGUAUUAGUCCUGCGUGAAGAGUUUCCCAUUUUCCUUUGAUCUGGUUGAUUACAAGAGCUGAAUCUCCAUAUAUUUCGAUGUUCUUGAUUCUUAGAUCAAUGGCUUCUUCAAUACCCAUGAUGCAGGCCUCAUAUUCAGCGAUGUUGUUUGUGCAGUCAAACCGGAGUCUUGCUGUGAAAGGGAUGUGAGUACCCUUAGGAGUAAGGAGUACUGCUCCUAUGCCGUUGCCGUAUACAUUGACAGCCCCAUCAAAUAUCAAACCCCACACUGAAUCUGGAUCAGGACCUUCUCCGAAUAGUGGCUCGUCGCAAUCUUUCAUUUUUAAAUACAUAAUCUCUUCAUCAGGAAAGUCAAACUUGAUAGGUCGAUAGUCUUCAAGUGGUUGGUGAGCUAAGUGAUCAGCAAGAAUACUGCCUUUAAUUGCCUUCUGGGAACGGUACUCGAUAUCAUAUUCAGAUAGUAGCAUCUGCCACCGUGCAAUCCUUCCUGUCAAAGCGGGCUUCUCAAAUAUGUACUUGAUUGGAUCCAUUUUAGAUACCAGCCACGUAGUGUGAUUAAUCAUAUAAUGACGGAGGCGUUUGGCAGCCCAGGCUAGAGCACAACACGUCUUCUCGAGCAUGGAGUAGCGAGAUUCACAUUCAGUAAACUUCUUGCUUAAAUAAUAAAUGGCGUGCUCUUUUCUUCCGGUUUCAUCUUGUUGUCCGAGCACACAACCCAUGGAAUUUUCUAACACUGUUAGGUACAUGAUCAAAGGUCUCCCUUCAACUGGAGGGAUGAGAAUCGGUGGUUCUAGCAAGUACUUCUUUAUGCUGUCAAAAGCCUUCUGGCAUUCUUCGGUCCAUACAAUACCUUGUUCUUUGCGGAGUAGUUUGAAUAUCGGCCCACAAGUUGCAGUCAUAUGAGAAAUGAACCGGGAGAUGUAAUUUAGUCGUCCAAGAAAACCCCUUACUUCUUUUUCUGUUCUCGGAGCAGGCAUCUCUCUGAUGGCUUUGACUUUGUCAGGGUCUACUUCGAUGCCUUUCUGGCUGACGAUGAAACCUAGAAGCUUUCCGGAUCUGACACCAAAAGUGCAUUUGUUGGGAUUUAAACGAAGUUUGUACUUCCUCAGGCGCUGGAACAUCUUCUGUAGAUACUUGACAUGGUCUUCUUCAGUAAUCGACUUGACUAUCAUAUCAUCCACAUAGACCUCAAUCUCUUUAUGUAUCAUAUCGUGGAAAAGAGUAGUCAUACCCCUCUGAUAAGUAGCUCCUGCAUUGAUUAAACCGAACGGCAUUACUUUGUAGCAAAAAGUGCCCCAAGGUGUAAUAAAUGAUGUUUUCUCUCUAUCUUCGGGUGCCAUCUUGAUUUGAUUAUAACCGGAGAAUCCAUCCAUGAAUGAGAAGACUUUAGACUUGGCAGUACUGUCAACCAACACGUCAAUAUGAGGUAAAGGAAAGUCGUCUUUUGGGCUAGCUUUGUUUAAAUCACGGUAGUCAACACACAUUCUGACCUUACCAUCUUUCUUUGGAACAGGCACUAUGUUAGCUAACCAUUGGGGGUAAUUUGAUGUGACGAGGAAACCUGCGUCGAUCUGCUUCUGUACCUCUUCUUUGAUUUUGAGAGCCAUGUCAGGACGUGUUCUUCUCAAUUUUUGUUUGACUGGCGGACACUCAGGUUUCAACGGUAGGUGAUGCACCACAAUAUCAGUGUCUAGACCCGGCAUAUCUUGGUAGGACCAGGCAAACACAUCAACAUAUUCUUUGAGGAGCUCUAUCACUUGCUUUUUAACACUUGUUUCGAGCGAUGCCCCAACCUUGAUUUCUUUCUUGUCUUCUUUGGUGCCCAAAUUAAUCACUUCUAAUUCGUCCCCAUAAGGCUGAAUGGUCUUCCUCUCUUGUUCGAGUAGUCGAGAGAUUUCGUCAGGGAUCUCUUCAUUCUCUUCUUCCUCCGUUUCAUACACAGGGAACCCAAAGUUGGGAGAGAUCAUAGGGGUAUGUUGUUCAACGGGUUCGUCGAUUUCUAAUCUGCACAUGUGAUGGAUGAUUUUUUAGAAAAAAGAUACAUGCAGAUUUUUUUGAAAAUUCAUGUUGGGUUUUUUGUAUUACCACUUUUCAGAAAAGCAUAAAAGAAAAUGAGACAAAACAUCGGGAAAAAAAACGACAUUUUUAUUUUAUUGAUGAUAAUUUCUUGAAAUAAAAAAAAAGCCCUAGAUAAGUUCACUUUCGCUUGGGGCGGGGCGAAAGGAUUUUUUUGAAAAGAAAAGCAUAAACUAGACAAAUGCAUUACUUGGACAAGUGAGUAACAAAAGGAACAUCUACGGCAACCCAAUUGUGGCUGGAUACUCCUGGCGUUAUAAAACCUCGUGGCACACUUUCAGGACCAUCUUCAAUGAUUGCAUGGAUAAAGCCCGAACUGUGGAAAGCGCCCUUCUUCGCUGUGGACAAACCAGUAGAUGGGAAGAAACCCAAACCUUCUCGGUGCUUGUUUUCUGGAAGCUCUAUCAGCUUUCCCCAGCUUGUGGACCCCCCUGCUUGUAUGACCUUCUGAGCAUCUUUUAGGGACGAGAUAGAGGCUUCAUUCUUCUGGGUAUUCUUAUCUUCUAUAGUAAACCCUUGAAAAGGUGUCCCUUCGACAUCGUCUGCCCCAAUGAAAGAGAAAGAUGACAAAUGACUCACCAAUAAAGCCUCUUCACCGUUUACAGUUACUAGCUUCCCAUUCUUUACAAACUUCAGCUUUUGAUGCAGCGUGGAUGUGACAGCUCCUGCUUCGUGAAUCCAGGGUCGACCCAGUAAGCAACUAUAUGAAGCUUGAAUGUCCAUGACUUGAAAAUUAACUUGAAAAACUUGUGGCCCAACUGUGAUAGGUAGAACCACCUCACCAAGGACAUCCUUCCUCGAGCCAUCAAAAGCUUUCACCAUUACCCCACUUCGUCUUAAAGGUGCGCCUUGGUAAGCGAGUUGGGUAUAAGUUGUUUUGGACAACACGUUCAAAGAUGAUCCAGUAUCCACCAGUACAUUUGACAAAGCAUCGGUUUUACAGUUCACAGAUAUAUGCAGCGCCCGAUUGUGGUUCCUUCCUUCUGCUGGGAGCUCUUCAUCACUGAAACUCAAGUUGUUGCAUGCAGUGAUGUUCCCUACUAUUCCGCCAAACUGACCCACCGUUACAUCAUAAUCCACAAAAGCUUGUUCUAAAACCUUCAUUAAUGCAUCUUUAUGGGCCUCAGAAUUUAGUAAUAAAGACAUUAUGGAUAUUUUGGAUGGAGUCUGCAUCAGUUGGUCAACAACCUUGUAUUCGCUCUUCUUUAUUAACUUGAGAAUCUCAUCAAACUCUGCACUUGUACCAGCCCCAUUGGGUUGAUCCACUUCUUUGGCGAUACCAGCAUCUUUAGUCCGAACCUCCUUGUUUACUGUAGCAUCAAUCCUCCUUGGGAACACUAUGGGGACAACGCGCCCAUUUCUCAAAACUCUGCUGUCUUCAACAAUAUUAUCCACACUGGACAGAGGCGGUAUUGGAACCUCGCGACCCUCUUCAAUCAUGGUGGCAUUGUAUUUGUAUGGAACGGCUUUUUCAGAAACAUAUGGCAGUGGACCUGGUAAGCAGAUUACCAGAGGGGUGAUAGUUGACUUUCGACUGUCGUAAAAUACCUCCAAAGGUCCUUCGGGAGUUAUUGCACACACAUCAUCGCACUUCCUUUCGACCACAAGCUCUCCUCGGUCUAGAAGCCCUUGAAUAUCAUUUCUUACUUUCUGACAUCCUCCGGAGUUCAUAAGGCAUAUUUCACAGAGAUCAUGAUCAUGCUCGAAAAGGUCGACUUUGCAUAACUUGGCAUGUAACGGAACCAAGGGUGUUCUGAUAUGUUGAACAUCCUGAAUGGGACGAGUCUUUUGACAAUCUUCGAUCAUGUUGACUGUUGCGGCACCAUGAUUCGGCAAUGGGUUUGUUUGAACAUUUGGCGCCGAAUCUGUGAAAGUUAUUUUUCCAUCAUUGAUCAACCUCUGCACUGUGCUUUUAAAGGCAUAACAAGUUUCAAUGUUAUGGCCACGGCCCCCUUCAUGGAAGUCACAAGUUUGGUCAAGUCUAUACCAAGAUGGUAGUUUUUCUGGGAUAGGAGGAGCUGUUCUGGUUUGGACAAGGUUUUUCUGGAGUAAGCCGGGAAGUAAUUCUGCAUAGGUGACCGGUAUUGGGUUAAUCGGCAUUCUUGGUGGUCGAGGUUGUUGUGGGCGUUGUUGAUAAGGUUGUUGUUGGAAAUUUUGUUGAGGGUAUUGUUGAUAUGGGAAUUGUUGGUAUGGUUGUUGUUGGUAUGGUUGUUGUUGGAAAUUUUGUUGUUGGACAUUUUGUGGUUGGACAUUUUGUGGUUGGACAUUUUGUGGUGAAGGAUUUUGUGGGAAUUGAGGAUAUUGUGGUAUUUGAGGAUGGUUAUUUGUUUGUUGAAAAGGGUGAGAGGUGGGUGUGAUGGCAGCAAUGUGUUGAUAGGCUGGAUAAGUUUGUUGAGGCCCUCCAUGAGUCACCAUACCGACUUCUUGUUCUUUCUUCCUCGGGAAAUGGUUCCCGGUCUUCUUGGUCCCACUGGCCGGAGUUGUAUUCUUUACUAAGCGUCCUUCUCGGACUCCUUCUUCUAACUGUACUCCCAUACCAACCAUCUCCGCGAAGCUCUUUGGUGUACUCCCGACCAUCUUUUUGUAAUAAAAAUGAUUCAAAGUUUUUAGGAAGAGCUUGGUCAUCUCUUUCUCCUCAAUUCGUGGGCUGACUUGGGCAGCGGUGUCUCUCCACCGUUGGGCAUACUCUUUGAACGUCUCUUUAUCUCCCUGAGUCAUGGCUUGGAGAUCACUUCGGUCCGGAGUCAUGUCUACAUUGUAACUGUACUGUUCCACAAAAGCUUCGCAAAGGUCACGGAAAGUUUGAACUCUUGUUUUGUCUAGGUUUGUGUACCACUUUGAAGCAGGGCCGGUCAAGCUUUCUUGGAAAUAGUAAAUAAGAAUCUGAUCAUCUUGGGCGUAUGCUGGCAUCCUUCUCACAUACAUUUUUAGAUGUUCCUCAGGACAAGAACUCCCUUUGUAUUUCUCGAAAUCUGGAAUCUUGAAUUUGUGAGGUACCUGCACACUUGGUACCAAACAGAGAUCGUACGCAGUCUUCCCGAAUUUCCCUUUUUCAUGGAGAGCUUUCAUGUCUCGGCGUAGUUCAUCAUACUUCUCUCGUAGGUCACUUACCUCCCCGUAAGCCUCUGCAUUCCCUGAAUGAAAGAUAGGCUCUUCAGCUUGCGGAAUUGUAUGCAUCACGGGUGCUGAGUAGGUUAUGGUGGCGGGAGUGGCCCUCAUGGCAGGUAGGGGUACUUGAGCCGUGUACUGGUGAGUGGGCAUCUGAGCUUCACAAGUGAUAGGACGAAAUAUCUCCCCAGCAGUGAAAGGUGGAAACCAAGGCGUGGAACGUUGCGGAGCGGACUGCGUUGGAGUGUCAGCACAUAGUGUCCAAGAAGAAGAUGCCUCGGCCUGAGUUCUGACAGGAGGAGGAGGUGGAGGUGCUUGUGAUCGGGCCUGCGCCUGAGCUUGAGUUUGAGCUUGUGCCAAUGCUUGCGCUUGUUCUUGAAUCUGUGCUUGAGCUUGAGUCUGAGCUUCCGCCAUUGUUUUUAUUAAUUCAGCCAUCUCGUCCAUCCUAGUCUGCAUGGCUGUCAUUUCUUCACGAAGUACCCGAUUUUCCUGCUCAAGAUAAUCCAUCUUCUUUUUUACGUUUGCCCGAGUGUAGUGAGUACGGGUUGACUUGUAGAUGAUACGUGGGGCCACCGUAUGAAACGAGUUGACCCUUUUUCUGGAAAAGGAAGUUUGUGUGAGACUUUGAUUUGAGACUAUGAAAUGCAGGAUGAUGCAUGAUUGUUUAUGCAAAAAUGGACGUAUAUUUUUUUUAUCGAAGGACUUAUGAAAGUAUUUUUGUAAAUAUCAUAGUUGAGAGUUCCAUUUGAAUAAUUUACAUAUUACGAGAUAAUUCCCUUUCUAAACAACGAAACCAAGGGAUAGACUUUGCAAAUAAAUAAGAUAAAUAUCUAACUUAAAAAAACAAAAAUAAAAGAAAGACUGGGAACUCUCAAGCUCUUUGAAGUAGACUAUUCAUCAGAAUCUGAAUGUGCAUCUUUGAAGAACUCCCAACGCUCCCCUGCGCUGAUAAAUUGUGAUAGCCUUGUGCUCUGAGCUCGGAUCUGAACAUUCUUUUUUACUAUUUGCCGUCUCAGCUUGUGAACCUCAUGCUCUUGUUGUUCUAUCUCACCACUCAUAGUUUCCAUUUUGAGCAUAGCUUCAUCAUACUUCCUCUUCCAAGUAGCACCCACACAUUCCGAUUGGGCCAACCUCUCUUGACAUUCCUCCACAGUUGCGGGGGCCAAGGGUAAAGCCGGCGCUGGGGUUGUUGAAGAUAGGUACCUCGGCAAAUGAUAUGGUAAGACCAGAUCGGAAGCUCUAUUGAUGACCCAUUGAGUGUAAGACCCCUGUAAAGAGUCUGAUCUCCUCGCCAAUUGGCUUCUAUUGAGUGUGCGAAUGGCAUGCCAUGCUUGGACAAAUCUCCCUCUUUUGUUUGAGGGAUCUUCAUGGUUGAAGUAGAAUUCACCCUGUAAGUAGAUGUUAUCUGGCUUAGCUUCCAUCGGGCAUCCGAACUGACGUUUGGCAAGGAUAGGAUUGUAGCUGAUUCCUCCUUGCGUACCGAGAAGGGGUACAUUUGAGUAUUCUCCACAACUGACAAUGAUGUUCGUGAAGUUACAAGUGGCACGGUACCAGGUUAUGUCGGAUGGGGUAAGGGACAUGAUUCUUUUGGGCCAGGAGAGAUUUUCUGGGUUGGCUUGAAAGGAGUGGGUCUGAGGUAAGUGAGAGGUAAACCAUUUGUAUAGUAAGGGUGCGCAACCAAGGAUAGCUCCACGACCUACCUGGGUUCGAUCGUGAAUGGAAUGAUAUAUAUCAGCUAACAAUGUGGGGACUGGGUUCUUUGUGAGGAAAAUUUGGAUGGCAUGGAUGUCAACAUAGUUAUCAAUAUUCGGGAACAAUACUAGGCCAUAGAUGAGUAAAGCUAGGAUAGAGUAAAAGGCCUCAACAUUGUUUGUUUUGGAAAAAUUGAAGGCUUGUUGGUAAAGAAAUUUAGUAGGUAAGCUUGGGAGAUUCCCUUUUAGGGUGAGUUUUUCUUUUAUGAGGGAGGUUUUGAGAUGGAGGGCAUUUGCAAUAGUGGCGGCUUUGGGAAAAGGUUCUAAACCAGUAAAAGGUACCUUAUCAAGUACGGGUAGGCCAAUUAAGUGAGAGUAUUCUUCGAGGGUAGGCAUAAGCUGGUAGUCAGGAAAAGUGAAACAGUGGUAAGCAGGGUCAUAGAACUGGACCAAGGUCUCCAAGCACCCCUUCUCGAUAUUUGUCCAGAGGACACCAAGCAACUUCCCAUGACGAUCACAAAAGUUCUCCAAGUUAGUUACUUCAAAUGCAAGCUUCUUUAAGUUCUCUAGAUCCAAUUUCCUGAAUGUAAACUUCCUAGUAUUUCUUCUUUCCAUGCCUAUGAUAUUUACAAAAACAAGUAUAAGCCCUUCGAUAUUUUUUGAUGAAAAAAGAUAAAAUUAUGAAUGAAUGCAUGUAUGCAUGAUUAUGCAUAGGUUAAGCUUAUCAUGUUGGAGUUUAAAGGUAGUAACCCCCAUUUGGUAAGGACUAUGGUUUCAUUUGUACCUGUAUCACGGGUUCUAUUAAGUUCCCAAAGUCAUCAACUACUUCCGAACGUUAUCAGGUUACAAGACUACUCUCGAUCCAAUAAUAUCCGUAAGAAAGUUUCAUUUGAGUGUAGUAUCGCGUAUCAACUAAUUCAAGACUACUCUUGAUUAGCCACCGCACUACGUCCUAAAAGGCUAAGAUGGGUUAAGGGUAACUAAAGGUCCUCAACUUCGACGGUCACUUGAAAAUAUAAUGCCAACACGACUAUUCAUGCCAACAUAGAUUACUUUCAAGAUUCCUCCAUUGAGUGGGGUUGUACCACAUGAACCUAAACACGAGACUUGACUCUCGGAAAGGCACUUUGGUUAUACCACCGUCCUAUCUUAUGUUUCUCUCAAGCCCGGGUGUAGGGCUUUAUCUCACCACUCAUAUUUAAAAAGAAAGGAAGAAAGAGAGAAGAUAAAAGAUAUAUACAAUUUAUUUCCAUCUUUAUUUUUUUGUUUUUUUUUUGUUUUAAGCAAGUUAUAGCACAAAGAAUUAAAUAAAGCCAAGUUAGGCUCAACCCUCUUAGGGGGGGGUCCCCAGUGAAGUCGCCAUUUCUGUCGCGUCAUUUUUGGAGAUCAAGGCUAUUUGAUUAGCUUUUGACUCACUAAUUAUUUCACGACUGAACAUUUAAUUUUUAAGGAAAAGGGGAAAAAAGUUCAAAACACCCCAUAUUGAAAAGAUUUAGGGUUCGGGGGUUAGUUACAUAAAGGGAAGGUAUUAGCACCCUUUACGUCCGUAGUACUCUACGGGAACCUCUUGGUUUUAUUUAAUUUAAUGUGCUAUAACUUGCUUGCUUUUGAAAAAGAAGUUAAUGUGAUGAUUAAAAGAAAAAGAAAGUGAGACCUAAUUUAUCUACAUUUUUUAUUGUUUGGAAGGACGAGUGUCCUCUGCCUACGUACCCGUGAAGGAUCAAAACCUCGUAGUUCGGGGUAGAAAAUGACGCUUGAUUGGUUUUGUGUUUUUUUAUUAGUUUUUGAAAAAGGUUUUAAAGAUAAAAGCCAAGUGGCAAAUAAGAAUUUGUUUGUGUUUUUUAAUUUAAAUGAAAAUAAACUCAAGGUAGAAUUAAAUUGAUUGAUGUUUGAUUAAGAAAAGAAAAUAAAGAUGCGGUCACUUGAUUUGGAUCAAGGUUUAUUAUAAAAAAUAUUUUUUGUGAUUUUUUUUUUGGUUAUUUGCAUGUUUUGUGAUUUUUUUGAAAAUAUUUAAACUAACGGAGCAUAAAGAAUAAAAGCGUGGCUACCCUAAGUUAGAAAUAUAAAAUCUAUGACUAUUACAUAAAAACCUAUUUACAUUCUAAGGUCUGCAAUAAAAUUAAAAUGCUAAGAAAAAUAAAUAAAUACGAAAAAGAAUAAAAAAAGGUCCAAACACAUGGUGGGGUGCAGUGGUAAACAGGGGUGUGCAGAAAGCAGAAAAAAAAAGGAUUGGGCUCAAGGAAAAUGAACCGGGUUGCGGGUCAUGGGUCAUGGGUCGUGGGUUGACCCGUUUGGGGGGUAUAUAAGGGCUGUUGGGCCCUUUUUCUUUCAUUUUUCUUUUUCCUUUCUCUCUCUUCCUCACCGGUUCUCUCUCUUCUUCUCUGUUCUCUCUCUAACUCUCUUCUUCUCCGGCGGAGUGGGGUGGGGGUUCCGGCGGGAUUCCGGCGCGGUGGCCGGCGAGCCAUCGCGGCUGCGCCGCCGCGCCGGAGCUAAAAAAACUCCCCCUUUUUUAUUUUUUCGCUCUUUCUCUUCCUCUUUUCCCCCCUUACGUGAUACUAAACCCAAAAAUCCCAAAACCUUUACUCAAACGUCUAGAUCUAAAAAGAAAGAAAUUUAUACCUUUUUGUUUUUUUGUUGAUCCGGUUUCGUGAUGUGAUUGUCGCUGUUGUGACGGUUUGUGCGCCUCUGUGUGUGCGUGUAUGUGCUGUGUUGUGUUGCCCGCGGCCGUAUUCCCGUUUCUGUGCACGUGCGUGUGUUGUGGCGUGGACUGGUGCGUGUGUGUUGUGCGCGGACUGGUACGGUUUGGACUAGUGCGUGGCGUGAGUUGUUGGCUUGUGCGACUGUGUUGUUGCUUGUGCGACUGUGUGUUUGGCUCUUCUUGCUGCUUCUGUUGUUUGUGGCCUCUUUUUUUCGUUCUGCUGCGUUUUUUGUUGUGUUUUUAAUUGUUGUGCAGGUCUCUAUUUAUAGAGUGGGUUUGAAGCUUGAAUUUGUUACUGAUGAGCACAAAAUCAGUGGCUUGUGGAGGAGAAAAAAGGAAAUGUGUCUGUUUGUUACUGGAUUUGUUUCAGAGGAAGCGUGAAUCCGGAUUUGGAUUAGAAUGGAAAAGGAACAGAACGUGUAUAAGGAUUGAGAUGAAUUUGGACUAUUUUGUUGGACUUAUUUUUGGACAAUUUUGGGAUUUUAAUUAAAAAGAAAAAAUUAAAAAUAAAAAAAGGAUAAUGUCUAUAUUUUUGGUUUUUAAAAAGGAAAAUUUAAAAUGGGAAUAAAAGGAAUUUAAUCUAAAUUGGACUAAAAUUAAAAUUAGAGUUCUAAAUUAAAAAUUUAAAAGAUGGAAAUAAAUAAUUAAAGACUGAGAGAAGAGGGCCCGAUUCGGAACUUUAUGAGGUAUUUCAAAAUACCUCCCUGCCGAAUUUUUCACUGAAAUGCGAGUCUGGUCCGAGUUCGGAGACGUGUGUCAGUGGGACCUUAGGUCAAAAUUUGGGGUAUGACACACUGCAAAGAAGAUUGACAUCGAAUGUCUUUUUCGCAUUAGACAAGAAACAUACCUUACCUGGGAGGGUUUCCUUUUACCCUAAGAGGGUUUCUUUUUACCCCAAGAGGGGUAAAAAGUUCUUGGGGUCAAAAGAAGCAGAUUUAGUACUACCCAGGGUUUCUUAUAAUAGAAAUUUUUGCUUUACCCCUUCACCUUCAUGUUCUUCUGAAGUAGAUUUAGUAUGAUCCUAAUCCCCCUUCCCUAGACAAGAAACAUAUCUUUUUGUAAAUGUAUCAAUUAUAUUAAUAAAAUGAGAUUUUAUGUGCUAUAUUUUUGUUUUUUAUUUAUAUUUGCAUUUAUUUUAUGAUUUUGGCAUCUAAAUAAAAGUUGUGUAUUUAAUAAAUAAAUUCGAAUAAAGACUAAUUAAACCCAUCAUGAAUUUGAAUAAAAAUUGCAUAUUGAAUAAAUAAAUUUGAAUAAAGUCAAUUCAAAUAAAAGUAGCAUAUUGAAUAAAUAAAUUCUAAUACAAACUAAUUAAACCCAGCAUGAAUUCGAAUAAAAAUUGUGUAUUGAAUAAAUAAAUUCGAAUAAAGUGACACAAGUACACAAAAUCAAUUAAAAAAAUACACAAUUUUAUUUAGUUUUAAUUUCAUCUACAUUAUUUUAUCCCUAAAUAUAUGUGGUAUCAUCAUGAUGUUGGAUUUAAAUUUAAUUCUUGAAAGUUUGCUAAAAAAGUUGGCAUGGAAGUGUCGUAUACUUCGGGUAGAGAUUUGCAACACCUUUGAAAAGUCAAAAGAAUGAAGAGAACACAACACAUGUGUAACACCCCGUUUUCCCAACAUAAAAAUUUCACAUAAAUAAUCAUAGUAUUCACAUAAACGGAAUGUCACACUUCUUUCGUAAAUUAUAAUCGGGAUAAAAUUACUAUUUAUCCUUCAAAAUUCAAUAGCAUAAUCAUUUCAAACUUCGCAGCGGAAUUAUUUCAACAUUUAAACAGUCUUUGGUACGAAGGCCUCAUCAUAAUAUCUCAUAUGCUUAAAUAUGCAAACUGUCCCUGUAAAAAAAAAAAAAAUUAAUUACAUCCCUGUAAUUUUUUUUUUUGUUUUAAAAAUGUCCUUGGCCCCACUUCGCUGGUGAUGUGGCAACGUUUUGGGCCACGUGGCAGUUGCUGACUAGGCAACUGAUGCCACGUGGCAGUCCAUAUAAUUAAAAAAUUAAAAUUAUUUUUUUAAAUUUAAAAAUAUAAAAAAAAAACAUUUUAAAAAAUCUGAAAAAAUAAAAAAAUAUUAAAAUAAUUUUCUGAAAUUAUUUUUAUCAUAUAAUUUUUAUAAAAAAAUAUUAUUUUUUUAAAAUUAUAAAAUCUGAAAUUUCUGAAAAAAAAUGAAAUGAUUUUUUAAUUUUUUUUUUAAAAUAUGAAGAAAAAAAUAUAAUUUUCAAAUUAAAGUCGAAAAUUUAAUUUUAACAGUUUUUUUUUUUCAAUUUUUAUAAUGAUUUUUGAAUUUAUUUUCAUAUUUUUUUAAUUUAAAAAUAAUUUUAAUUUUUUAAUUAUGUGGACUGCCACGUCGAGUGCCACGUGGCAGAAGUUGCACAGUCAGCAACUGCCACGUGGCAAAACCCAUGCCACAUCACCAGCGAAGUGGGGCCAAGGACAUUUUUAAAACAAAUUUUUUUUUACAGGGAUGUAAUUAAUUUUUUUUUUACAGGGACGAAAAUCAAAAUGAGCCCAAAUUACAGGGACAGUUUGCAUAUUUAAGCCUAUCUUUUAAAUCAAUCAUAAAUAUCUCAUAAGUCAAAUCCAACAAUCUAGUCAUAAAUCCUCAUAGAGCAAUACAUAAGGAAUAGAAAGAAAAAAAAACAAUAACAAGUUUCAAUCCCGUUACGUAUCAGAGCACCUAAAGACACACGUGAGAGAGUCCACUCACGACCGCAACUAAUCUUGGUUACCUGCAAGUUACCCAUGUAUAGAGGCAACAUUUCAAAGCAGAAGGGGUGAAAUUCACAAACAAUAAUAUUAAGCAUAUUAUUCAUCACUUAUAUUUAACAACAUAAACAUCUUCAACGCAUCAUAAUAUUAAUUCUCAAUAAACACUUCAUUAAAAUAUCACAACUUAACAACUUGACUUGACAAUGCAACUUCAACUUGACUAUGCAACUCUAUCUUCUUAAUCAUGCAUGUGGUACCAAUCCAGGGCAUCAAGCCCUCAACAUAAGAGUAUAAAUAUACUCACAGGGCAUCAAGCCCUCAACGAGUAGAGCAAAGGCUCACAGGGCAUCAAACCCUCAACGGGUAGAGCAAAAGCUCACAGGGCAUCAAGCCCUAAACAUAAAUGAGUAUGCAUGGACUCAACAUCUUACAACUUAGAAAACAUCGACAUCUUAUGAUUCCAAUAAUUUGGAUCAACAUCUUACAUCUUAGACCGACUCAUGCAGCUUAAUCAAUAAUAAACAGCAACAUAGGCAGCACAUAAAACAGCUCAUGAUAUAGCAAUAUCAAAUGAUAAUCAACAUCAAUCUUAAACAUCUCUUAUAAUUCGCAUACUGUAUAUACAAUUAUAUCACAUUAUUAGCAACAUCAAAUCAUUUAUAUCAGGCUUACUGAAACAGCAGCAGUAGUAUAAGCAACUUCAUUUCCUACCCCAAGGAUCAUCUCACAACAACUCGUGCGACAAAAUCACAUAAAUCCUAAACAAGGUAGUUUGUCUAACAGGAGCUCGCGAGGCGAGGGCCUCUACUCGCCUGGCGAGUUCACAAAUUUGGUUGUUCGCCUUGGCGAACAAGCAGCUCGCCUUGGCGAACUAUAAACUAGGUGCUCUCGGGAACUUGACAUUUUUCACCCAAAAAUCCCAUUUUUAACUUCCCUGUGUUCAAUCUCAGUCUAAAAACUUGCCUAAUCAUUCUUAUACAUAUUCUGGCACUCAAAACCAUCUAAAGCUCGACUAAAGGAUUAAUUUCCAAAAUCAAGGUUGACUCAUUGGUCAACUCGCUAUGGCGAGUGACUUGCUCACUGUGGCGAGCAACUUCUAGGUACUCGCGUGGCGAGCGAUGAACUUCAUCCCUCGCGAGGCGAGACAUGCUGCUCGCAAGGGCGAGCGAUGAAUAUAGGCUUGGGCAGAAUGCAGAUUUUCACGAAAAUCCACCUAAUCACAUGGUUUUAAGCUUAACAUUGAUUCCUGUAAUCAUCGUAUGGCUUAUCUAAGGUCUGUACACGCUUUCUCCAUCAAUUCAAUGGUUUCUCACCCUCUAAUCAUCAAUUCUCACUCUUAACCCGAAUUCUUAAAUUCUCAAAAACUAGUCCUACAACAUGUUAAAUACAACUAUCAGAAUUAGAGGCUUAAGAAAAUUGAGUGCUAGUCCCACCCUUACCUUAAGGAAUCGAUUGGACAGCCUCUCUUGGUUAUUCUCUUCUCUUGUUCUCCCUUUUCUCCAAAAACUGCUUGUACGUGAAAACUUUUCUAAACCUAGUUCUCACCUAUUUAUAUCUCCCCAUCUAUCUUAUCUUAUUCCACUUUUUUCCACAAAACUCUCUAAAUUCACAAAACAACCCCUCAUCUCAAUAUUUAUUUUAUUUUCAAAUCUUAAUCUAUUAAAUAAUAAAAUAAGCCACAACACCUCAUAAAAUUUCUAAAAUCACAUGAAUCACAUAAAUAUAUUUCAAACUCAAUAAAAUAAUUCAAAUAAUCAAAGUGGGCGUUACAACAUGUAUUCUAUCAAAUCAACUAUAUAAAUUCUCUUUCUUAAAAAAAAAACUAUAUAAAUUCUCACAUCGAAUUCCCUCAUAUAAAAUGAGUAUUCACACAAAGGAAUGCAUUCCAAGAGGUUGCUUUGAACUUAAUCUUACUGCCCUGCCAACUGACAAGUUUCAAUUGACAGAGGAGCAUGAUCAAGUUCAAAGGAACCUCUUAGAGGUGCAUUCCCGUCAUUCUUUGACUUUUUAAAGAAUAUGCAAAUAUCUAUCCUAAGUAUACGACACUUCGAUACUAACAUCUUCAACAAACUAACAAGAAUUAAACUUAAAUUUCUAACAAAAUAAAGACAAUACAUAAUAACGAUGCUACCUAAUCAUAAUCUUUUGGCGGAAUCAAACUGUUGAGAAUAUCUUCAGGCAAUCUCAUCAACGUGACAAACAUAUCAAUCCACGGAAACAUGUUGUGCUGCCAAAAAAUCGAGAACAUGCUCCUCACGUCGUCAUCGUUCGUUAAUUCUAGCCAACUGAAUGUUAUUCUGCCCCUCGUCCAACGUUGGGCAUUCAUACCAAAUGUAUUUCACUCUCCUUGUGUCUCCGGGGUUGAGUCCUUAGUUGAUUUCAUUCAGUUGAUCCUUGAGACCUUUUAACGUGACAUUAAUGUAAAGAACCUUGAACAUCUGAGGAUUUUCACCGUUGAAGCGUAUGCAAACAUUGAACAAAUCAGCCAUUGUUUCAAAUCUACACCAUAAAAAAUUAAACGAUCAAUGAAAAACUCAUUCAAACAUUUCAUCAAACACUUGGAGUGCAAAUUAUACAUAAAUCCUAAAACUAAUAACUACAACAUCAACAUGCAAACAUCUAAACAAUUAAGGAAUAUAAAUCAUUUACAUGUAAUAUUGUAUCAUUGCUUGCCAAAAAAAAAUGAAAAUUUAAACAAACCCUAAAACUAAAAAAAUUCUAAUGUAAGAAGAAAAAUCCAACAUAUAAACAUAAAAAGGUUAAUGGUGUUUCAUUAUGAAAACUUACUUGUUAUUGGAGUGUUGUUUGAUUUAAACUUGAAGGAAUUUUGGAUUUGGGUGAUUUGAGAGAGAUUUUGGAGAUUUUAGAUGGGAAAUGAGGAAAUAAGGUUAUGUCUGCCUUUAAAAUAACACGCAACGUGAGUUAAGUCACGCAAAAUUAACACUAGCAUGAGUUAACUCACGCAGGGGUAAUUUUGAAAAUUUGGUUGGAAAUGAGCAAAACAUGUUGGGAGAAGAGCAUAAUUCCAAUGACGAUGUGGACCGACCCAUCUCAUUUAGACUUGUCCUGCUGGUAGCCAUAAAAAUGGGACUAUUACUUUUCCCACCCUAUGCCUUUACUCGCGAGCCCUAUUUUUUUCCAAAAUUACCAUCUGAGCAUUCCGGAUUUCAUAAUCCGGAAUGGUAUUUUCCUUUGUUAUAGGGUGAAAAAUGGAGUUACGGGUUUUUCCGGAUUUUGUAAUCCGGAAACUUCAAAAAAUAGGGCGCGUUACAUGAUGUUUCCGGAUUACAUAAUCCGAAAACCCCCUAAACACCCUUUUUCAACGUAAAACAUUUCAGAUUAUAUAAUCCGAACUGUAUCAGCACAAAUUCUAAACAUGUUUGUAACAUGGAUAGUCAUUUUAUGGACAAUAUUAUUCUUCCUAAUUCGCAUCCUUCUGUUUUGGGUCAUUGUUACAUGUUCUUAGUCAAAAAUCGGGUUUCCGGGCUACUUGACCGGAUUGCUCCGAAACUUGCCCAGAAAAUCAAAAAAAAUUCAAGGACCAUGCCUCCCCUAGAAGGGACUUCCAAUGGGACUCCACCCCUCAAAAUCCAAAAUUCCAUCGUUUAGACCAAUUUUUAAUUUUUUUAAUUUUUCAUAUUUUCAGAAAAAUCCGAAAAAAUUUGCAUUAUUUUUAUUUGAUUUUUAGAAUUUUUUGAUGCUAUUUUUAUAUUUUUAUGAUUUUAUUUGAUAGGUUUUAAGCAUUUUUUACUUAGUUUUUUUUUUGUUGUUUUGAAAAGCAAAACUCAAAACUGUUAAAAUGUGAGAGAGUCUGAUGUCUGAUUAUACAUAAGAAUUGUCCGGAUUAUAAAAUCCGAAAUAAUAAACAUGAAUCCGGAUUUUAAAAUCCAGAAUGCACAAGGGCAUUUUUGAAAAAAUUAUAGGGCGCAGGAGAAGGCGAUAAGAUGGGAAAAGUAAUAAGAGUAAGGCGAGACGGGUAAGUUUGAGGUAGUGCGUUCAAACACAAAUUUCAUUUUAUUAAAAGACAUAAUAACGAGUUUUAAUUAUUAUUUUUUAGGGCGACUGAGGAGUUGGUAGUUGACAAAAAAAAUUAGGAAGAAAAUUUGCAACAUUUUGUUUUUUUAAAAAGCGUUGUCUACGAAACUUAAACUUUUAUAUGUAAGAUAUAAGAGCAUUUCUUAAAACACGGAAAAAAAGAAAAACGUUAAGAAGGAAAUUUGCAACAACUUUUUAUCUCCAAAAAGUUUUUUUUAUUGAAGGAAUGAUUCUAAAAAUUUUUCUUUAUUUGAGGGAAUAUCUCUAAAAAGUUGUUUAAUUGACUUAACAAGUUUUAAAGAAAAAAAUUAGUAAGAAAUUUUCAACAACUUUUUUUCUCGAAAAAGUAGUCAGAUAGAUUUUUUUUUAAAGAAAAGUUGCCUAAAAGAUUAAAGAACUUUUUUUUCCCAUAGAAGAUAAGAUAUCAUUUUAAAAAAAAAAAAAAUUAGUUAAAAAGGAAAUUUGUAACUUUUUUGACUGUAAAAAGUUGUCUAAAAGACUUAACUUUUAUAUAUAAGAUAAGAGAUCAUUUAUUUAAAAAAAAACAAAAAACAAAAAGUUAGCAAGGAAAUUCGAAACAAUUUUUUUUUCUCAAAAGAGUUGUCUAAAAUCAUAAGAACUUUUAUAUAUAAGAUAAGUGAGAGAAUUCAAAAUAUCAAGAAUAGGAGUAAUCUUCAACUCUUCUUUUGACUUCAUUUCUAAUAGGUUACUUGCAAUCAUACAUAUAUAGUAUUGACCUUGAUUAAGGGUGUCGAGUUUACUUGAUAGCAAAUUCAAUCAAAUGUCAUUUAAUGAUUUGAAUUACUAUGUUUUAAGCUUCUAAUCUUUCAUUAUAAAUGACCUUUUUUGUCUUUUGAAAAAUAUUUAUUGUUGCAGUAAUGAAAGCAGUGUUGUGAAGGAAAUAGUUGGCAAUGUUUUGAAAAAACUAGACAAGAAAUACUUGCCUAUCCCAGAUUUUCCAGUAGGAUUAGAAUCCCGUGCGGAAAAAUUGAUUCAGUUUCUAAGAAAGAAUACAAGAGGAGUUUGUUUAGUAGGGAUUUGGGGAAUGGGAGGGAUUGGCAAAAGCACCAUUGCCAAAGUCGUCUACAAUAAUCUUUGUUAUGAAUUUGAAGAUCAAAGCUUCCUUGCUAAUAUUAGACAAGUUUGGGAGAAAGAGAGGGGGCAAAUUGAUUUACAAGAACAACUUCUUUCAGAUAUCCUUAAAACAAGAAAUGUAAAGGUGCAUAAUGUUGAGUGGGGAAAAGCUAUGAUCAAUGAACGACUUUGCACGAAACGGGCACUUGUUAUACUUGAUGAUGUCAGUACACGCGAGCAAUUAAAUGCAUUAUGUGGAAAUCGAAAUGGGAUUGGUCCAGGAAGCAUAAUAAUCAUCACAACAAGAGAUGCACGUCUACUUGACAUCCUUGGAGUUGAUUUUAUUUAUGAAGCGGAGGGAUUGAAUGUGCACGAAUCUCGUAGGCUUUUCAACUGGCAUGCGUUUAAGGAGGCGAAUCCAAGUGAAGCUUUCCUCAUACUCUCCGGAGAUGUAGUUUCCUAUUGUGGUGGACUACCACUAGCUCUUGAAGUCCUUGGAUCUUACUUAUUCAAUAGGAGAAAACGAGAGUGGCAGAGUGUAAUAUCCAAGCUACAAAAGAUACCCAAUGAUCAAAUACACGAGAAACUAAAAAUAAGCUUUGAUGGUUUAGAGGAUCAUAUGGAAAAGAAUAUAUUUCUUGAUGUCUGUUGUUUCUUUAUCGGUAAGGAUAGAGCUUAUGUUACAGAGAUACUAAAUGGGUGUGGACUUCAUGCUGAUAUUGGAAUAGAAGUGCUGAUAGAGAGAAGCCUCCUAAAAGUUGAAAAGAAUAACAAGCUUGGAAUGCAUGCUCUGCUACGAGACAUGGGAAGAGAAAUUGUUCGUGAAAGUUCACCUGAGGAGCCUGAGAAACGUACUCGAUUGUGGUGUUUUGAAGAUGUAGUUGAUGUACUGGCCGAACAAACCGUAAGAAUUCUACAUUGCAUUUUGAAUUUUUGUCAUCCUUCACGAUCUUUGAAGAUAAAAAUAAAACUAUGUUUCAGAAAUGUUUUUUUACUUUUCCCAUCUAUUGGCUGAAAAUUGUGGGAUUCAUCAUCUCACAAGUGUUUGUCCAAAGUUUUUGGAGAAGUUAGUUCAUGAGAAAAAUGUCAUUUUAUAUAUGAUUGGGUAAGGGUUUAAGCAGAAAUUUUAUGUGUUGCUUUUUAGUUACCAAAUAGCAAGUUAAGGAUUCCUUUUUAUUUUAUUUUAUUUUUGUUUUUUCUAUGGUCUUUCUUUGUGUCACAGGGAACAAAAGCCAUCGAGGGAUUGGUUUUGAAGUCGCAAAGGACCAGUAGAGUUUGCUUCAAUACAAUUGCUCUUAAGAAAAUGAAGAAAUUGCGAUUGUUGCAACUUGAUAAUGUACAAGUCAUCGGAGAUUAUGAGUGUUUUUCGAAGCAGUUGAGAUGGCUUUCUUGGCAAGGAUUUCCUUUAAAAUACAUGCCAGAAAACUUUUAUCAGAAAAAUGUAGUUGCUAUGGACUUAAAACACAGUAAUCUUACACAGGUUUGGAAGAAGCCUCAGGUACAUAUGACAAUAGAUAUUCCUUUUAAAAUUAAUGGUUAAUGGAAAUAGUUAUUUUGCAUCUUAUUCUCUAAUUUUUAUUUAAAACAUUUAUUUUCUUGUAGUUGAUAGAGGGACUGAAGAUCCUAAAUCUCAGUCAUUCUAAGUACUUGAAAAGAACCCCCGACUUUUCAAAAUUACCAAACCUAGAAAAGCUAAUUAUGAAGGAUUGUCAAAGUCUGUUGGAGGUACACCCGUCCAUUGGAGAUCUCAACAAUCUUCUUCUGAUAAAUUUGAAGGACUGUACGAGUCUUAGCAAUCUCCCAAGAGAGAUCUAUCAAUUGAGAACAGUGAAAACUCUCAUCCUUUCUGGUUGUUCAAAGAUUGACAAAUUAGACGAAGAUAUAUUGCAAAUGGAAUCCUUGAAAACUCUAAUGGCAGCAAAUACUAGAGUCAAACAAGUGCCUUUUUCGAUCGUCAGAUCAAAAAGCAUUGGAUAUAUAUCUCUAUGUGGAUAUAAAGGAUUAUCACAUGAUGUUUUUCCUUCUCUCAUUAGGUCUUGGAUAUCACCAGCAAUGAAUUCCUUACCAUGCAUUCCCCCUUUUGGUGGCAUGUCAAAGUCUCUUGCUUCCUUGGAUAUAGAGAGCAAUAAUCUGGAUUUGGUGUCUCAAUCACAAAUACUUAACAGUUGUUCAAGACUUAGAAGUGUUUCAGUACAAUGUGACUCAGAGAUUCAACUGAAACAAGAAUUCAGAAGAUUUCUUGAUAAUCUAUAUGAUGCAGGUCUUACUGAAGUGGGAACAUCACAGGCAUUACAAAUUUCGGAUCUUUUCAUGAGAUCCCUUUUGUUUGGUAUCGGAAGUUGUCACAUUGUCAUCAAUACUCUUGGCAAGAGCUUAUCACGGGUUUCUUCUCCAUCCUCCCACCUUUACUGAUAAUUAUUAAUUUAUUACUUAGGAAAACAUAGAACUACUUUCCAUUUGCAUUUUUUUUUUUUCAAAUGGUAAAAGAUUUUAAAAUAUACAAAUUUAUUCAAGUAUCAUAAGAGAAAACAUAUUUUUUCUACAUAUCAUUUUUUCUUUAAAUUUAUCUUCAUUGCAUUUAUUUGCUACUGUUAAUAUUUAUUACAUUUGUUUAGCUUAUUCAUAUAUUCGUAACACAUGUUUAACUUUGAAAGGAUAUUUGAAUAACUAUUGAAGCUAUACACGGGGUUUAGUCGUUUACAUAUUGAACGAGAAAGAGAAACAGAAUAAUAAAAUUAUAUUUUUGUUGGUCUGGAUGGUUAUAUUGGAUCUUCUUGCCAUACAAAACAAAUCACUAGCUCGACAAUUGUUUUAUAAAAAAAGUUUAGUACAUAACUACAAUCUAAAACGAAUAAGGUAACUAGAUAACUUUUUACCUAUAUUUUUUGAAGUGCAAGUAUAUGUUAUGUUUUUGCUCUCUACAUUAGAAGGGAUCCAUGACCAUGUAAGCUAAUGUUGCUACAAUGCUACCUUUUAUUAGAAAUCAAAGCUUCCAGAUGUUUCAUAUGUUAGCUCACAAGCCUUUUGUAUUCAUGAAAGUGAAUCGACUGUGUGUGAAAAGGAGACAAAUUACUCUACAUAAACGAAAACAAUACUAUUCCUAAUGUUUUGAAGACAGAAAAUGAUUGGUUUUUCUACGAUGUUGAUACUAGGCCUUACAUAUUAUCAGACACUCUUCAAAGAAGGGAAUACAAAAGUAAAGUGCAAGUAGAGCUAGUUAAUGAAAAAUCUUCUUAUGGAUUCAUAAGAUAGUAGAACCCUGAGAGUGUGUUUGGAUGGGGGAAUGUUUUGAGGGAAUGUAGUGUUUUGAGGGAAUUCAACUACUUUGAGUUGAAUUCAAAUUCCCUCAAAACAUUACAUUCCCUCAAAACAUUUCCCCAUCCAAACACACUAUGAGAGAAUUUGUAGACAAACAUACAUAUGUUAUUACAAUGGUUACUGUGAAAGAUGAGUUGUAGCCUGUAGGAAAGUGGAAAGAAACUAUACUGCAUUUUCCAUUCAAUCUGUUUCCUUGUUUAUAUUUUUUUGUACACUAUUUUAAUUUUUAACACAAUAAAUUGCAGAAGUUGUCCAUUUGCGUAGCAUAAUUAGAAUUGCAUAAGUAAGUAACGAAGCAUAUUUUCAUGAUACAGGGAUUGACAACCAAUUUAGGUGAUUCCCUUCCGGGUGACAAUUAUCCUUCUUGGUUAGCCUAUAAAGGUGAAGGACCUUCAGUACUUUUCCAAGUGCCGAAGGAUAGUGAUUCUUGCAUGAAGGGAAUAGCUUUAUGCGUUCUUUAUUCAUCAACACCUGAAAAUUUGGCAACUGAAAGUCUCACUAGUGUCUUGAUCAUUAAUCACACAAAAUUCACUAUCCAGAUUUACAAACGAGACACAAUAAUGUCGUUUAAUGAUGAAGAUUGGCAAGGCAUAGUGUCAAAUUUAGGAGUUGGUAACAAUGUGGAAAUAUUUGUAGCUGUUGGGCAUGGAUUUACUGUUAAGGAAACUGCGGUUUAUCUAAUAUAUGAUCAAUCUAUUUCUACGGAAGUUGAGCCAUCAAGUACUAUUGAAGUUGACCCAUCAACUAGCACAAAUAUUGAGCCAUUACAUGAAGUGGAAGUGCAAUCAUCACUUAGUGUGAAAAUGGAGGCAUCGGCCGAAGAGCAACUACAACCAUCACUUGAUGUGAAAACGGAGGCAUCAGCUGAAGAGGAUGUACAACCAUCACCUAAUGUGAAAAUAGAGCCAUCAGCUAAAGAGGAAGCACAACCAUCACCCGAUGUGAAAAUGGAACCAUCACUUGUCAAGAAUGAACCAUUACCGAACGCAAAUAGAAAAAUAUUUACAAGACUUGCAAAGAGAGUGGGAGAAUGUUUAUGCUUGAACCAGAAAUGAGUAACAACUUUUGAUUGGGCAUGCCUAUUGUCCUGAUAUGGAAUUCCCAUGUAUGUGUUUUUUGCUUAAUGAAAAUAUGUAGAAAAUAUGUGUUUAUGCUUGAACCAGAAAUGAGUAACAACUUAAUGAACCUAUUGUGCCAAGUUGCUUGCCUUUGUUUCAUCUUCAAAUACACCAUUUUUGCACGUCUACUAUUCUGAUGGAAUACCAAUUACAUGAAUGUCAUUCUUUCGUCAAUUGGUUCAUUUGGUUCUUGAUUCUGAAAAUUUGACUCAUUUGUUGUGUUUCCUUCUACCUACUGGUUCUUAUUUUUCAUUUCUUUUACUACUGGUACUCUGGUAGCAUGUGUUGGAUCAAAUUUACAUUCUCACUAUAGUUGAAAUUUUCAUGGAGAGUAAUAUGCACUGUUAGUCUGUUACUCCUGUUAGUCCUAAACCGAGAUUCCAAUAUUGGGCGUACAGUAAAAUUUGAAGUAAAAACGACCAUCGUAGUUAAUGAAGUAAACUGGAGAAUGCAAAAAUAGUACAUUUCCCCUUAAAAAAAUAGUACAUUUCACAAAAAUUCAAAUAAAAAAUAAACCUAAAAUGCACACAUUAUUUUUUUUUCUUUCAGUGAUAUAAUAUAUACUAAAAUUAUUUCUAUAAAAAAUAUUACUAAAAUUAUUGAAGGAAAAAAAAAUUGAGUGAGAGUGAGAUAUUGUGUUUGAAAUGAUUUUGAAUGGUAUGAAAUGCCAGUGCUUUGUUAUAUCUUGGUUUUCUUCCAAACUUGUUUUAUACUACUAUGUUUUAAGUCAAUAACAAGAUUUCUUUGAUAAAAGUCAUCAGGUAUUUUGUUGAAGGUAAAUCCUUUCCAAUGUAUUCGUCUCAGGUCAUUAGAAAGACACUUAUAAUCUCUAGUGAGGUCGACAUGAUCAAGUUGUAAAAGUCUCGUUUCUUCAUCCUUUUUAAAGAAUCAGUACUGACGAAAAGUUAAAUGCUUUGCAAACUUCAAAGCCAAGUCAUUUACAGGUUCUGUUUCCUACAAAAACAUAGAAGUGUAAAGUGAAACCAUUUUCGCUUCCUUGCUAGAGAAAAGUAUAACAAGCUGCAGAGAUGCAAACCGAGCAGAAGCUACUCAAGUCGAGAGGGAAUCAAUAAAUACACUGCUUGAUGACUUAAGACAUAUAGUUUUUUCAAGUAACCUUUUGAAAUAUCUUCCAAAUCACACAAACUGUAGAGAAAAGUUAAAACAUUUAUUAUUCAAAAUCGGAGAUAGGGUUGAUGAACUAUCUGAGAAACAAGUUUUGGGUCUUACUUAGUUCACUAAAAUCUUCAAAGAAACAAAUUCAAUUACUUAAGGAGCAAGUAAAUAAGCUUCAUCAAGAAAAGUCUGUCUUGAAAGAUACUUGUUCGAAAUGUCAAGAAAAAAUGGUCGACAUUCUGAAAGAAAUCAAAAACUCUAUCAUCCAAUACUUUAAAAAUCCUUGAGAAAACUUCUCUCCUUGAAAAGAAAGAACAAAAAUUCAAUUGGAAUUGCAAGAGACUCCAAGAGCACUAUACCAAAAUGAAAUCAGCACCUCCUUGAAUUUAGAUCUUUUUAUCAUUUGUUUAACUACUUUAUAAUUUGCUAUAUGGUAUAUAACUAUGAUUACCAUAUUUCUUCUCUUUGUUGUAUAUAUGUAAUUGGGAAUGAUAGUUUUCUAUCUCAAUACUGAAGUUAAAUCGGAAACAUUAUGUAUUGUGGUUGUAUUUUUCUUCAUUCAUCUCUGUGAGGCACUAAGAAGUUGUUUCAAUCUGUUUAUUUAUGUUAUCCCCCAGAUAUAUUCAUUGUUUUCUAUUGUUUUGGCUUGAAAAAUGAAGAGAAAAUGAAUUGUCUCCAGUUGAUUAAAAAACACUACAGGAUUGAUACACUUUUAUAGACUUUAUUGAAUCUAUCCUAAUUAAUGAGAUAGAAUAUAAUAAAAUCAGAAUAUAAACUGUAAAUAUGAGUGAAUAAAUAAUGUGAUAUAGUUGCUUCUUGUUCGUUAUAUGUUAGGAGCACAGAUAGCCAAUAUCAGUAAUGGUGUAUUGCCAUAACAUUAUGAUGCUCACAAAGCAGAAAGUAAAAUAAAACUAAUUGUUUUUUCUUUCAAGCGGUAGAAGGCUUUCCUUAUAAAUCAUUAUCCGGCAACAUGAGUCACCUUUAACACCAAGCUCUUCGAUUCUCUGGGUGCUUAAAUCAAACCAAACUAACUCAUUAUCCUUUUUUCUGAAGAAUAUAUCGCCCUUCUUACAAAUUCCAAUAGGAUGUUCAAUGCCAGGCAAAGGACCUACAAUAAAGAGUUUGGUCCAUGACUCUUUGAACCCAACUUCACCCAAAAUUGAUAUGUGAAAUUUUGAUUUCUUCAGUUUAAUUUUUGAUAAACAUCAACUACUACUACCUAUAUAUUUCUUCAGUUUAAUUUUAUUACAUGACUAUAAUCCUAUUGCCUUCAACAACAAUCACACAACUCAAUCCUUCACCAAAAAUCAAUUUUCACAUAAAAUCCAUUUUCACAUGCAUCAACCAACCACAACAAAUCUAAAGUUCAAAAAAUAAGACAUAAAAUAUAACUACCUUAGCAUCCUGAUCAAACCUCCUUAAGCAUCCCAAUAGAACCAGGAUCACAAGCAUCAUAUGUGUCAUUGAAAAAUCAACAUAAACCCAACUUUUAUUGGACUAAAGGUAACCACACAAGUACUUUUGAAUUAGGAGGAACAACCUAUGAAUUAGGAGGAACGACCUAUACGCACUGCAACUUGAUCUUGAGUGGCCAUGAAGUAAGAGAUAUGAAAUCAGCUAAUAUAUGUUUUUUAUAAUUUGUAGUCAACAGAAUCAUCAACUGAUAUAUUUGCAUCAAUUUCUUUGUUACAAAAAUGCAGAUAUUUUUGUAAGAAUUUAAUACCAGAAGUUUUGCUCGUCCUAUGAAUAUUUGUGCACAACUAUUUUUUGUGAACUAGAAACCUCAUUGUUCACAUUGAUAAUAGAAAGAUCUUUGAAGCGUUUCUUCAUUGAUUUUGCUCCUUUAAUAAACAAAAGGCAUGUCAUAUUAACUAAAUAGUAUGUCUUUGGUUAAGCUAAUUAGUAAUUAGAUAAUUGAUUGAAGAUUAUUAUGUUCUAUUAGAGUAUGUCUUUAUUUCAAGGAAUAAAAAAAAUGGAUAUAUGUUGAAAUUAGAAGUUGUUGCUAACAAAAAUUGAUCAAUACUUGUUCUAUUGAAUUGAUAUGCUUGUCAUCAAUAGGAAACUGCAUUAUUAUGUCUUUAAAUUUUGGCACAUAUGUUGUGCUUUCAAACCACAUCUACCACAAAAUAUAUGUAGCUGGUUGUAAUUUGUGGCAUGCCUAAAUUUUUUUUUUUUUUGGUGUUGUAACAAAAAACACAUAUAUAUAUAUAUAUAUAUAUAUAUAUAUAUAUAUAUAUAUAUAUAUAUAUAUAUAUAUUAUGUCCUGAAUGUUUAUAUAAUUUUUUUUAUGGAAUUAUAUAUAUAUAGGGGUUUGCUAGAACACACCCACUAAUUUUUAUGUGGGAGUGUUUUAGCAAAGCUACACCUUAGGGUGUAUUUAACCACUUUUUAGUUAUUAAUUUGCUAAAAUACUCCUUCUAAAAAAUAAGUGGGUGUAUUCUAGCAAAUGCCUAUAGGAUUUGCUAGAACACACCCACUUGUUUUUUUUAGAAGGUGUGUUAUAGCAACAUACACCUUAAGGUGUAUUUAUUAACUUUUAAGUUGUAACUUGCUAAAACACUCCCACAUAAAAACUAGUGGAUGUGUUCUAGCAAAUUAUAUAUAUAUAUAUAUAUAUAUAUAUAUAUAUAUAUAUAUAGCCGAGUAGUCCCAUUAUCCUUAAUCUUAGUUAUCUAAUUCUCUUUUCUCUCUUUACCUGAUCCAUGUGAUUUCAACAUAGUACCAAAGCCAUAUUUAAUUCAUAUUUUGUUAAAACAAAUCUACUUUUUUAAAGAUUUUUACAAUAUUCUACAUAUUUCUGCAUAAUUUCAUUAAAAAAAAUACAAAUAUUACUCAUGAAUUGACUUCAAAAUUGGGACCAAAAGUGGAAAUUGAAAAUCUUAUAAGGACUAAAAGUUGAAAAAAAUAAAUUAAAGGAACUAAAACGAAAAAUUGAUAUAUUUAUUGAGACUAAAAAAAAUAUUUAACUUUCCAAUGUCUCUCCUCCUCUGUUUGGACUCUUUAUUAAUUAGAGGUGAUUUUAAACUUCAGAUGUUUCUCUUGUUGUUUUGAGAUUUGCCAUUAAGCACCAUGUUUGGAUUGCCUUUUUUCCUUCUGAUAUAAAUUGGUUCUAUUGUGGUUUUGUUUAGCUCUUUUAUUUUUUUUACCAUUGUUGCUUUUGCAUUAGCACCUUAUUCUUAUUUUUGUUUGUUUAAAGGAAUGAUCAAUAUAAAUGCUUCCGGUUGUUAUACUUAUGGUAGCUUUUAUUUAUAGAUAUUUAUGAUUAAUUUAUAGAAAUAUAUAUAUAUAUAUAUCAAGGAUUAAUUACAGAUGAAUAAAAGACAAGCGAACAAUAAGUUGCGUCAUUAGGCCUUUAAGAAAGGCAAAAUCAAUCCUCGUGAACACGACAUUCAUGGGCCUAGGAGACAUGACAUUGCUAUACAUGACCAUUUUGAACUCUAUAUAGGUCAACAACCUCUCGUGCUAGGAAAGUCAUCAAAUGUAAAAAUGGAAUAAAUUUUGUUGGAUGUAGUAUAGAAUUUGCCCACAUAUUAUUCCGUUCAUGCAUGUGAAUGCUUUUGUUGCGGCCGACUCAAGUAUUACUGCAUCUCCACGGUGGACGCCAAAUGUUCUUGCUGGUACACAUGGAGACGAGCCAUGAGAUAUUUGUGCCAUUUGGAUAAAAGUUAAUUAUUUAAUAUAUAUAUAUAUAUAUAUAUAUAUAUAUAUACACUCUUUUUUAAAAUUUUAGUCCCUAUUAAAAUUUAUUGAAAAAUUUAGUUCUCCAUAAUAUUGUAGCUUAAAAUAACGGUUCCUAUUUUAAAAAUAUUUUACUUAAAAUGAAUACUUUUAGUCCUCAAAAUAAUCGACAUAAAAGGAAAAUAAGGUUUCAAAGUGAAUAGAUUUUUUUGAAUAACUAAAUUUGAAAGCUCCUGUUUUUGUACUAAGAUAUUUAUAACCAGUAAUAAAAUAAAUUUGUAAGCCAAAUCUUGAGAAAACAAUUGUCAAAUGUAAUGUUGUAAACUCUUUUUGAAAUCUUCUUUUACGUAUCUUAUUCUUAUGCUUGAAGGCAGCGACGGAUCUAGGAUUUUUUAAUAGUGGAGGCAUCAUAUAAAAAAAUUUGUAGCAUUAAUAAUUGUCCUCUACAAUUUUUCAUAUUACGGAAACUUUGAACGGUUUUCUUAUUUUGAAAAUCAAUAAAAAUAUAUUUCUCUAUAUAAAUAACUAAACAAUCAUUUAACCGAUCAUCUCUCAUUCGAUUUUGCAUCCAAUUCUUGAUAAUAUUCAUACUAUCAAAAAAUAAUUUGAGAUAUAUGAUGAUAUAUGUGGGCCAAAAGAAAAAUAAUUUGUGAUAAGUGUAGACCGUGUGGUCAAAAUGUGAACUAUUGAUACAUUAUACUACUAAAAAUAAUAGUUUCUAAAAAUUUAAUGUAGGCACAAGCCCACACAUGGAUGAAUGAACAUACAUCCGUCCCUGCUUGAAGGACUUGUGAGCUUUGAUUAUUUUUAUUUUAUUUUGGCUUUUAAAAAAAAACAGAGAAAACAAUUGUAAAAAAAAUUAAAAAAAAUCCUGCAAAAGAGUCAACAAAACACUUCUUGAGUAUUUAGUUUUCACGUAUUUGCAAAAUCUUGCCUUAGCAAGCCUUAACUCAUAACAACCAUGUCGUUCUUUCCCUCUCGGACUCACACGAAAAAAAGUAAAUUGACUAUUACUUUUCUCACCUUAUGUACUUUUCACACGCCUUAUUUUUUCCAAAAUAUCAUUAGUUCGGAUUUUAUAAUUUAAACAAGAUUUCAAGAAAUAUUCAGAUUAUAUAAUCCAAAAAUGUCUUUUACCAAAUUUUUAAUUUGAGUUUAGUUUAUUUUAUAUUAUUUAGAUGCGAAAAUCAUAAAAUAAAUGAAAAAAAUAAAAGAACAAAACGAUAUACAUAAAAAUUUUAUUUUAUUAUUAUAUCAAUACAUUUAUAAUAAAGUUGAAGCUUAAAGCUUAUUACAUAGAACAUUCAAACAUAAACCAACCUAACACUCAGACAAACCGUGCUUCUUUGUAGCGCGUUGUCUUCCCCGUUACCCGUUCAUACAAUCCUUGAGUUUCCAAAGUAGCAUCUUUUUAUGAAAUGCCAACGAUGGAAACACAUUGUUGUAUAAGGAAGAUGAGGAGAGGAUGAGAGUGUGAGAUGAUGGUGUGAGAAAUGGUGAAGGUUUGAACGCUAUUUAUAGGGGGAAUGGUUGCAUAGAGUGUAUCUACACUUAAUGUUGAGUAAAAAAAUAUGGUUCAAAGGGGUUUUACCACCCAUCAAUGCUGAUAAAAACCUUUGAAAACAUGUUUUAUGUGGUUCAGACCACCGGCCAAGAAACUGACUUGGUUCAAAUUAUAUAAUCUGAAAUCAUACCCAUGGUUUUCGGAUUAUAUAAUCUUAAUUUAUUCAAUGUUAGGUGGAAAUGAAGGAACUUCAUACCUUAUGCAGGGUGAGAGACAUUUCGGAUUAUAUAAUAAGAAAAUGUUUAGGACAUGAUUUUUUCUGUGGUCCACAUUGCACCGACAGUUUAUGUGCUACAAGACACCCAAGUACCUCUAUAAAUAGGUGUCCCUGUUUUCAUAACCAAAAAACCACACACAAAAAAAAAAACAUGGAAAACUCUCUUUGAUCUGAACACCAAGCUAGUUACAGUGUACUACAACGGGGAGAAACCAAUCCAUCUAUUUAGGAUUCACACUUAUGUCGCCCUCUCUGUGUUGAAGGGUCAGCUGGAUCGAAUCAACCGCCAACUCAACUAAAGAGACACACGGAGGGUGGAUGGUGUUCAGUAUCGACAUCCAUCGAUCGACUCAGCCAGGAGUGUGCGGUUCACCCGGAUGAAGCUUAUGAACGGCGACGUGAGAACCAUAUUCUUGAUCUUUGGUCAAUACAGUACUAGAGGACCGAUCGAGUUGGACGCUUCGUUGGUCAGAUAUGUUGAACAAAUUCAUAAAAGUUUGAUCCGACCCAAGAACUACGAAGAGAUUAGGGCACUCUUGGACGCACCAUAUGAAGACAUUAAUUUAGCUGAUCUGUGGUAUGAAUGUCAUCAAAGGGUCCAUAUUGUCUCUGGUUCCCAUUCUCUAUUUUAUGGUUUUAUGUUGACGUGUAAUGCGUUUGAAUCAGGUACCUUAUUGGGAAUUCGUGUCUUACAAUUGGACCUUGACCCGGUGAAAAACAAUACCUGAAAAAAGAAAAACAAUGUGCUAGUUAUUGGCUUAUGCAGUUAAUACUUAGUAAUUCAGUUUUUCAAAGAUCACUUGUUCUUUAACAUAUUUGAAAACAUAUACUAAUGUAGAACAAUGUUAAAAAAUGUCAGAAUUGUUAACCUCUAAUUGUUGCAUAUGAAACAACAAUUACAAACCAUCACCAUCAAAAUAUAAAAUUGAAUUAUAAACACUUUUGAUGUCUAAACUACCAAUUUAAAAGUUUUUCCUCUAUAUUUUAUUUCAUUUACUUUUAUUUUAUAAACCCUCUAAUUCUUGCCUUUUUUACAGUUCAUAUAUAUAUAUAUAUAUAUAUAUAUAUAUAUAUAUAUAUAUAUAUAUAUAUAUAUAUAUAUACACUCACAAUUUUGUCUAUGCAUUAAUCAUUAAUGAACAUGAUGAAGUUAUAUCAGUUUGAAUUGCUCUUAUCCUUUCUAUUCAUCAUUGUCAAUACAACCCUUUCGGGUUAUAUCCCUCAAUUGCCUCAUUCUCUUGUCAAACAAAUAGACAAGAUCAAACAAUCUCCUCCAUCAGAUGAAGAUUCAAGGUCUAUCUCAAAUCAAAAAACAUUUGAGCACUUUCGGCUACUUCCGACAAUUUCUACUGAAAUUUGAUGAUGUUCUAGACGAGGAAACAAUAUCCGCUAUUAAGACCUACCAACAAUUUUUCAAUCUCCAAGUUACUGGUAACCUAAACACCGAGACUUUACAAAAAAUCUCGUUACCGCGAUGUGGUAUUCCUGAUAUGAGAUACGAGUAUGGCUUCGAUGUUGGAAGUGAUGUAUCAUUUCCGAAAGGAAACAAGUGGUUCCCUAAGGGCACAAAAAAGCUGACAUAUGGUUUUCUUCCAGGGAAAAAAUUCUCGUUACUGCGAUGUGGUAUUCCUGAUAUGAGAUACGAGUAUGGCUUCGAUGUUGGAAGUGAUGUAUCAUUUCCGAAAGGAAACAAGUGGUUCCCUAAGGGCACAAAAAAGCUGACAUAUGGUUUUCUUCCAGGGAAAAAAUUCUCAUUAGACAUGAUCGAAGGGUUUAGAAAUGC
rnacentral:lncRNA from 1 species